rnacentral:lncRNA from 1 species
UUUGACAAAUUUUUUCAGCUCAGUGGUAGUCAUGGACUCGAUCGAUUGUGGGACUGGUUUCUUCCCUUCCUCGUGUAACUGCCGAAUCAAGUCUUUCAGGAGGUACUGAAAGUCACAUGUUUCAGAGACAGUUACCCAAGCACGGACUGGGAAAUGCCUUCUGACUUCAAGAUCCUCAUGGACUUUUUUCACCAGGGUAGUUUUGCCAAGUCCUCCCAUACCAACCACUGAAACAACUUUUAGUUGGUAAUCAUCCCCUUCGAGAAGCUGAGAAAUUAGAUGGUUUUUGGGCUGGUCAAUGCCAACUAAUUUAGCUUCUUCCACAAGCAGUGCAUCAUCUCUGCUAUAACGCCAUGUUGUGUUGUUCACAGCAGAAAUUGAGUUGGAUGCUUGGGCAAAGAUACCAUAUUCAGAUUGGUAUCUUUGAUGAGCUUCAGAAAUACUUUUGAUUCUUGACUUGAUGCUUUGUAUUUCGCUAGCAACUCGAUAACGAGCUCUCAAAUUCUUGAUGGAGCUGAAAAUUCUCCAAACAGAGCCGUAGAAUCCUGUUUCGCGAUGCCGAGCAAAGCGAGCUACAAAUUCAUCAAGAAUGUCUUCAGUGUCAUAAGCUGCUUCUCGCACUUGCUUGAUCCAUUCUUGGAGCCUGGGUUGAGCAUCUUCUUCUUUUGCUUCUGCCUCUCUCAGGAAAGCCCUCAUGUGCCCCAACUCAUCCCUGAUGAAUUGGACCUCUUGCCGAAGCCCACCCAAUAGUCGUCCCUCCUCGCGCAGAAAAGUUGAGAGUUGAUCCAGCACAAAAGAGAGAACUUUUUCUGCCAUUUUCAGUCUUUCUUUCUAACUUAGAGAAUGUCGUGGAAGGCAGCUUCUCGUUUAUGGGACAGUCCACUUGUAGUGUCUUGAAAGGAAGAGGGAAGAGUAGGUUAUAGAUUCAUAAGCUGAUGAACUUUGAAACUAUAUGGUGCAGUAUAUAUCAAAAAGAAAAACCGCGUCAAAAGAAAAAGAAAGAAUUAAAAAAUUAGAAGAAACUAAAGCAAAAAACAUGAUGGAAAUUGAAGGCAGGAAGAUGGGCAGCAACGUGAGUUUGAAAGACGAAGCUGCCUUACCUGCUUACAAUACAGAAUCAUGGAAGCUAUGAAGAAGACACAACUGCAAAUGGUGGGGUGAUCAGCCUUCAGGACCUUCUUUCAACUGUGGGUCCUAUGGUCGGAUAAAGAUAAAGGAGCAUCUUUGAACUGUGGGUUCUUUACAAAGCGGGGUUGGACUGGACAUUAUUUUUUUUUUUAUUUUUUUUUUUUAGGUGUGUCCCGCAGGGAGUGGACCCCGCAGACUAUUCACCAUCCUCAACAACUUGCUGGCAGCAAGGUUCGAACCAGGGACCUGAAGCCCCAUCUUCAGCACCCUCAACCACCAGACCAAGCCCCUGAGGGCAACUGGACAUUAUUGAUUUCAUUGACGAAGCAAUAAAAUCAGGGAAAAUGAUUCAAAACGUUUCUUAUAUUUUAUAAGGUGAUUUAUUUUUUAAAAUAUAAUUUUAUGUUCCUUACAAAUUCAUAUUGACUAAAUUUGAUUCUUACUUAAAUUUUUGACUAGUUUUUGAUCGAAAUCCAUUACGUAACUUAUACGUGAUCAUUUUUUUGGCUAUGUUCAUAAAAUAGAAAAAAAAACCUUGAACUUCAAGAAAAGUAAACAAAUCUCAGCACUUACUUGAGAGAAAAUGAAACCUCUGGCAAUAGCUGAUCUGAACCUACCCUGUCAAAUCCAAGUUUGAUGAAAAAGAGAACACGGGCGAGGAAGAUGAUAAUUUGAAUCAAAAUUAAAACAAUGCAGUAUGUGCAAGGCCUUUAGCUAGGAAGAUGGAGUAUUACAGAGGAGAAGGUAGGAGCAGCACCGUUAUUGAUAGGAAAGUGGAUUGAAAUUGGCCGUGACUUUCCUGGUUGGAUAGUAGAACAAUGGGUUAAUCACAUUUUAUCCUCUUAAAAGAUACCCCAUUUCUCAGUUUACCUCCUAACCUUUAAUUUUGCUCACUUAACCCCCUUUAGGACAAAAUUGCCCUUGCAUUAUUUUGACUUUUCAUUUACCUUGUUUUCCUUUCUUUUAUUUCUUUUUCUCUUUCUUCUUUAUUUAAUUCUUCCUCUUUCCCACAAAAAUCUUUACCUUAAUGAUUGAAAUUAAAAAAGAGGAAUUGCAGAGAUCUAUCUUCUCCUUAAAAAAUUUAAAAAAUAUUCAAAUCACUUUCCUAAAAUAUAAUUUUUUUAGCCUUUCAAUUCUUUUAAUUUUGGGUUUUCCUCUUUCCUUUAUAGUUUCUUAUUUUAUUCUCAAGAAAAUAUCUUAAGAUGAAAUUGUGACCUGAUUAAUAAUCAUCAAUUGAAAUUUGUGACACGUGGCAUCAUACAAAAAAUCAAAAUUAGUUUUUGAUGUCUUUUAAACCUUCACCCAGAAAUAUGCAAUUAUAAACUCAAAACAAAAAUUUUCGUUGAAAUGGAAUUUCUAUUGGGAAGGAUGAAAGAGAGAAGAAAGAGAAAAAAAAUAAAAGAAAGGAAAACAAUUUCAUCUUAUGAUAUUUUCUUGAAAAUAAAAUGAGAAACUAGAAAGGAAAGAGGAAAACCCAAAAUUAAAAGAAUUGAAAGGCUAAAAAAAUUGUAUUUUAGGAAAGUGAUUUGAAUAUUUUUUUAAUCAUUUAAGAAGAAAAUAGAUCUUUGCAAUUCCUCUUUUUUAAUUUCAAUCAUUAAGGUGAAAUUUUUUGUGGGAAAGAGGAAGAAUUAAAUAAAGAAGAAAGAGAAAAAGAAACAAAAGAAAGGAAAACAAGGUAAAUAAAAAGUCAAAGUAAUACAAGGGCAAUUUUGUCCUAAAGGGGGUUAAGUGAGCAAAAUUAAAGGUUAUGGGGUAAACUGAGAAAUGAGGUAUUCUUUAAGGGGAUAAAAUGUGAUUAACCCUAGAACAAUUACUCAACGUGGAUCUCGUCCCUUGGCUGUCAGAGUGACACAUGGCAAUAAAAAUCGAGACUUAAAUGAUGAGGUCAGAGUCCAUUGUUAGGUGAUCGGAGAAUGAGUAGUUUAGUCAUUUCACGAAAUAUUAAUUGUAUUCAAGUUAUGAUGGAUAGUGCUUAAUUUUCCAUUUUUAAAUUAUGUCAAAGUUACACAAUUCUUUUGAAUUUUCCACGUCCACAUCGAGAAUUUUCCAAUCAUAUCUAUUUAGAAUUCUAAUUUUGCAACUUCACUGUAUAGGUCCAAAUCUACUUUGAAAAAUUUUAUGUCAAAUCAAAAUUUUGUGUUUCUAUUUUUCUUCUUCCUUCUUUGUAAAAUGAAUGACUUUGGUCAGUGAGAAUGUAUCCUUGUAAAGAAGAUUUUUACAUAGGGAUAUUGUUAUGAAAAAGAGAAAUUUGAAACAUAUAAUAGUUAGAUUUGUUUUUCCUGAAUUUAAUGAGUCAUAGGCUAAAAAAGUUGUAGUAGUUCAAUUUUUUUUUUCAAAUCCUAGUACGAAGCUGCUACUUGAGUUAAUGAAUUGAAAUUCACUGGUAAAAUUAACUAUUGUAGAGCCAUAAUUUGGACUCAAAUGCGAUAAGAAGCAUUAUAUGAGCUACUCGCUGUAAGCCGGAAAGCAGCUUUGAAACAAAAGAAGCAGAGGUACAAAGUUUUCGUAGUGGUCAAUAAUACUAUCGGUUCCUAGAAACAUCAUAAGAAAGGAGAUAGAGUAACACUAUGGAUAUUAUAAAAUUCUAUCAAUGUUUGUCAUUUUUAUAUGGUAACCAACUACAGAAAAAUUGUCAAAGUCGUAUGAGAAAGUUAAGGACGAAAUUGCACUAACUUGUUUCAUUCCAAUGCUAAUUGUAUUUCAUAAUUCAUAAGAAAAUUUGAUGCAAUAAAAUUUUUUUUUGAAUAUGAGACCUUGAUUGUGACAAUACAUGAAUACCCUCAAUGAUAUUAGAAAAUGCAUUCAAAUUUAGGGACACAACGUGGUCCUAAUUAUUUUGUAAGAGGGGUGAUCUUGAAAAGAAAAAACUUGAACACUCAACUAUCAAUACAAACUCACUCUUUUAGCAAAGGUAUAGAUCCAGAUAUUGAUGAAUCUUUGUAAUUAACAAGGUAAAUCUGUUGACCAAUAAAAGUCAAUGGUAGCAGGUAGAAAAGCUGGCAUCUAUGUGCACUAUGUUGAAGGUAACUAUAGUAUAGAUAAAUAUAAAUAUUUGUAAUUAACAAGAUACACCAUGUUGAUCAACAACAGUCAAUGGUGGGUAGAAGGCUGGCAUCAUCCUUCAAAGUGUCCUUCACGACAGAAGAGCUAGAAACCAAAAUGAAGGAGAUCGGUAAAUUAAUCACAAAAUGCCCUGAACUUACGAGAAUCAUCCUUGAAAACGUCCUUUAGGACGAAAGAGCUAAAAACCAAAUUGAAGGAGAUCAAUAAAUUAAUCACAAGAUGCCCUGAACUUACGAGGAAGCCAAUUUGUGCAAUAAUACACCAUACUUUUAGACGGAAAUCUGCAAUCGGUGAAGUUGGAUUAGACUCUGCUGAUGCAAUUGUGGGGUUCCAGGCUUCAAAAUAAUGCAAAGAUGACAAUAAUGAGUUGGAACCAGCUUAUUGAUGACAAUAAUGCUUGUAUUUUAGGCACGUUAGAUGUGAAAUGUGAGAGUUGACUGCUGUCUGAGCUCAUUCCAGUGUGAAAGAACCUUCUGCGAUAGCAAAAUGCUGUUCUCUACCAGUCCCAUUCAGUCAUUUGCAAUAUGAUUAUGGUUAUUUAUUAGCGUGAACACACAUGAUUGGAAUGAACAUUUGUUUAUUUAUGUAGAAAAAGUGAUAUUGUUAACGUUAUUUUUUAUAAAUAGCAGCCCGCUCAAGUGAUUGUGCUCUAUUUUUUUUGGGGUAAAUUGUGGAAGAUAGAGGCACUAUUAAAUCAGCAUACCUCUAAUCAUUUACCUACCGUAUAUCUAUAUGAGGGCAAAACUCGGAUCACAUGCAUUAAUGCUAACGAUAAUGAUCUACAAUACUAAACAAGAUAUAUCAUGAUAUAUAUGUUAUAAUCUUGUGUUUCUCUCUCUUUUAUUGUUAUCUGAUUUUUCUUUCAUCAUCCUUGCUUUUUGUCUCACCAUCUCCCCAUACGGUAAGUCAUUUAGAUAUGUCAUGAUUUUCCUGUCAUAUUUUUUAAAGCAAUACUCUAGUGUUAAAUAGGAAUAUCCAAAAAUUUCUGAUCAGGAUAGAGUUUUGUACACCAACUUGUUAUUUAUACGGUACUGCAAGUAUUCAAAACUCAAAAGGAGACCUUAAAGGGGCCAAAAAAAAAAAUAGGGAAGACCUCAUGACUCAUGAGGUCAGUUCAGGUUUCUGAAUUAUUCCAUCAAGGAUAUUGAAAUUGGAAAAAAAAAAUAGAAAAUUAUGAAUGAAACGGAGAAAAGGACCAAGAAAUCUAUAAAUUACCAUCAAAUGUCAAAUGAGUGGUGUUUUUCACCUAUUGGCGCACCCUUUAACCCGCCGCCCACCUCUUUUUCAAAUGGAUGAUAGAUAUAUAGAUAAUUGCAAUGCAAUGAAAUAUUAGAGACUUACUCUCAUCCUAGCAUAUCAAUUUCUUAACUUGAGGUGUAUAUGAUAACAAAUUUGAGUUUCUGUUUAAAAAGUAUAAUUUGUGAAUUGCCAGGUUUUAUUUUUUUAUUGGUGAAUAAAUUCCAAAUAUUAGAUUCAUGGUUUCUUUUCAGAAAUUCCUAUGUUUUAUUUGAUAUAUUUACUUUAAUUUGACAUAUAAGCAUUAUUCAAUGUAAUAUGCAGUACGCUUUUUUCCAGCUUCAGAUGUUGUAAAAAUUUUAUUUUCUUUUGCAAGUCAAAAUCAAAUUAGGAUUUGUUAUCCCUUAUGUUAUAUCCAGAACCUAGUAGAAUAAGAUUAAGUAGCAUUACAUUAUUUGGUAGAAACUAUGUUUCAUUAAGUAAUUUCGUUCCAAAUCUAACUAUAUUUCAUAAGAAAAAUGUAAUAUACUUCUCUUCCUAAAAUAAAUACUUAACAAUGAUAUUACACAAUUACCCUCAACAAUAUCUACAAGUCAUUCAAAUUUAGAGCUAGCCAUAAUAUGUUAUGGGAGGGUUAAUGUUGGAAAGAAAAAACUAAUUUUUACAAUAAUUAAUAAAGUAGAAAUAGUUCUUAAAUUUCCUUUUACAAUAUGGUUCCCUUUUUUUUGGGUUUAACUUUGUUUUACAAUAUGGUAUAUGGUUUCGUUUUUUUUUUUCUUUUGUUUAACUUUGUUUGGAAUUCCUUUCCUUUUAGAAUACUAAAUUUUAGAAGACGAUAAUUAUAUCAACACUAAUAUCCAUAAAUAUCCCUCCCCCAAUUCAUAUUUGAAAUUUAAUAUAAGCUUCAUUAUUUCAUUAUACAAGGGCAUUACUGGAAAGUGAAAACUAAAUUACUAAAACACCAAAUCACAUUGGUGCUUUUAAUAUAUAUGCAUAUAUACAUGUAUAUAUGUAUGUAUAUAUGUAUGUGAUAGACAUUUGCACAGAGAGACUUAUUUGGCAUCUAGUCCAACAAAGCUAACAAGGCAAGCACAAAAUUAAAAACAUAAAAAUAAAACGCCUUGAGAAACAUUAGAGAGAGAUUCAAGGGAUUGUCACCCAUGGCAUUCCAAAAGAAAAGGAAAACAACAAAUUAAAGAGGAGAAUCAUCGAGGACAUCGAAAAUUAAAACCCAAUAAAUUAACUUUCUGAUGUUGAAAUAAUGAUCAAGUGAAAGCCGUAAGAAAUUUUAUAUUGUAACUUAAUACAGAAGAAUUUUUCAAAGCCGUAAGAAAUUUAAGGACGAAAUAUGAGAAAAAUUCUUACUCACAAAAAAAGAAACUGCAGCAAAUAAAUGGAGUGGAGCCAUCGUAGUCAAAAAGUAAAAGAGAAACUAAAGCAAGAGACGUGAUGGAAAUUGAAUAGAAAGAAGAUAGACAGCAACGUGAUUUUGAGAUAGAGCGACGAAGCUGCCUUACCCGCUACACAACAAAAUCAUGGGAAUUAUUAAGAGGACCAUGCAGUUGGUGGGGUGUUCACUCUUUGUAGAUCAUUGUUAUGAGCUAAUAAUCCAACAGGAACAGAGAGAACUGUUUGUGCCACUUGCAGUUUUGUAGAUCAUUUAGCCCUCAAUAUAAAAUUUACUGGAUUCAGAUUUUAACAUAGAAAUUGAACAUCUAAAUUAAUUAAAUAGCACUACAUUUCUUAGAUAAAACUUACUCCCAAAAUUAAGUGAUAAGUUAUUCACUUAUCACUGAACGUGAUAUGCAUUCAAAUGCAUUAGAUCUAAUACUUAACAAUUUAAUAAUUUAAUGGAUUCAACUUUCAGAUUUAAAACUUUAGUUUUAUGAAAUGCACUUUCAGUGAUAAGUGAAUAGUUUAUCACUUAAUUUUGGGAGCAAGUUUUGCUUAGAAAAUUCAGUGCCACUUAAUUAAUUCAGAUAUUCAGUUUUUAGUUAUCAAACAGUAUGAAUAUGUUAAGAUCUGAAUUCAUUAAAUUUUAUAGGUGCUAAAAUGGGUUGUCAAACAGGACCUUAAUUUUGGAUUCUUUUGUGCUGUGCCAAAGAAUAAGAGAUGGACUCUUUAACUCUGUGGACAUUAAUCAAUCGAGUCUAAUCAAACCCAAUGAAGCAUAAGUAAUAUAAAUUAAUAUUUUAUAUAAUUUUAAAUGAGAAUACAAUUGACAUUUCACACUAAUAAAUAUAAAAAAAAAUUCAAAAGGAUAUAUUACAUUUAAAUCUCGAUUGAGUUCAACUGAACUUGAUGAGUUUUCAAGCUUCAUAUAGUAGACUCGAACUUGAACUCUUCAAGCAAUUUGAGAUACUCAAACUAAAUAUUGAACUCCUUUAACCUGAGUUUUGACAAAACAUGCUUGUGAGUAAUUAAUUUGUUGAGCUCGACUCGUUUUAUACCCAUACGACAAAAUACUCUCAAUUAAGGGAGUAAGUGACUAUGUUGCAAUUUUAUGGUGGGCUCUUCCCCCUUUUUGUGCUCUUAUGGUACAUAAAAGAGAAUCUCUGACCAAAUUUCGGCAUAAACAUACAUGUGCGUUCAAGUAGAAAUGAGGAAAGAUCACAAGAGAACGAGAAUCUACUACUAUAGAUAAAGAAAAACCCAACUCAAAAUGAAUUAUUCUAUCAAAGUUACAGGAGAGUAGGGGUGCAGCUGAGUUUUGAGCAUGUUGUGGGUUAAAGUUGGUUUUAGAUUUUUUUUUUCUCCUUUCUCGUCAGUUGAAGAAUGGACUGAGGAAAGUCAGAUUUCAAUUUCUGUAACUCGGCAGUCGGGGAUUGAUUUAAGAAGACAUUAGACAUUAACGUUGGUUGUGCUACUAUGGUUGGACUACGUCAUGGACGAAGUUAAGAAUAGAAAAGUAUAAACAAAUCUGUAAGCACAGUGUUUUCACCUACCAACGCCAAGAAGCAGCUUUUUUACCAGUAUUUGUAAACCUUGAAUUCCAUAAUAAUGUAGUUGCUUUAGCCUGAGCUUUAAAUACCCCUACCCUUAUUUUUGGGUAAAUUAAACAUAAAAUCCUAUGGUUUCACUCAUUGUCAUAUAACCCUAUAACAUUGUAAAAUAUCUAUUUCACUCCCUUAGGUUCAAUAUAAACUUUACAAAAAAUAAUCUCUGUAACGUCAUUAGUUCAAAUAUUAUUAAUUUCCUUACUUAAAUACUAAAGCGAAUAAAUGCCUAACCAUCUCAGAUAAAACCACAGGGGAAUUGUGUGGAUCAAUGCAAAAAACUGCAAUGAGGUAUGGUGGAUAUUUAUAUAAAUCAUAGAGGAUUAAGUGGAUUUUAUUAUUCCAUCACAUACGUUUUCUGGAAUGUGUUUGGUUCAAUCACCUAAUCAAUGAUGUAUUCCUUCCAUUUUCUACUUUGCAUAAAACCACAUAAAGGUUAUAUGACUAUUGUGAAACUUUAGAUGUGUUAUGUAGCAUUGAAGAAAAUUAUAGGGGGAUUAUAUGUAAUUUAUCCUUCUUUUUUUUUACAUGAAUUGUAGUUAUAUAUAUUAUUUUAAUGCUUUUAUCGACUAAAUGACAUUGAACCUUUUUUUGGGGGUCAAAUGAUGUUGUCAUCAAUAGAGAGAAAUUUGAGAAGGAAUAUGAGGGUUCAAAUCUCAUCUAUCUAUUAGAAACUAGCUUCCUGAAUUUCAGAAAAGGAAUUUAAUUAGAGAUCCUCUCUUCAUAUUCCUUUUUUUUUGGCUAGCGCUAUACGUUAAUCAAACAAAUUGCAAAGCCAAUCGUUCUUGAUUGCCCACAUGUUGCUAAAUCUAAUCAUCAGCAUUGGCUCUUAGUUUAAAAACCUAUAUGGAACCCCAUCAUGAUUUGGGUUAAUGUGUCACUGUUAGUUUUCUCGUUAAAACUAACGGUUAAUAAUAAAAGGUCAAAAUCAAACUGAUAAAUUGAUAAAUUCAAGCUUUCACUACUCUCUCUCUCUGGGAAGAGAAAAGGUGAUUUUGAAAACCUAUUUGUAUAGAAAAACUUUCCAAAAAAAUUUCUCGUUUACAUUAUAAACACAUUUUCCAAUCCACUUUUUUAUAUUCCUAACCACUUUUUUAUUUCACAUACAUCACAUCACAAAAAGCACUACAGUAAUUAUUUCAAACAAUUAUUUGGAAUAAUACUCUAUCCAAACAAAGCCUUAAUUUUCUCCAAAUAAAAAAGAGAUGGAAGGAAAAUAAAAAAUAAAAAUAAAUAAAUAAGAAACAAAAAGGAUGGAAGGGAAAUAUAAAACAAAUAAAUGAGAAACAAAACAUACCAAAUCUCUUUUGACUAGAAAUAUCAUUAUAGGCUUUUAGACCAAAUCUUUAAUAGCAUUUUCUGUUUGGAGGAAAAAAAAGAAGUAAUGGAAGGGUAAAUUUGUCAAUUUAUCAAUUUGAUUUUGAUCUUUACUAUUGACCAUUAGUUUUAAUGAAAAAAAAUAAUAGUGAAAUUUUAACCCAAAUCAUAAGGGAGAUUAUAUAUAUGUUUUUUAACCGUAGAGGGAUUAUGUGGUAAAGUAUCAAAUCACAGGAGGUAAAGUAUAAUUUACCCAACUUAAUAUUAGCUAGCCUUUACAGUGGUAAAGCAAAUGGGUCAGUGGUUGCUCUUGAUUGCCAACAUACAUAUACGUAGAUCAUCCGCAUUCUUAAGCUAAAUUGCCAGCGUAAACCAUAUCUUUUGAUUUUCCAAUAAAUACUGCAAAAAAAAAAAAAAGAGUAACGAGUCCUUCUAUACUACUGGAAGAUUAUUGAUUGUUCACCCAAAUUCGUCAAGUUUCGAAAAAAAAAAUCUUUAGAGUGAAUUGAAUCGAAUUCAAAUUUUGUGUUUUGCGAUAAUUCCUAAAAGAGAACGAAAUGCAGAUUUUGAGUGUAAAAAUAUUUUAAGAAAUAGUGAUACACAUUGUAAGUUUAUUAGCACAGUCAAGGCACAAAAAGAUAGAGUAACAACAUCAAGCAUUAUACACGAUAAAUAAGAAGGUAAGACACAGAAGAUGAUGAACUUCUCGAAGGGGAAAAAAAUUACUAAUAAAAAAUAAAAACAAAAAAGAGAAAGCAGUGUUGUCCUCAAACUAGAGAACGGGAAGCCACGGCAGCUGCUGUUGCUGCCAGGAAUGAUUAUGUUUUCUUCUUCUUCGCCCACAGGCUGCGGUGUCUCCAUUUCCUAUCAUCUGUAUAGUAACCAAUGAGAAUUUCAGGAAUGUGAGCGAUUUUUCUGUAAUCUUCACUUUCUUCCUUCUGAUUCUCUAACAGCUUCUCUCUCAAUUGAGAACUCAUCUCAUACAGAGUCAGCCGUUGAAGCUGGCUCAACUGCUGAAUACCCAAUGGUAACUCCUCUAGUAAUGGAAGUCGUUCCAGAAUAAGAUUUUGGAGACGAGGCAGUGCACCCUCCUCCACUCUCAUCCAUCUCAACCCUUCCAUUCUCUUUAAGUGCAACCACUUCAGAUUUAGGAACCCUCCAGUCUUGAAACACAACCCUUCUCCCUGGUAAGAUCCACAGAAAUUAAUACUAUCCAAAUUGGGCAAAUGUUGGAGGGAUUCAAGCGGAUCCUCCUCGCCCCUUAACCUGCUCCAAUCCAAAUCUAUUCUUACCAAGCCGUAAAGACGAGCUACCCAUUGUGGCAUCUUUUCUAAGCGGCCACACAAAAUCAGCAUACGAAGAGAUUGAAGAAACGAAGAAGAAGAAGAAGAAGAAGAAGCAGGAGGAGGAGGAGGACGAUGAUUUAGAUCGAUUAUCUCAUGAUCGUCACCUUUACCAAUUGAAUCAACACAUAAUUCCCGAAGACUGGUGAGAUUGGCAAGGGAGGAGCAGAGCUCCUUUCCGUCUUCUCUUCUUAACUUUGUAAUAUAUAGCUCUCUUAAUUGGGUCAGCUUUCCUAUCUCCUUGACUAUUGUGGAUCCACUACUUGCAUCUAUGGAUUUUAAUAUUUCUAGGGAAAGAAGCCCUCCCAUAUUUGAGGGAGCUUUAAACCCAUGAUAUCCAUAAUCAUCAUCGGAAGAAUCAACUUGUUGAUAUACUUUGAGAAACCGAAGUUUUUGCAGCUUUAGGAUUUCCAUGGGUAAUUCCCUAACUCCGGUUUUUCCCAAAUUCAGAUACUCCAAGUGUUGAAGCUUCCCAAUGCCUUUUGGGACUCUCUCCACUCCUGUACCAUAUAGGUCCAGAUGCUUGAGAUGAAACGAGUUGAAAAUCUCAUUUGGUAUUUCCUUCCGUGUCUUUUGACCUCUCAAAUCCAAAACCUUUAACAACUUACUACUCCUUAAAACAUCAGAUAACAACAUACUGGACAGGAGUGGGUUUUUCGAUCCAAUUGUAACGAACGACCGAAGGUGGUCAAAGAAAUAAUUUGGUCUUUGCUGGGUGUUGUUACUACUACUACUAUGGACUACUAGACGGCGUACCUGCUCGGACGGCCACAUCGUUGGUUGUCCAGUAGUAAUUGUGAUCAUGUUUUGUUCUCUUGACUUGGAAACGAUAAUUUCUCGCAAUAGAUCAUGGACUCGACAAUUUCCAGGCAUUCCUUCAUAAAACACACGAGUCACUUGAAUUAGGCUUCUAUUGACGAGUUCACUGAGAUAACCCAAAGCUACAUCUUCAAUGUUGAUUCCUUCUCUCCAUUCUACAAACCUCUCAGCAAUCCACAAAUUAACGAGUCUCAGGCACCCUAUUUUGUAAUCCUCUGGAUAAAUACUUGUGUACAACAGACAUGUCUUUAGAUGCCAAGGCAGGUCGCUAUAACUGAGAGAAAGUAUCUUUUUAACUCUGUCCAACUUACCCGUGCCUUCUAAUUCACCCCCAAGACUGCGUCGAACCAUCUCCCAUUCAUCUAUUCUGUUUACAUCUUUCGAAGCCAAAAGCCCGCUGAUUGCAAGAAUUGCAAGGGGUAAGCCCUCACAUUUAUCCAAUAUAACUUUGGCAACAUCCAUCAAAUGGCUAGGGCAAGUACCUCCCUUAAAGAUCUUGUUGCAAAACAGGGUCCACGAAUCUUCAAAGGACAGUGGCUCCAAUCUGUAGAUAUAACCCCGAGAUUCAAUGCAAGAAUCAGAGGCUACAUCAGAUUUCCGAGUUGUUAGCAUGACACGGUUGCCGUGGCCACUCUCGGGCAGAGCAAAUUUGAUGGUAUUCCAAAAUUCCACGUCCCAUACAUCAUCAAAAACAAUUGCAUACCUUCCAGCUUGUUGAAGAAAAUCUUUGAUAAUUUCUUUCAGCUCGGUGGUAGUCAUGGACUCGAUCGAUUGCGGGACUGGUUUCUUCCCUGCCUCGUGUAACUGCCGAAUCAAGUCUUUCAGGAGGUACUGAAAGUCACAUGUUUGAGAGACAGUUACCCAAGCACGAACUGGGAAAUGCCUUCUGACUUCAAGAUCCUCAUGGACUCUUUUCACUAGGGUAGUUUUGCCAAGUCCUCCCAUACCAACCACUGAAACAACUUUCAGUUGGUGAUCAUCCCCUUGGAGGAGCUGAGAAAUUAGAUGUUUCUUGGGCUGGUCAAUGCCAACUAAUUUAUCUUCUUCCACAAGCAGGGCAUCAUCUCUGCUAUAGCGCCAUGUUGUGUUGUUCACAGCAGAAAGUGAGUUGGACGCUUGGGCAGAGAUACCAUAUUCGGAUUGGUACCUUUGAUGACCUGCAGAAAUACUUUCGAUUCUGGACUUGAUGCUUUGUAUUUCGCUGGCAACUCGAUGACGAGCUCUCAAAUUCUUGAUGGAGCUGAAAAUUCUCCGAACAAAGCCGUAGAAUCCUGUUGGGAGAUGCCGAGCAAAGCGAGCUACAAAAUCAUCAAGAAUGUCUUCAGUGUCAUAAGCAGCCUCUCGCACUUGCUUGAUCCAUUCUUGGAGCCUGGGUUGAGCAUCUUCUUCUUUUGCUUCUGCCUCUCUCAGGAAAGCUGUCAUGUGCCCCAACUCGUCCCUGAUGAAUUGGACCUCUUGCCGAAGCCCACCCAACAGUCGUCCCUCCUCGCGCAGAAAAGUUGAGAGUUGAUGCAGCACAAAAGAGAGAACUGUUUCUGCCAUUUUCAGUCUUUCUCUUUAACUUAAGAAUGUCGGGGAAGGCGGCUUCUGGUUUAUAGGUCAGUCCACUUGUUGUAUCUUGAAAGGAAGAAGGAAGAGUAGGCUACAGAUUCAUAAGCUGAUGAACUUCGAUGCUAUAUGGUGCAGUAUUUAUCAAAAAGAAAAAGAAAGAAUUAACCAAUUAGAAGAAACUAAAGCAAGAAACAUGAUUGUGAAAAACGAAGCUGCCUUACCUGCCGCAAUAUAAAAUCAUGGAAGCUAUUAAGAAGACUGUGUUUGCUGGGAUAAAGAUAAAGGAGCAUCUAUUCCUCUUUCAACUGUGGGUUCUUUACAAGUAGAAGGAAUAAAAAGUUAAAACGCUGUUGGACUGGACAUUAUUGAUUUCUUUGACGAGGAAAUAAAACUACUGCAAAAUGUUUUGCCCCUUCUGCUAACAUGUAUAACCUUCCUUCCUCUAUGGAACUAAUUUCUGCUGGCAUUUUGCUCUACACUAGUGCAAUUAUUUAUUCGUGCCAAACAUAUUCCUAAAGUGUGGUAUCUCAAAACAAUCAAUUAACAAAGGGAAUCCAUUGAGUAUCACUUGAAUUUUUUAGUCUCAUCCCAUUAUUUGUGCGUCAACUAUUAUUUGAGAAUCUGAUAUCUCUUUUGAUUGGGAAUUGAAAAAUAAAAUGUCAUGUAAGUCUAAAAACUAACCUAAUAUGUCUAAUAAUUUUUUAUACGACCUAAAACUGUAUUAGUUUGAAAAAUAACUUUAUUUUUCAAUUAUUGUAAAUGAUUUCGGAGGACAAAUUUUUUGUAAACUUUAAUCCUAAUUACUUAAUGACAUUUGUAUCUCUAUAUCCACAUUAAAACGUACACGUAAACUAUGUAAAUACAUUUUUUUUUAUGUUCAAAUAAAUUAUCUAGACAUAGACUAAUUCAAAUAUUGGAGUAGAGGUGCUCUUUUUUUCUUUUACUCUAGUAAGCAUAUUAUUUUCGGCACCACAGUAACCAAGUUAGUGUUAGCCCCUUGUGAUCACCAAUUUAAUCUAUUAUCUCACUUCUUUCUUUCUUUUGUUUUUUCUAUCCCUCCUUUUGCAGUUGUGGAAUUACUGCAUCUAGGACUAGAUAGGACGAAAGGCCGCUCAUUUUACCAAUUAGAAACGUGGCUAUGUUCAUAAAAAAGAAAAAAAAAAGCCUUGAACUUCAAGAAAAGUAAACAAAUCUCAGCACUUACUUGAGAGAAAAUGAAACCUCUGGCAAUAGCUGAUCUGAACCUCCUGUCAAAUCCAAGUUUGAUGAAAAAGAGAACACGGGCUAGGAAGAUGAUAAUUUGAAUCAAAAUUAAAACAAUGCUGUAUGUGCAAGGCCUUUAGCUAGGAAGAUGGAGUAUUAUAGAGGAGCAGUACCGUUAUUGAUAAGAAAGUGGAGUGAAAUUGGCCGUGACUUUCCUGGUUGGAUACUAGUAGAACAAUUACUCUACGUGGUGGACCUAAUAAGAAUGUGGAUCUCAUCCAUUGGCUGUCAGAGUGACACAUGGCAAUAAAAUCGAGACUUAAAUGAUAUGGGGUUAGAGUCCCUUGUUAGGUGAUAUGAGAAAUGAGUAGUUUAGUCAUUUCACGAAAUAUUAAUUGUAUUCAAGUUAAGAUGGAUAGUGCUUAAUUUUCCAUUUAUGAAUUAUGUCAAAGUUACACAAUUCUUUUGAAUUUCCAAAUUUUCCACUUCCACGUCGAGAGUUUUCCAAUCAUUUCUAUUUAGAAUUCUAAUUUUGCAACUUCACUACAUAGGUCCAGAUUUACUUUGAAAAAUUUUAUGUCGAUUCAGAUCAAUUGCUUGCAUGCCUAAUAGUUGGUUAACACAUCUAAAAUUCAUCUAACAUAUUUGUGCUCUUAUGGUACAUAAUAGCAAAAGCCUUAAUUUUAUUUGUCUGUGAACAUUAGGCUGUUGGCCGGCUGGUAUAUCAAUUUGAUUAAUCGAAUUAUAGUCUUGCUGGCUUGUCCUUCCAACCCACGAUGUGCUCAUAAAAUGUUGGACGUGAAGAAAGAAGUGGAAUUGAAAAUAUUGGAGAUGGCUAAAAUUGAAUGUUCAGCACAAGACAAUUGAGGUAAACCCUUAACCACGUAGCCAAAUCCGAUCACCACCAUCUUAUCAUGUCUAAUUUUUCUUUUUGUUUAUUGCAAUGAGUAAAAAAAAAAAAAAGAUACACUCGAAUACGUCAAAUCAUAAUUUCGUGUUUCUAUUUUUCUUCUUUGCUUCUUUGUAAAAUGAAUGACUUUGGAUCACCAGUGUAAUCUUUCAUCUCAGUUCUUUUUCUCCAGCUGUGAAAUUAUUACAACUAAGACUAGGUUAGGAGUAAGGGACAUGAAGUAACCGGAGGAUAAGGUGCAUCAUAUGAGCCACUAGGGAUGUAAUCGAGUCAAGUCAAACUCGAAUAUUGCUAUACUCGAGCUCGACUCGACUCAUAUAUAUCUAGGCUCGAGCUCGACCGAGUACACAAAAUCGAUAUUCGAAACUUGACUCGAGGAACUCGCUUUAAACUCGAGACUCGACUCGAUAAGACUCGACCUUUAGUCAAGCCUUAUCAAGUCGAGCCUAAUCAAGUUUUUUUACUCGACUCGAACAAUUAUGUUAUUACUUUUUUGCCAUUAUGAACUUUUUUUAUAGAGAAGAGUUUAUUGUAAAUUCUGUAAAACUUAUACCCAUAAUGGUCAUUUUAUAAUUAUAAUACAUAUAUAUUAUUUAAAUUAUAAAUAUAUUAUUUAAAUACCCUCGACUCGACUAGUAGCUCGACAAGUCUCGAGUCUCAAAAUAUUGGCUCGAAACUCGACUCGAAUGACAAUCGAGUAGCUCGAUAUUCGGCUCGAACUCGGUCAACUCGAGUUCAAACCAAACCGUUAACCGAGCUACUCGCGAGCUACUCGAUUGUGACUCGACUCGCGUACAUUCCUAUGAGCCACUCGAACACUGUAUGCUGAAAAAGCAGCUUUGAAACAAAAGAAGAAGCAGAGGCACAAAAUUUUCCUAUGGUUCCUAGAAACAGUAUAAGAAAGAAGAUAGAAAGACAUUAUUGACAUUAUAAAUUCUUGUCAAUUAAUGUUCGUCAUUUUUAUAUGGUAACUUACUGCAGAAAAAUUGUCAAAACCGUGUGAGAAAGUUAAGGACGAAAUACGAAGAAAAUUCUUACUCAUCAAGAAACUGCAGCGAAAAAAAAAUUGUAGAGAUGAUGGAAAUAAGAAGAAACUAACGCAAGAGAGAUGAUGGAAAUUGAAUGGAAAGAAGAUAGUUAGCAACGUGGUUUUGAAAGGCGAAGCUACACUACAAAAUCAUGGAAAUUGUUAGGGAGACAAAUGCAGUUGGUGGGGCGUUCACUCUUCAGCACCUUUCGGCUGUGUUUCUUCGAUCAAAUAAAGGAGUGGCUACCAGUGUACCACAGCAUCGUUCAAAAGCAAUGAUGUCUUAAGCUUAAAACGUGGUGGCUUGGACAUUGAUUUCAUUGACGUAGAAAUAAAGGGAAAAUACAGAUUUAGCCUCUAAUAUUUUGCCUUUCGGCAGUUUUAGUCAUUAAAAUUUUGAAAAAUGCAAAUUUGAUUCUCAAUGUUUAGCACAUGUGCAAUUUUAUCCCUAAAAUAUUGGUAGGAACAAAUUUGGUCCCCUAUGUUAUAGUCUUGAAGCAGAUUUACGAUGAUUGACGAAUUUUUUCAAAUAUUGGUAGAAUCUGCUACGUGUGAUUACAUGCUUGUUAAUUUUAAAUAUCUUAAAAAAGAAGUAAAAUAGUGAGUACUCUUCAAUAAUAAGACCAGUUUACAUGAUGCCAUGCCAGUAACUAAUUAAUCAAGAGAAAAAAAAGAAAUAAAAUUUGUUAAUCUAUAUGAAAAAGUAAAUGUUACGAUUUUGUGCUUGGCAUAGUCAGGAUAGAGUGUAAAAAUGAGUUCUAUAUCGAUGAAUUGGGUGCUUCAACUAAUUUUAGUUAAAAAUUUUCAAUUUUUACUAGUUAAUUAGUUAGCAUAUGAAUUAUCAGUUCUUAAUUUUGGUGUUUAAAGUUAGCUACUAUUUUGCUUCUUUGUUUUGAAAUGUAAUUUAAUGGACACAUAAUUAGACGUGACUAAAUUAUGUUAGUAAUCGAAAAAAAUUCUUCAAAUGUCCUAAAUCUAUUUUAAAAUGGAUAUAUUAGGGACCAGAUUUGCCCUUGCAAAAAUUUUAGGGACCAAAACUACACAAUUAUGUUAUUAAUUAUAUUAUUAAAUAUAAAGAAUUGGAUUAUAACUAAGUUAUUAUAUUGUGUAUAUAUAUGUAUUAUAUAUAUACAUCAAUAAAUUAAAAUAUAUAUAUAUAAUUUUUUUUUUCAUAUGCGGGGGAUGGGGCAUGUAUAUGUAGCCCGGCCCCCAGCUCCGUUUUAAGGUAGGGGAAAAUUUUUUCCCCCCGCCCUAUUUCUACUCUCGCGGGCACCUGUCCUUGUUGCCACCCUUAGCUUUAAGUACCCUUAUUUUAGGGUAAAUUAAACGUAAUCUUCUAUGGUUUCACUCAUUUUUAAGGUAGGGGAAAAUUUUCUCCCCCCGUCCUAUUUCUACUCUCGCGAGCACCUGCCCUUGUUGCCAUCCUUAGCUUUAAGUACCCUUAUUUUAGGGUAAAUUAAACGUAAUCUUCUAUGGUUUCACUCAUUGUCAUAUAACCGCUAAAACAUUACAAAAUAUCUAUUUCACUCCCUUAGGUUCAGUCUAAACUUACGAAAAAUAACUUCUGUAACAUCAUUAUUUCAAAUACUAAUAAUGUCCUUACUUAAAUGAUAAAACGAAUAAAUGUUUAACCACCUUGGAUAGAACUGUAGGGAAAUUAUGCGGAUAAAUGUAAAAAAAUACAAUGAGGUAAAAUGCAUAUUUAUUUAAAUCACAGAGGGUUAAGUGGAUUUUAUGAUUCCAUCACACAAGUUUUUGGGAGCGCAUUUAGUUUAAUCACCUAAUCAAUGGUGCAUUCCUUCCAUUUUCUACUUUACAUAAAAUCACAUAAAGGUUGUAUAACUAUUAUGAAACUUUAGAGGUGUUAUGUGGCAUUGAAGAAAAUUAUAGGGGGAUUAUAUGUAAUUUAUUCUUUUUUACAUGAAUUGUAGGUAUACAGAUUAUUUUAAUGCUUUUUCGACAAAAUGAUAUAGAACUUUUUUUUGGGGGGGGUGGGGUGGGGGAGGGGUCAAAUGAUGUUGUAAUCAAUAGAGAGAAAUUUGAGAGUAUUAGAAACUAGCUUCCUGAAUUUCAAAAAAGAAAGUUAAUUAGAGAUCCUCUCUUCAUAUAUAUUUUUUUAAACUCAAUAGAACUUAAAAUUUGCUAGCGCCACACGUUAAUCAAACAAAUUUCAAAACCAAUCGUUGCUAAACCUUAUCCUCAAUAUUUUAAGAUUUUGUCACGUGUAGAAGUGAAAAUCUUUAGAGAGAAUUGAAUCCAAAUUUUGUGUUUUCUGAUAAUUCCUAGAGAGAACGCAAUGCAGAUUUUCAAUGUAAAAAUAUUUAAGAAAGAGUUAUACACAUUGCAGGUUUAUUAGCACAAAGUAAUUAUACUGGUCAAUGAUGAAUGAUCACGUACGCAAUGUGAAUUGGAACGCUGGCAAAUUUGGAACGGAAAGAACAGAUUGGGAGAUACCUAUCACGUAAAAGGAGUCACACAAUAAACUUGGUGUAGGUCCAACGUUCGCUAUUUUAUCAGACAAGCCAUAUGAAUGUAGGUUUGUACAAGGAGAAGUGAGGAUAAAUUGGGUUUAUGUAUUAUCUCUGACCAAAAUUUAAAAUUGAUUGUCUGCUAAAUCAAUUAUAGAAAAGAUUAAGACAAAAAGAUAAAAGAGUAAUAGUAUGCAGUACAUUAACAACAUCAAGCGUUAUACACAAUACAUACAAUAAAUAAGAAGGUAAGACACAGAAGAUGAUGAACUUCUCACACGGAUGUCGAAGGGGAAAAAAAUUACUAAUAAAAAAUAAAAACAAAAGAAGAGGAAGCAGUGCUGUCCACAAGGGAAGCCACAGUGGCUGCUAGGAAAGAUUAUAUGUUUUCUUCUUCUUCUCUUCCCAUAGCCGGUGCUCUCUCCAUUCCCCAUCAUCUGUAUAGUAACCAAUGAGAAUUUCAGGAAUAUGUGCGAUUCUUGUGUAAUCUUCACUUUCUUCCUUCUGAUUCUCUAACAGCUUCUCUCUCAAUUGAGAACUCAUCUCAUACAGAGACAGCCGUUGAAGAUGGCUCAAGUGCUGAAUACCCAAUGGCAGCUCCUCUAGUAAUGGAAGUAGCCGCAGAAAUAGUAUUUGUAGACGAGGCAAUGCACCCUCCUCCACUCUCAUCCCUCUCAGCCCUUCCAUUCUCUUUAAGUGCAUCCACUUCAACUUUAGAAACCCUCCAGCCUUGAAGCACAACCCUUCUCCCUGGUAAGAUCCACAGAAAUUAAUUUUACUCAAAUUGGGCAAAUGUUGGAGCGAUUCAAGCGGAUCCUCCUCGCCCCUUAACCUGCUCCAAUUCAAAUCUAUUCGUAGCAAGCCGUGAAGAUGAGCUACCCAUUGUGGCAUCUUUUCUAAGCGGCCACGCAAAAUCAGCAUACUAAGAGAUUGAAGAAAAGAAGAAGGAUGAUGAUGAUUUAAAUCGAUUAUCUCAUAAUCAUCACCUUUUCCAAUUGAAGCAACGCUUAAUUGCCGAAGACUGGUUAGGUUGGCAAGGGAGGAGCAGAGCUCCUUUCCAUCUUCUCUUCUUAACUUUGUAAUACGUAGUUCUCUUAAUUGGGUCAGCUUUCCUAUCUCCUUAACUAUUGUGGAUCCACUACUUGCAUCCAUGCAGCUUAAUACUUCUAGGGCAAGAAGCCCUCCCAUAUUCGAGGGAGCUUUAAAUCCAUGAUAUCCAUAAUCAUCAUCGGAAGGAACAACUGGUUGAAAUACUUCGAGAAACCGAAGUUUUUGCAGCUUUAGGAUUUCCAUGGGUAAUUCCCUAACUCUUGUGUCAGCCAAAUUCAGAUACUCCAAAUGUUGAAGCUUUCCAAUGGCUUUUGGGACUCUCUCCACUCUCGUACCCCAUAGGUCCAGAUGCUUGAGAUGAAACAUCUUGAAAAUCUCAUUUGGUAUUUCCUCCUGUGUCUCUUGACCUCUCAAAUCCAAAACCUUUAACAACUUGCUACUCCCUAAAACUUCAGAUAACAACAUUUUGGAUAGUAGCGGGCUUAUGGAUUCAAAUGUAACGAACGACCGAAGGUGGUCAAAGCAAUAAUUUCGUCUUUGUUGGUGGUGCGGGGUGUUGUUACUGCUACCACUAUGGACUACUAGACGGCGUACCUUAUCAGUCGGCCACAUCAUCGGCUGUCCAGUAGUAACUGUCACCAUGUUUUGUUCCCUUGACUUGAGAAGAAUAACUUCUCUUAAUAGGUCAUGGAUUCGACAAUAUUGAGGUAUUCCUUCAAAAAACACCUUAGUCACUUGAAUUAGGCUUCUAUUGACGAGUUCAAUGAGAUAACUCCAAGCUACAAUUGCAAAACUCAUUCCUUCCCUCCGUUCCACAUACCUUUCAGCAAUCCACAAAUGAAUUAGUCUAAUGCAUGCUAUUUCAUAAUCCUCUGGGAAGAUGCUUGUGUACAACAGACAUGUCUUUAAAUGCCCAGGCAAAUCAUUAUAACUGAGAGAGAGUAUCUUUUUAACUCUGUCCAGCUUACCCGUGCCUUCUAAUUCACCCCCAAGGCUGCGUCGAACCAUCUCCCAUUCGUCUAUUCUGUUUACAUCUUUUGAAGCCAAAAGCCCGCUGAUUGCAAGGGGCAAGCCCUCACAUUUGUCCAAUAUACCUUUGGAAACAUCCAUCAAAUGGCCAGGGCAAUUACCACCAUUAAAGAUCUUGUUGCAAAACAGGGUCCUCGAAUCCUUUACAGAGAGUGGCUCCAUUCUGUAGACAAGACCCCGAGAUUCAAUGCAAGAGGCAGAGGCUACAUCAGCUCUUCGAGUUGUUAGCAUGACACGGUUGCCGUGGCUACUCUCGGGCAGUGCAAAUUUGAUGGUAUUCCAAAAUUCCACGUCCCAUACAUCAUCAAAAACAAUCGCAUACCUUCCAGCUUGUUGAAGAAAAUCUUUGACAAUUUUUUUCAGCUCAGUGGUAGUCAUAGACUCUAUCGAUUGUGGGACUGGUUUAUUCCCUUCCUUGUGUAACUGCUGAAUCAAGUCUUUCAGGAGGUACUGAAAGUCACAUGUUUCAGAGACAGUUACCCAAGCACGAACUGGGAAAUGCCUUCUGACUUCAGGAUCCUCGUGGACUCUUUUCACUAGGGUAGUUUUGCCAAGUCCUCCCAUACCAACCACUGAAACAACCUUUAGUUGGUAAUCAUCCCCUCGGAGGAGCUCAGGAAUAAGACGUUUCUUGGGCUGGUCAAUGCCAACUAAUUUAGCUUCUUCCACAAGCAGUGCGUCAUCUCUGCUAUAGCGCCAUGUUGUGUUGUUCACAGCAGAAAGUGAGUUGGACGCUUGGGCAGAGAUACCAUAUUCGGAUUGGUAUCUUUGAUGACCUUCAGAAAUACUUUUGAUUCUGGACUUGAUGCUUUGUAUUUCGCUAGCAACUCGAUGACGAGCUCUCAAAUUCUUGAUGGAGCUGAAAAUUCUCCGAACAGAGCCGUAGAAUCCUGUUGCGCGAUGCCGAGCAAAGCGAGCUACAAAUUCAUCAAGAAUGUCCUCAGUGUCAUAAGCAGCAUCUCGCACUUGCUUGAUCCAUUGUUGGAGCGUGGGUUGAGCAUCUUCUUCUCUUGCUUCUGCCUCUCGCAGGAAAGCUCUCAUUUGCUCCAACUCAUCCAUGAUGAAUUGGACCUCUUGCCGAAGCCCUCCCAAUAGUCGUCCCUCCUCGUGCAGAAAAGUUGAGAGUUGAUCCAGCACAAAAGAGAGAACAGUUUCUGCCAUUUUUAGUCUUUCUUUUUAACCUAAGAAUGUCGGGGGAGGCGGCUUCUGGUUUAUAGGACAGUCCAGUUGUAGUAUCUUGAAAGGAAGAAGGAAGAGGAGGUUAUAGAUUCAUAAGCUGAUGAACUUCGAUGCUAUAUGGUGCAGUAUUUAUCAAAAAGAAAAAGAAAGAACUAACUGUGGGUCCUUUGGUCGGAUAAUAACAAAGGAGCAUCGUUCAACUACUGCAAAAUGUUCUAUUAUAUGUGCCACAAUAACUCAGGCCCUUCUUUACAAGCGGAAGGAAUAAAGUUAAAACGCCGUCGGAUUGGACUGGACAUUAUUGAUUUCUUUGACGAAGAAAUAAAACUACUGCAAAAUGUUUUGCUCCUCCUGCUAAUAUGUAUAACCUUCCUUCCUUCCAUUGACUAUCACUUGAAUUUUUUAGUCUCAUUACUUGUGUGUCAACUAUUAUUUGAGAAUCUAAUAUCUCUUUUGAUUGGGAAUUUUGAAAAAUAAAAUAUCAUGUAAGUCUAAAAACAAACCUAAUAUGUCUAAUAAUUUUUUAUACGACCUAAAAUUGUAUUAGUUUGAAAACUAACGAAUUAUUUUUCAAUUAUUGUAACUGAUUUCAGAGGACUAAUUUUUUGUAAACUUUCAUCCUAAGUACGUAAUGACAUUUGUGUCUCUAUAUCCACUUUAAAACGUACACGUAAACUAUGUAAAUACAUUUUUUUUAUGUUCAAAUAAAUUAUCUAGACAUAGACUAAUUCAAAUAUUGGAGUAGAGGUGUUUAUUUUGUUCAAUUAUUAAUCAAUAAUAUUUGUCCAAGCAUGUUAACAGAGACAAAAAUGAUGCUACACGAGGAUGGAGGUGCUCUUUUUCUCUUUUACUCUAGUAAGUAUAUUAUUUUCGUUUUCUUCUUUUUAUUUUUAAAAAAUCAUUCUUAAUUAAGAAAAUUAGCGUUAUCGUACUCAUAACAUCAUAAGCCAAAAGAUCAUGUAAAGUAAAUUAAAGUAGAAACCUUAGGAACAAACCACUCAAACUAAUUUUUACAAUAAUUAAUAAAGUAGAAAUACUAAGUUCAGUGUUAUUUUUUGUUAAUAGCAGCUCAUGAGUGUGAAAAUUGUGGAAGAUAGAAGCAAUCAAAUCAGCAUACUAUUUAAACUUAGGAUCCAUGAGCUACUAAUAACUUGGCCAAAGUAUUUUAUCCCGCUGAUUUAAUUAACUUCAAAAGUUUUAUUGAGCUCCAAUUAACUAUAGUAAUAACGUGACUUAGUUCAAAUUACAAAACUCGAUCACAAGUAAUCGUACGGAGUUGAAUAAACCAUAUAAAUAAGGCGCCACAGUAACCAAGUUAGUGUUAGCCCCUUGUGAUCACCAUUUUAAUCUAUUAUCUCACUUCUUUCUUGCUUUUGUUUUUCCAUCCCUCCUUUUCCAGUUGUGAAAUUACUGCAACUACAACUGGAUAGGACGAAAGGCGGCUCAUUUUACCAAUUAGAAACUUGGCUAUGUUCAUAAAAAAGAAGAAAAAAAAAGCCUUGAACUUCAAGAAAAGUAAACAAAUCUCAGCACUAACUUGAGAGAAAAUGAAACCUCUGGCAAUAGCUGAUCCAAACCUACCCUGUCAAAUCCAAGUUUGCCGAAAGAGAGAACACGGGCGAGGAAGAUGAUAAUUUGAAUCAAAAUUAAAACAAUGCAGUAUAUGUGCAAGGCCUUUAGCUAGGAAGAUGGAGUAUCAUAGAGGAGAAGGUAGAGGAGCAGUACCGUUAUUGAUAAACAAUCCCUCAACGUGGUGGACCUAAUAAGAAUGUGGAUCUCAUCCAUUGACUGUCAGAGUGGCACAUGGCAAUAAUAUCGACUGUGACUUUCUCACUUUCCUGGUUGGAUGGUAGAACAAUUAGAUCAGAGUACCUUAAGAUUGUGGACCUAAGAUUGUCGCACAUGGCAAUAAAAUUGAGACUUAAAUGAUAUGGGAUCAGAGUACCUUGUUAGGUGAUCGGAGAAUGCGUAGUUUAGUCAUUUCACGAAAUAUUAGUUGUAUUCAAGUUAAGAUGGAUAGUGCUUAAUUUUCCAUUUAUUACAAGUAAGACUAGGUUAGGAAUAAGGGACAUGAAGUAACCGGAGGAUAAGGUCCAUCAUAUGAGCCACUCGAAUACUAUAUGCUGAAAAAGCAGCUUUGAAACAAAAGAAGAAGCAAAGGCACAAAAUUUUCCUAUGGUUCCUAGAAAUAGCAAAAGAAAGAAGAUAGAAACACAUUAUUGACAUUAUAAAUUUCCAUCAAUUAAUGUUCGUCAUUUUUAUACGGUAACUUACUACAGAGAAAUUGUGAAAGCCGUGUGAGAAAGUUGAGGAUGAAAUACGAGGAAAAUACUUACUCAACAAGAAACUGCAGCAAAAAUAUAUAUAUAUUGGAGUAGAGCCAUAAUAGUCAAUAAAAAAUAAGAAGAAACUAAUGCAAGAGAGAUGAUGGAAAUUGAAUAGAAAGAAGAUAGUUAGCUACGUGAUUUUGAAAGGCGAAGCUACAUUACAAAAUCAUGGAAAUUAUUAGAGAGACAAUGCAGUUGGUGGAAAUUGAAUGGAAGGAAGAUCACCAGAGAGGGACUUAAGUCCCUCCUUGGGCUGUUGGUGAGGGUUCAAACCUCAUCAGCAGCGAAAAAAAUCUAAGGGUUGUGCCAUAACACUCCCUUGGUCUAGUUGGGUCUGUAUACCCACUAUCCCCUAUCACAGCCUCUUUAGGCUCCCCCUCCCCCUAGAUUAGGAUAGAAUAAGUUAUACAAAAUAUAUACAAAAAAGAAUGGAGGAUAGAAUAAGUUAUACAAAAUAUAUACAAAAAAGAAUGGAACAAAAAUAAUUAGCAACGUGAUUUUGAAAGGCGAAGCUACACUACCAGUGUACCACACCAUCGUUCAAAGGCAACGAUGUCUAAACUUAAAACGUGGUGGCCUGGACAUCGAUUUCAUUGACGUAGAAAUAAAAGGAAAAUACAGAUUUAGUCUCUAAUAUUUUGACUUUAUGCAGUUUUAGUCAUUAAAGUUUUGAAAAAUGCAAAUUUGAUUCUCAAUGUUUAGCACAUGUGCAAUUUUAGUCCCUAAAAUAUUGGUAGGAACAAAUUUGGUCCCCUACAUUAUCGUUUUGAAGCAAAUUUAGGAUGAUUGACGAAUUUUUUCAAAUAUUGGUAGAAUCUGUUACGUGUAGUUACAUGCUUGUCAAUUUUAAAUAUCUUAAAAAAGAAGUAAAAUAGCGAGUACUCUUCAAUACUAAGACCAGUUUACAUGAUGCCACGUCGGUAACUAAUUAAUCAAGAAAAAGAAAAUUUGUUAAUCUAUAUGAAAAAGUAAAUGUUACGAUUUUGUGCUUGGCAUAGUCAGGAUAGAGUGUAAAAAUGAGUUCUAUAUCGAUGAAUUGGGUGCUUCAACUAAUUUUAGUUUAAAAAUUUUCAAUUUUUACUAGUUAAUUAGUUAGCAUAUGAAUUAUCAGUUCUUAAUUUUGUUGUUUAAAGUUAGCUACUACUUUGCAUCUUUGUUUUGAAAUGUAAAUUAAUGGACACAUAAUUAGACGUGACUAAAUUAUGUCAGUAAUUGAAAAAAAAAUUUCAAAUGUCCUAAAUCUAUUUUCAAAAUGGAUAUAUUAGGGACCAGAUUUGCUCUUGCAAAAAAUUUAGGGACCAAAACUGCACAGGGACAAAAAAGAUUGAGGACCAAAUUUCCUUUCACCAAAACUCUAAGGACUAAAACUCCACAGGAGAUAAAAUUUAGGGACUAAAUUUUUUCCAGGAAUACGUGAUGCAGAGGAAAGUUAUUUCUUCUGAGUGGAACAGAAAAAGCAACUCAAGACCUAAGCUCAAUUCAGGUUUCUGAUGAAUUCUUUUGUGAAAUCUAGCCGAGAGUAGCUGAAACUAGUUAAGAAUACAAAAUUAUACUUAGUACGCAAUAAGCAGAAAGGCAUCCAAGGGUCAGUAUAAAUUAUCUUCAAAUUUCAGAACACCAGUGCUUGUGCACCUAUUAAUGAAUUAUGGACUCGAUAAUAGUAUAUUUACUUUAAUGUAAGCUUUAAGUACUCCCCUACCUUGUUUUCUUUUACCUGAAUAGAUAGUUUCAAUGCUUAUUCUUCGACUAAAUGAUGUUGUACUUUAUUUGUUCAUUUUUUUCUUUUUGUUUUUUUUUUGUCAAAUGAUGUUGUACUAAAAAAGAGAGGAAUUUGCGAAAGAAUAUAAGGGUUCAAAUCUUAUCUAUUAGAAAUUAGUUUCGUUAAUUUCAAAGAAAGAAGUUAAUUAAAGAUCCCCUCUUUGUAUUUUUAUUUUUAACUCAGUAGAACUUAGCAUCUGCUAACCCUUACAUUAAUCAAACAAAUUGCCAACCAAUCGUUCUUGAUUGCCCACAUGUUGCUAAAUCUCAUUGUCAGCAUUCUUUCUUGGUUGCCUCAUAAUUCUUUAAUGCUGAUUUUUUGUAUUAAGUACAUUAGAAAAGAAUAUGAGUUCCACUUUACUACUAAAAUUGAUUAUUAGCAGAGAAGACAAAAGAGACUGGCGAUGCCGAGCCUUAGCACCUAGCUGUCACGGGCUCGAUGCCCUUCCAUAUGCAUCAGCGCAGAAAGCAAAAGUGAUAAGUUCAGUAAUAGGUGCAAUUGUUCAGUCAUCUUCUUUUUUGGUAAAGAAUGGAAGGGUGAAUACAAAGGUGAGAGCAAAACACCCCCCAUUAAUACAUGACUUUAGUCAUUCAAUAAGAAGUAGAUCUAGAAUUACACUACUGGUUCCUAGAAACAGCUUAAGAAAGAGACAGAGACAAUAUAUAUUGACAUUAUAAAGUUCUGUCAAUUAAUGAUAGGGUGUCGGCCUGUGUAAUAAUAAAACCUACUCAAAGUAAAAGUAAUUUCUGUAGAUAGCGGUGAGCAGGGUCGAAUCCACAGGGAUUGGGAAUAAUUGUUUCUUUUCAAAUUCACAGUGACAAGGGGGGUGUUUUUGCGCAGAGAGUGACAAUCAAAUAAAUGCAAAUAAAAUCCAAGGAACUACUAAAAAUUAAAUAACAAUUUACUAAAAUCAAAUAAAUGAUAACUAAGGAUCUAGCUAAGGAAUAACUUCAGCAAUGGUUCACCUAAUUGAUCAUCGAUGCAAAGCCAAUUCCAAUUAUUUACUAAUAAAUAUGUUAUAACUGUCAAACAAGCGAUGACAGUCAACCCCUCCUUACUGUGUCGGUGAUUAAGGUACGCUCGUCAAUCACUACUCUAAUUGAGAAAUAAUCUUAGGUACGCCGGUAAGAUUUAAUUCCCUAAUUGCCUUACGUAUUAGAGGAGCCCUAUUCUAACCAAAUAACACAUUACCAGGGUUAUUUUAGGUUAGCAUGCGUAUUCCCCUGACACAAACCCAAUCAUGUCAGUUAUCACUAUUUUGAGACAAUUAAACAAUUACAGAUUUAACGUCCCAAUUGACAAUAGAUUAUUAAAUUAAUUAAUUAUCCGGAUCCAAGACAAUCAAUUAAUUAAACAAUCAUAAGCACUGUAACCAGGGAAUAUGCGAAUACCAAUAAAUAAAAGAAAAAGAUAAAAUUAAAUCGAUCUCAUAAUUUUAGGCGAGCCAAAGCGUCCGUUGCUCCUUGACUAGACAAAGGGAUUUAACUCAUCCUUGUCUACUCUUACCGAAAAGAAAAGAAAAGAAACUAAAGAUAAAAGGAAAAGUCAAUGAUAGGGUGUCAUUUGUUAGUAAUUUUAUUAGUAAUUUUCCCUUUUAUCUCUGUCAAAUAUUGUGUUAAUUGCGAAUAUCUACUUAUAUUUGGUUUGUGAACUUAAUUUCAGGAAUGGAACAGAAAACUACCAAACCUGAGGGUCUUUCUGGAGAUAAUUGAGACUUCAAACAAGCCACAGGCCAGGGCCACAGUGCUGAAAAGAACUGGACUCCCAUUCCUUUAUUUUUGUUGACUAAGAAGACUACAACCAGAGAUUUCGACAGAGAACUUCAAGGCUUGGGCCUUUGACUUCGGCAGGGACCACGGAGGAAAGGAAAAGGGCUUUAGGCAUUUGGCUCUUAAGAAGAAAGCAACGUAGAGAGCCAGAAAAACUAAGAAGAAACUUGGAGGCUUGUGGCUAAGUGGUGGGGACCGCACUGAGGCUCAAAACAAGGAGAAGAAUUCGGCAGACUUGUGCUAUUUCGUGGGGACCACUGGAUGAGCUUUGAGUCAUCUUUCUCUUGGUUCUUAAAAGGGGGACAACGUACAGCAGAAAAAGGACGGCUUGAGUUUUAGCUUUUUAGUUUAGUUCUAGUUUUCUUUCUUUUGACUAGCCUUUGACACACGCCAGGUGUUCGACAAUAUUUCCCAACGGGAAAAACAUCUUUUAUUCCUUGCUUUCUAGUAAAAACGCAAUGCCUUUGCAAUCAAUUAAUUCGUGUGGUGAUUUAAUUAUGCGGCGUGACUAAACCUUCCAUCUAGUCAAGGGUCAACUCGACGGCGCAGUCCCGAAAAUUUGUGAGAUCUAAUUAGUUUUCGCGCGUUCCUCAAUUUAUUAAUAUUUGCACGUUAUCUGCUUGAAUUUUCAUGAGAUUAUUUUAUUAUUUGAAUGUCAAGGGUCCGAUGUUCAAUGUGAUUUAUUAAUCUCGUGCCAAUUUAGUCAAUUAAAUCCGUAAUUGUUUGAUUGAUUAAUAUUAGUGGCAACUGGUGUGUUUACACAUUAGGGGAAUGUGCAAUCUAAUUUAAAUAACCCUCGUAGCGUGUUAUUGAUUAGGGCUAGGUUUUUCUAGUGAUUAAUGCAAUUGGAAAAUUAAUUCCUACGGUCGUACUUAGGAGUAUUUUCUGGUUAGGGGUAAUCAAUGGUCGUACCUUGGUUAUCAAUAAAUUAAGGAAAAAUUGGUCGUUAGAAUUCGUCGGCGACUAUAACUAGUCUAUUAAUAAAUUAAGUGAACCUCUCUUGCAUCAAUGAUCGGGUAAAUGGACUGUGUCUGAGUAGUUGUAUCCCUGGCUAGAAUUUAUUUAUUCUUGAUUUAAUUCCUGCUAUAUUUGUGCUAGUUAAUUAUUUAUUUUUAGUUAGAUUGUUUAAUUAUUUUUAGUUGCCUAUCGGUGAAAUCCCCCUCUUACCAAUUGGACUUUAAAAGAGACAAAUAUCUCCAGUCCCUGAGGAGACGACCCUAUUUGUCACUGUCUACUAUUUAGUAAAUUUCGUCAAUUAAUUAAUUCUGGUAUAUCGGAUUCAGCAAACUGUUCGGUAACAGGGUUAAUCAAGUAACCCAUUGCACACCUAGAGUCCCUGCUCCAGUACCUGGAAUUAAUUUUUGACUGCUUUUAGUGGUAUUUAGGUUUUUAUUAUUAUUAUUGCACAGGUUCGACACCUGUCAGUCAAAGUCUUCCCCAUUGUUUCUCCUCACAUCCGUGGAGAAUAACUACUAAAAGCUAAGAAGAAAAAGUGAAAAGUAAGGCUAAGCUAAAAGACGAAAAAACUAAGAAGAAAGCAAGGUUGUCCCUUUCUCCACUGCAAUUUUCUGGUUUUUGGUUAUAGUAUUUUUGUUCUACUCUCUGAAAUAAAUAUAAAUUGCCAAAAGUGAGUAGAAUCUAACAAUUAAUCCACAUCGGGUUAGGUAAUAGAGGAAAUUAAUAAUAAAAUAAAUCAUAAAAUUGCAACCUAUCAAUUUCCCCCACACCUAAACCAUACUUGCCCUCAAGCAUGAUAAUAGCAAACAAACACCAAUAUUUGACAAUGGUCAUUGCUCCGUCUACCAUAUUACCAAGAUACCAAGAAAAACAUAUAUCAAGCAUGGGUGAUCAAGAUCCAAGAAACAUCACUUCGGUUAGCUUCUAAACCACAAACUCCUCUAAUUUCAUGUUAACUAAUCUAAGAAAAAGAAAUGACGCACAACAUUUAUCAGCAAAUGGUCCAACUAUUAAUCAAAAUCUCAACAUUAAAUCCAUAAAUCGGCAAGCUGACUUUUAUUAUACACUAACACAACUUUCAUUUUUUUAUCACAUUUUUCUACUUUUCUCUUUUUUUUUUCCUUUUUUUUCUCUUUUUUUUUUUUGCUUUUUUCGAUAGUAACAAAAGACUUGGUCGCUAGCCAUUGGAGCCUUUUGACGCGAACUCUGACAUUUAUUAGAUGAAAGAGCCCGGUUACUCAGUUUCGAUCGCCACGUGACCACGUACUCAUAGUAAUUACUACUUUUUGACGUGAGAAUUGACACUUUUGGUGAAGAUCCCCGGUUACUCGGUAGUAAAGACUAGCGGAGUACAGUCAACUCUUAUUCACCACUAAAUAAUAUAAAAACUCAAUAUAACACAAAAAUUAAAAGAAAAUUUACAUCAGCUAGUCUCAUUUUCAAACAUGGAGAACUAAGGUUAAUAACCGGACCAAUUCACAUGAAAAUGCCAACAAUCAUUCCCUUUGCCUAGAGAAGUUAACCAAAAAUUAGAAGAGCUACAUAAUCACUGAUAUUCACUAAAGGAAUGCUCUUGGAUUCAACCACAUUAACUCGAUACAUUUUUAUUAUUAAAACUAGGCAAAAGUAGAAAUAGGGACAACAAUCCAACAUCAAACCUUGGCAUGCACAUGUAAACUAAUCACUAAAAAGAAAGAAAGGAAAUGCACGAAAGAUGGCCAAAUAACAAACUAAAAAGAAAGAAAGAAAAAAAUAUGAGAAAAAAAAUAAAUAAAAGAAAAACACCUAAAAACUAGAAACGCUAGCACCCCCCAUUUGCUCCCCCCCACACCUAAAUCACACAUUGCCCUCAAUGUGAUAAACUAACAGCAAAAGGAAGGAGAAGGGCAACGGUACUUCCCUGAAGUCGUCAAAACAGUGGAGGGUUAGGCGGAAAUUAAGGAGGAAUUCCGGUGUGCUGCAUAAAUGCGGCCAAAUUUCUGCAUAAAAGCUGACAAAACUUGCCCAUCCCAAAAUCUCAAUAAAUGUCUCCAAUUGGACAGUUAAUUUCUCAACUCAAAAUCGGCAAUUCCAGCAAAAGCAGUUUAGAAAUUUGAUAAUAGCCACACAAUGACAAGCACUUAGUUCCCAAUCAGGCAGCCAACCAAAUAGAAAUAACAAAUGCUAGUCAAAAUAUCCCAACCAGUGCCACUGAUGCACACACAGGUAAGAAACAAUGCAAACAGGCAACCCAAAUCACUGACAAUGCCCCUCCAAAUCAAUAAUAGAAACCAACAGCUAGAGUGCCCCAACAACUCAACUGAAAACUACCAAUCUCAACAAGUAAAUCAAGCAACCAGGUUUUCCAAAUCAACAGGCAGUAGCAGAACUAAAUCACCCAAUCACCGUGCACGAUAGGCAACAAAAAAAAAUUUUUUUUUUUAUAAGUGCGGGGCUGCCAUGGUGAGUUCUAUAUAUAACACUACUGGUUCCUAGAAACAGCUUAAGAAAGAGACAAAGAGACAAUAUAUAUUUGGACAUUAUUAUUUUUCAAAAAAAAAUUGCUACGUUUUUCGUAAACACAUUUUCCAAUCACCUUUCCACCUCACAUAUAUCAAAUCACUACAUUAAUUUUUCUACAAAAAAAUCUAAAAAAAUGCAAUCCAAACACAACCUUAAAGUUCUGUCAAUUAAUGUUUGUCAUUUUUAUACGGCAACAUGCUAGUACAAAAGAAUUGUCAAAAGCCGUGUGAGAAAGUUAAAAGUUAAGAAUGAAAUACGAGGAAAAUUCUCAUUCGCAACAAAGAAACUGCAGCCAAAAAAAAAAAAAAAAAGAGGAGUGGAGCCAUUAAAGUCAGUCAAAAAGAAAAAGGAAAAAAUAAUCAAUUACAAGAAACUAAAGCAUGAGAGAUGAUUGAAAUUAAAUGGAAAGGAGACUGACAGCAGUGUGAUUUUGAAAGGCGAAGCUACUCUACCCGUUACACUACAAAAUCAUGGAAAUUAUUAAGCAGUUGGUGGGGCGUAUGCGUUCACUCUUCAGUCUUCCAUCAAAUAAAGGGGGUGGCUACCAGCGUACCGCCCUAUCGUUCAAAAGCAAUCGAUGUCUAAACUUAAAAACGUGGCGGCCUGGACAUUGAUUUCAUUUCAUUGACGAACAAAUAAAGGGAAAAUACGCAGUUAGUUAUAAUAGGCAGGGCAAUUAUACCCAACAAAUUGCAAUAUUUCAGAAGUUAGUAUUUACAAAUUGAACUCGACUAGUCUGGAAACAUCACUGUUAUAUAUUCCGAUCAAGAACAUAUACUAUGAAUAAUUGCAGUCGAAUAUCGUUCUUUAACUAAACUGUUAAGAUGAAUUCUGGGAAGUGAGUGAGGAGCUCAAACUAUAGAGACGCAUAGAAACUCUGCCAUUCAAUGUUGUAGAUCUCUUGUUUAACAGCUUAGAAGCCGCUAAUUGGGUAGUCUUUUAACUCAUCUCCAAAAUCUGAAGGCUUUAACUCAUCCCGGACUAGCUAUAAUGCCCCCGCAUGAAUGCUAUAAUUUGUACCUAUAAUCUAAAAAGCGUUUGUCAAAACUCUAUACGAGUCUCCAAGUGUGUGCCAAGUUUCACAGGUUGCAGAAAUGUACUCCAAGUUUCACAGGUUGCAAGAAAGUCCACCUCUUUCGUUGUAAAGAUGAUUGCUCGAGGGCGUAAACUACUACUAACACAUAUGUUACCCCAGUCAGACGACAGAGUGUCCAGAAAUAAGAUUCAAAAGCUUUGAUAGUCUUAACUCAUAUCCAAAAUCUGAAGGCUUUACGUACUGCUGCUACAAGGAGAUCAUUUCAGUUGAUUCAGAGAACCUUGCAUGAAUUCGGUGAAAUGUCCAGCCUCAAACCAAACCUACACAAGUGUCAGAUAUACAUGGCUGGUGUGAAUGAGGAUAUGCAGAUUCAGCUUUGCAAUUCACUGCAGAUGCCUUUAGGCUCACUCCCUGUUAGUUAUUUGGGCUUGCCAUUGAUAUCUACUAGACUGAGAUUUUAUAUAUCGUCAACCUAUUUUAAAUAAGAUAGAACAAGGAAUUCAUAGUUGGGCUAGUAAAAAACUUUCAUAUGGAGGCAGAUUACAAUUGAUAAAAUCCAUCUUAAAUGGAAUUCAGGUUUUUUGGUCUAGUGCUUUUGUUCUUCCCAAAUCUGUCAUCAAGACGUUUUGUAGGAUGCUAACUUCCUUUUUAUGGGCUGGUGAGAUUAGAACUCAUUAGUGUGCAAAAGUUAAGUGGACUGAUAUAUGUAUGCCUAAGAAGGAGGGAGGAUUGGGCUUGUUUGAUUUAAAACUUUGGGACAAAUGUCUAAUCAUGAAGCAAAUAUGGCAUAUUUGCUGUAAAAAGGAUACUCUUUGGGUUAAAUGGGUUCAUACCAACAACUUGAAAGGGUGUUCCUUUUGGGCAGCAAAGAUUCCUGUUAAUGGUUCUUGGGUAUGGAGGAAAAUAUUGUUGAGGCCUGAGGGACGAAGCUCAGCCUUUCAUUAGGCAUCUACUGGCACCCUAUUGGUCCUUUAUAUAAAUAUUUUUUCUGAAAUUUGUAUCAUAUUUCAACGGAAAUGUAUCUUUGCUCUGACCAUUGUGUCUAUGGUCCUUGAAUCAGUUAGGAAUACUAGUGUUGUGAGUUGGAGAGGAGUCCCACUGACCAAAGCCAAUUGGGAGCUAAGUAUGGAGUUCGGAUCGUCUCGUGUGUUUCCAGCAAGAUUGAGUUUGCAUUACUAUAAUAGUGAUAGAAUUUAUGUAAGUAGGAAUUGUUUGAUUCCUGUGUACUCGCUUAAUUCUUUAUCAAUAAAGAUUCAUAUUUGUCCAAAAAAAACCAACAAAAGAAUGACCAAUUACUUGCAUUACAUCAACAAUUAAUAUCAAUUAUGCCAACACUAGCAAAAAAGAAAAACAUUCCCAUGAGUUGUGGUGAAUUAAAUCGAAAAAAGAACAACAAAUUUUAUUUAUUAUAAAAGAAUAUCGUGAAUCUUAGUGGUUAAUAGUGUAAUUAGCUUUUGUGAUGCCACAAUUACACUCCUCUCUAAUAAAUGGACAAAUUGCAUUGCAUUUCAUCAAUAAAUAAUAUCAAAUAUGCUAGCAGUUACAAAAAUGAAAGAUUUCUUACUUUUUUAUUUAUCAAAAAAAAGAACAAAUUUUAUUUAUGAAAUAUCCAAGUUUAAAGAGUACUUCGAACAUGAAAUAAAGCAUAAUAAAUUGGUACUAUGAGUCUCUUAAAAAGUAUUAUGAAUCUUUUUAUAUUUUGGAUAAAAAUAAAUUAAGCCUUAAGAGCACGUUUUAGUAUGCAUAUAUUAGUAUUAAGUAAAAAAAUUUAACACAAAAUAUAAUAAGAGCUGGAGUAUGAUGAAGGAAAAGAGAUUUAUGUUAGGAAUUUAUUGGUUUAAAUUGCAACAAAAAUUAAAUUUAAUGAACUUUAUUAUUGGUAUUAUUGUAACAAUUGAUAGCAUCAAACAUAUCAAUGCCAAUAACAAUAAUAGUUAUAAAGGUGAAACAAUCAUUUGAGUUAUGGUGAAUUAAACUAAAAAAUAUAAUUUUUUAAUGAAAUAUAUAUCCAAUUUCAAAGAGUACAUCAAAGGUGAAUAAAAAUAUUUCCAAAUUCAAUUUGAUUAUUAUAUAAUAAAUAAGCUUAACGGCUUACAAUUUUUAAAUAUAAACUCUAUAAUCGUAAAUCAUGUCAUAAAUGAUAAAUAUAAAUAAGUUUCACCAAAUGAAAACAUUUCUCUUCAAAAUUAAGCUAUUUAAAUUUGAACAAUGGAAUUCAACAUAUCUAAAUACUAUUGUAAUUAUAAUAGUACUAUAGAUCAUUUUAGAAUUCAACAUUAGCGAAAAAUAAUAAUAAUUAGAAAAACUCACUACUGUUUAAAAAUUCAUAGAGUGACUUAAAGGGGAACAACAAAUUAUUCAAAAGUUAAAGAUUUUAACUCAAAUGACAUAAAUUUAACAGAAAGAAGAAAACAUAAAUACUCUUACAAAAUAAAGUCCUCUUGGAACAAAUAAUACUUUAUUACUUGUGCAUUUGUAUUGGUUAGGGCAAACCAAAUUCAAAAAAAUAUAUGAAUAAUAAAUAUCCUUUUUGGUUAACAAGUUAUAAAUUUAAACUCAAAUGACAUAAAAGAGAACACUGAGAUAAUCCAAAUUUAACAGAAAGACAACAACAUUGAUACUGUUACAAAUUAAAUGUGCUCUUAGGAUAAAUAAUGCUUUAUUGCUUAUGCAUUUGUGUUGGUUAUGGCAAAAAAAUACAAAAAAGUAUAAAUAUUAAAUGUCACAUUUUUUGUCUCAAUUACAUUUAUUCUUACAAAAUAAUUUAUUUUCUAAAACUUUUGAGAAAUGUUAUUUGUAGUCACAUUUCUGUUAAUCAUACUCCCACUAUCACUUAAAUCAUAUAGUUUUCAUUUGUUAAGAUAUGUGGUACCGUAUCAAAAAAAAUGGAGUGCAAAUUACAUUUUUGAAAAUUCUAAGAAAAAAAUCUAAAAAUAUCAUGCUCAUGUUCACGUGUAAAAGCACAUGAUCCAUUACUGGUAUCUUAAAAAUGCUUGAUUAUCCAAAUAGAGGAGCUUCCUAAAGAUUGUUGGAGUUUGAAUGGUCAGUUCCCUUGUGAAGUUUCUUGAACAAUCUCGAGACUCAGAUGGUUCUUAGAUGAACAUACGAUUGCAUAAUGGGUGAUGAUAUGUUGAAAUUUGUUAUUAAUUGUUAUGAUUAAUUUCCCCUUUACUCUUGCCAAAUAUUGUUUUAAUUGUCAGAUUCUACUGAUAUUUGGUUAAUUGUGUUAAUUAUAGAGAAUUAUGUGAGACGCGAUCAAAAUGAGCAAAUUUCUAGCAUUCCAAGAGUUAAUUUGAUGGUGGUACGUUUGGGGCCGAUUUCCAAAUCCUAGUCGAACUCAGGUUAAUUUUUGAAGGAAGAUUUUGAAAACUUCAAUUUUCAUUAUUAGUUCUAGAAUUGGAUCAGGGAACUUGGAAUAGUAUUUUUAGUAGUUACUUUUUUCUAUUUAGGAAACAUGUUAUGUUAUUGGUAGUUGAGAUCGAAUGGGAAACAAAAAACAAAAGCAAAGGACGGACCGCUUGAUGUGGAGUUGGCCAGCAACAAUUUCAGAGUGCGACUCUUGGAAGUAGGAUAUACGGCCGUCACUUGUUUCUUUUUUUUCCCUCUUGUCUUUCGUUAGUUUUUUUAGAGAAAAACCAUACGCAAUUGUUAUCAAUGGAGUCUUGUGGAUUUCCCUCGAGGAUGCGUAGCUAAAUUCUAUUUCUAGUCUGAGGAUAACUUGAAGACUUUGUUCUACAAACUAUGAGAUCGAAUCAAUUACACUGUUUCUUUUAUUUGCUGGUAUUUAUUCGUUCUUUGGUUUUAAUAAUUAUGACUAUUAUGUUAUUCAAAUAUCAAAGGGCUCGGUAUUUGAAUUGACUUGAUAGUUGAUUGCUAAUUGAAUCGAUUUAAUUCGUAAUUGUAAGAUUGCUUUAAUCUUGGGAGCAACUGGUAUAACUAGAUUUGUGUUAGGAAAAUGACUAAUCUAACUUAAAGAGACCUUAUAGCGUGUUGAUUGGUUAGAAUUAGACUCUUCUAAUUAUUCAUGCAAUCCGGUAAACAAACUUCUAUGGUCGUACCUAGAGUUAUUUCCUGAUUAGAGAAAUAGUCAACGAUCGUACCUUGACUAUCGACAAAAUAAGGAAGAGUUGGUUUUUAUGCUAGAACUAAUUUAUCAAUAAAUAAUUAAAUUUAUCCUUGCAUCGGUUUAUGAACUUUGUCUGAUAGUUAUUCCUCUUGCUAGAGUUUUGCUAUUAUUGAUUCAAUUUUAUUUUAUUUGUGUUAUUUUGAUCUUACUGAAUUUAGUUGGUUAAUUCCAAGUAUCUCCAAACUCCCCCAAUUAAUUCUCACUUGAAAAGAAAUAAAUUUUUCCAAUCCUUGUGGAGACGAUCCUGCUCAUCACUGUAUACAGUUUUAUAUUUAUCUCGAGUAGGUAAUUAUUAUUACACACACUGACAUCGGUCAAGUGAUGCUUUCCAUAGUCUGAACCUAGUUGAGGAUGACGAAAAUUAGUCUUGCCCUGUUAUGGACUGUAGGAAUGGUGAGAGAGGAAGGGAAGAAGCAGGCCUUGAAAAAAUGAGCUAACUUGUGCAAAGAGUGGGUGGGGAACGUUAACAUAACUUUUUGUGCGUUUUCUCCUGAUGUAAUUGUCGGCAAUAACUUUGUCCAGUGCUAAGGGAAACACCCAUCGAUUUUGCAUUUCUAGUUUGAUAUUUGAGGGCCUUUGCAUCUCUGAAGAUCAAAUGGUACAGUUUGGAAUUGCUGAUGGUUCUGCGGCAAGUGUAUUUUUUUUUUCCUUGAAAUUUCAUCAAAGCCGCUCUUCUUUUUUUUUUUGUCUUUUUUUUUCUAAUGUAAGUGAGAAGGUUUGAACCCAAUAGCUCUUAUUUAUACUCCGUUCUCUCGUACCAUCUAACCCAUUCCUCUACUAUCAUCAAAAUUGCUGUUUUAAGAAGUAAGAACAAGCAUUAAGUCAUGUCCAGUGCUAAGGAAAACACUGGUUGAUUUUGCAUUUCAAGUUUGAUGUAUAGGGGCCUUUUCAUCUCUGAAGAUCAAAUAGUACAGUUUGGAAUUGCUAAUGGUUCUGCGGCAAGCUCAAUAUCAAAUGGUACAGUUUUGAUCCUUGUUUUAAGUUAUCAAGGGGUUAAGUAACUUCAUGUUUUGAUCCUUGUACUAUUUUUUUUUAUUUACAUUUUUGGGUUUUCUGGAUAAAAUAGUACUACUUAUCAUAAACACGGGCGAAAUUUUAGAGCAACUUCAGAAACAUGUGUGUUAAAGUGGAGCUCAAGACUCCCAGAUAAUGAGAAUGUACUCAAGCCAAUAGGCCAGUGGUUGCUCUUGAUUACCAACAUAUGCAUAUGCAUAGAUCAUCUGCAUUUUUUGUUCCUAAUUGCCAGCAUAAUCCACAUCUUUUGAUUUUACAAAAAUGCUGUAAAAAAAAAAGUCAUGAGCCCCUCUAUACUACGAGAAGAUGAUUGAUUGUUCACCCAGAUUUUGUCAAGUUUAGAAAAAAAAAAUCUUUAGAGUGAAUUGAAUCAAAUCCAAAUUUUGUGUUUAGUGACAAUUCCUAAAAGAGAAUGCAAUGAAGAUUUUCAGUGUAAAACAUUUAAGAACCAGUCAUGCACAUUGUAGGUUUAUUAGCACAAAGUAAUUAUGCUAGUCAAUGAUGAAUGAUCUCAUAUGCAACGCGAGUUGAAACAUUGGCAAAUUGGGAAAGGAAAGAAUAGAUUGGGGAUACCUAUAACUUAAAAGGAGUCAUAUAAUAAACUUGGUGCAUGUUCAGUAUUCGCUAUAUUUACAAGACAAGCCAUUAUUGAUGUGGGUUUGUACAAGCAGAGUGAGGACAAAUUGGGUUUAUGUAUUAUCUCUCACCAAAAUUUAAAAGUUAUUAUUUGGAGCUUUUAAUGAAAAUUUUCUGGUAGAUAUUAUUAACACACUUCUAACCUGCCUACCUUCUUGGACUGGACAUUGUUGAUUUCAUUGACGAAGCAAUAAAACUGCUACAGAGUCUUUUGCUCCUUCUAGUAACAUAUAUAACCUUCCUUCCUAUAUGGAAUUAAUUUCUGCUGACCAAUUAGUAUUUGUAAUAAAAACGGAUGGAAUAUCAAAGAAGCCUUGGGAACAAAAUGUGAGACUACAUUGAUUUAGGAGGCCUUUGAACAGCAUGGAAAUUUAGCACAUGUGCAAUUUUUAGUCCCUAAAAUAUUGGUAGGAACAAUUUCGGUCCGCCAUGUUAUCGUUUUGAAGUAGAUUUAGGAUGAUUGAUGAAUUUUUUUAAAUAUUGGUAGAAUCUGUUACGUGUGAUUACAUGUUUGUUAAUUUUAAAUAUCUUAAAAAAGAAGCAAAAUAGCGAGUACUCUUCAAUAAUAAGACCCGUUUACAUGAUGCCAUGUCGGUAACUAAUUAAUCAAGAGGGAAAAAAAAGAAAAUUUGUUAAUCUAUGUGACGCCCCCACUUCUCCCUAAGGCGAACCAAAGGGUAUCCGCGGGACGCCUGCCCAGCUCUCGCCAGGACUCACUACAAUCCAUCAUUUAAAAGCUCGAAAUACUUUAAGUAACCUCAAUACAUAAUUAAAGUAUUUCAAAUAUCUCACACUUACAAUUAUGCAGCUUUCAAGGUUAAAUACAACCCAACGGAAAAGGGUACAAUAGCCAUCCGUUAUAAUAUAACUUAAAGUUUUCAAAAGAAAACAAUCUAGUACUACUCACGAGCACCCUUGGUCUCGAACCCUGUAAAAGAAAUCCACAACGUGGUAUGAGCUACACAGCCCAGUGAGGUUCCAAGACACUCUAACAGUUCAAAUAAAUCAAGUAAGUUGGGCAUAUCAUAUGCAUGGUUCAAGGUUACACAAUGGCAUGUUAUCAUGAGGUGAUAAUCAUUGUACGGGUAAUUUGAGACAUUUAUCAUGGUAUGAGACAUUUAUCAUGAGACAGGUAUCAUGGUAUGAGUACAUUGGUCAGGUAACAGGUAUGGAGCAUAUCACAGGCAUAGCUCAGGAUUUCAUGUUGGCAUUUUAGCAUGAAACAAUUAUCAUGAUACAAGGUAAACAUAUACGGUAGGAUACGGUGUUCCAGUGGAACUCUGUCGGUCAUCUGCACCUUAUGACUUCCGGAUCCCCUCGGUUUGACUGGCCAUCACCUUAUCCCUCCAAUGGUAAUACUCGAGUAUACCGAAACGGUGUCCCAAGGUUCCAACCUACCCUACCGAGCCCAGUCCUGGCUCGAGUAGGUUAGUAACGAUGAGCAGGGCCCAAUUCAGCUUAGAGCUUACAACAUGCACAAGUAAUCAAGUAAUUCGGCAAAAGGUAAAAUUCAUCAUUUGAGUAGGUCGAGUGAGGUAAAGUACACACUCGCCUAACAAUGAUGGACAACUUCAUAUAACAUGGGAUUCAUGAUAAUCAAGUGAUCAAGUAAGUUGGUGAUUACGUAAGCAGAUAAUCAAGUAAGCAAGUAGCCGAAUAGAUUAGAAAACGGUAAGUAAACAUGGUUAACGGUAAACGGUUAACGGUGGUAAUUACGGUUAAUUGGUAGACAUAUGUCAUUUUAAUAGGCCACCAUUGGCCUUUUUCACUUUUUCCACAUAAGAGUCGAGGAGAUUCACUCCAACCGACUUAUGCUGUCAUAGCAUAAUUAAUCAUUUAAACACAUCAUGUAGAUAUGCUCUCCAAGCAUUUCAUAUCUAAUAUUUCAAGUAAUCACAUAAAUAUGCUCUUUAAGCAUUUCAUAUCGAAUAGUUCAAAUAUACAUAUUUCAGGUAUUUCAUGUCGAGUAAUUCAAGUAUACCUUAUUCAGAUAUGCAUGAGUGUGGUAAAUACUUAACAUAUAGCACUUAACACUUAAUAAUCAUGGGUUAUGCAUGUCAUAGACUUAUUCCAAUUACGUAUUCCUAUAUGGAACACUCACCUAUAGCAACAAGAGAGUAAUACUCAAACAAAUGUCUAGGCGUCCACUUCGAGUUCCUCUUGAAGGUCCCCUUGAGCGCCUGGGCAAAUAACCAUUAACUAUUAUACACUAUCACUUAGAACCCCUACUUAUCAAAGAAGGUUAUACAAUCUAAGGAGAAUUCAUUAAUUGGGCCUUAAUUAAUAAUAAUCGAGGCUCAAGAGUAAAGUUUUAAAGUCUAAAGAGAGAGACUAAUAUUUUUCAUGAAAUCGAGUUCAAAAUGUUCAAUCGGUAUUGAGAAAAGAAGGCAAGUUUCCAAAAUCUCAUUUUCUAAGAAAUUGACAAAUUUCAGCUUUGGGUGUCAAUUUUAGAAAAAUCGUAUCUUGCACUAUGUAGGUCCAAAAUUGGAAAGCUUGAUACCGUUGGAAACUUCUUCAAAAGCGCUAAAAGUUCCUAGAAGAUACUUUUCCAUGAUUCCAAACAGAAGGUAUUCAAAAAUUGACUCAAAGUUGCUGCUUGGGACCAUUUAGACAGUUUCGGGGUUGGUUUUUGACCAUCUUUGAAAAUCCAGCAAAAUUCACACAAUACGAACUAGCCUCCAAAAUUUAGAACUCAAUUAGAGCUACAAUCAAAGUUUAAAACAAAACAAACGGUACAAGAAUUGAAGUUUUGAGCGCCAAGAUAUAGCAGCUCAAAGUUGGCUAAAAAUUCCUCCUCGAUCAAGAAUUUCCAGAUUUAAACAUGAACUUUGGGACUUUGUUUGAACAUCUAAACAGACUCGAAAUGGCACCAAAUUUGGUAUGAUUAUACUACCAUAUAAGGGCUAUUCCUCUGUCAAAUUUCAUAGAAAAAUAUGCACGGAAAGUCACUCAACGAAAUCACUCAAGUUUCCAAAUUUUUAAGGCAAAGCUGCCUCGUGUAUGAAAAUUUCCUUUUCUAAACUUUUGACCAAGGGAAGAUACCUAAAACAUGUCUCGUUUAUGAUAAUCAGGUCUAGCAAGAAUUCAAAAUACAUUUGAUAGGUGAUUUACAUCAAGAAUUUCGAAAUAACAAGUCCCAAGUCAUUGUUAGUUACAAAUCUGUCCAAGUGGAAAAUUCUAUCACUGUAGCUGUUUCAAACUUUGGCCACAACUCACUCAAUUCAACUUGGAAUUGGGCGUGGUUGAUGGCGUUGGAAAGCUCUCUCAUAAAGCUGAAUUUUCUCAGAAGAAACCAUUUUCAAAUUCCAUUCACAAACAGCUCGUUUUUGAGCAUGAAGAUACAAGUCCUGUCCUGUCUCCUGGAGAGAAACGAAACAGGACAGUGAUUUUCAAUCGAAUGGUGUUGCUCACUCAAGUGGAACUAGAAUGUGCAUUUGGUACCAAUGGAAAGCUGGGAAUGCCUAGUUUCAAAUGCCACCAACGGCACUCAAUGUUGACAUCGGAGUAAAGAGUUAUAGCCGAUACAAGAUGACUGCCUGGGCAAUACGGGAUUCAUUUUCCAGUUUUGCUAACUUUGGAAAUCAACUCAUUUAACCAACCAAAUCAUGUUAUUUUUCAAUGAAAUUUUGUACACACUCACAAUAACAUGUAAACAAUAUAAUCAAGUCAUUAGAACCUCAAAAUUGUGCACAAAAAUGGUCGGACAAGGCAGGGGUAAAACGGUCACUUUUGCUCCAAGCACCUCCUAUGAUUUUCUACCAACAAUACAACAUUAAUCCACUAAUUUAAGCACUAAACCACCAUUAAAUCCAUCAUCAAGCAUGAGAUCAGUCCUCAAGACAAAGGUGGGAGUUCAUAGAGCCCACCCAUUUCAUUUUACACCAUAAACAAGCUACCCAAAUACAAAUACUACCUUAUACAUGUAAGAUGAUCUUCAUAAAGUAAGAUUUAAGUGUUGGAUUAACACCUACUUGAUUAGAGGAUGAAGGCAGAAAUUUCGGCCCCUUAGAUGCUCAAGAAAACCAUGGAUAGCAGCUCCUUUUCUUAGCUCAAUGGGAUCUCUAAAUGUUUAGUUAAGUGUAGUUCGAAUUUGGAGUGAAUUGGAAGAGGUUUGAUGAAGAUUUGAUGAAGGAAAAAUGAAGAACUUGGUCUUGUUUUUCCUUGGAGUUGCACGGCUGGAAUGAAGAAGGAAAAGAAGAGUUGCACGGCUGUUUGAGGUGAUAAAGUGGAGGGUUUUUAUCUGGUGUGAUGCACCCAUGUGAAACUAAAAUGUGUGGCUCUCAUUGAUUCAAAGGUUAACUCUUUUUCCCGCGCGUUUCGUGUUCGAUUCCUCUCGAAUUUGUUUCACUGGUGCACUAAACCUCUAAUGCACUUAUAUUCAUAUAAAUAUUAUUCACUCUCAAUCGUCCCAAAAUAAGGGUCUAAAGUUCCUGAAUUUAAAUCGCGCGUGUGAAAACGCGUAUCUCCAAUUUAAGCGCGAUAACGCGAAACUUCCGAGAAAUUCUUAUAACGAUAGUACUAAUAACUAUCACUUGAGUAUUUAAACAUUAAAAUACCGAAUUUAGGUCCAUUGUACAUGUCUCCAAUAUUCCAAACUUAUUGUACUCUCAAGCGGAUAAAAUCUCCAAGCACUAUUCACUAUUUUUACUAAACGCGCUCCAGGAAAUUAAUUCGUGAAAUGAGUUACUUUAAAAAUAUAACGAAGUUAUAUUACCAUGCAUUUAGGUCUAAUAAGACUAGAAAAUAUUCCUCGAGGCAAAUAUCCAAUUAAAUAAUUUAUUAAGCCACAAAUUAGGCUUAAAAAUAAUAGUUUUUACGAGUCCUCACAAUCUAUCUGAAAUGUUACGAUUUUGUGCUUGGCAUAGUCUGGAUAGAGUGUAAAAAUGAGUUCUAUAUCAAUGAAUUGUGUGCUUCAACUAAUUUGAGUUUAAAAAUUUUCAAUUUUUACUAGUUAAUUAGUUAGCAUAUGAAUUAUUAGUUCUUACUUUUGUUGUUUAAAGUUAGCUACUAUUUUGCUUCUUUGUUUUGAAAUGUAAUUUAAUGGACACAUAAUUAGACGUGACUAAAAUAUGUUAGUAAUUGAAAAAAAAUUCUUCAAAUGUCCUAAAUCUAUUAGUAAAAUGGAUAUAUUAGGGACCAGAUUUGCUCUUGCAAAAAUUUUAGGGACCAAAACUACACAAUUAUGUUAUUAAUUAUAUUAUUAAAUAUAAAGAAUUGGAUUAUAACUAAAUUAUUAUAUUGUAUAUAUAUAUGUAUUAUAUAUGCAUCUAUGAAUUUAAAUAUAUACAUAUUUUCGUAUAUGGGGGAUGGGGUGGGUGUAUGUUACCCUGCCCCCCGCCCCGUUUUAAGGUAGGGGAAAAUUUUCUCCCCCAGCCCUGUCGCAUCCUCCUCCCUAUUUCUAUCCUCAUGGACACUUGCCCUUGUUGCCACCCUUAGCUUUAAGUACCCUUAUUUUUGAGUAAAUUAAACGUAACCUUCUAUGGUUCCACUAAUUGUCAUAUAACUACCAUAAUAUUUCAAAUAACCUCUAUAACAUCAUUAUUUCAAAUACUAAUAAUGUCCUUAUUUAAAUGAUAAAGCGAAUAAAUGUUUAACCACCUUGGAUAAAACCGCAAGAAAAUUAUGUGGAUAAACGUAAAAAAAUACAAUGAGGCAAAAUGCAUAUUUAUUUAAAUCAUAGAGGGUUAAUUGGAUUUUAUGAUUCCAUCACACAAGUUUUUGGGAGUGCAUUUGGUUUAAACACCUAACCAAUGGUGCAUUCCUUCCAUUUUCUACUUUACAUAAAAUUACAUGAAGGUUAUACAACUAUUAUGAAACUUUAGAGGUGUUAUGUGGCAUUGAAGAAAAUUAUAGGGGGAUUAUAUGUAAUUUAUUCUUUUUUUACAUGAAUUGUAGGUAUAUAAAUUAUUUUAAUGCUUUUUCGACAAAAUGAUAUAGAACUUUGGGGGGGGGGGGUUGGUCAAAUGAUGUUGUAAUCAAUAGAGAGAAAUUUGAGAAGGAAUAUGAGGGUCCAAAUCUUAUGUACUAGAAACUAGUUUCCUGAAUUUUAAAAAAGAAAGUUAAUUAGUGAUCCUCUCUUCAUAUUCUUUUUUUUUAAAUUUUUAACUCAAUAGAACUUAAAAUUUGCUAGCGCCAUACGUUAAUCAAACAAAUUGCAAAACCAAUCGUUCUUGAUUGCCCACAUGUUGUUAAACCUUAUCUCCAGCAUUCGUUCUUGAUUGCCCGCCUAAUUUACCUAGAUUUUGUCACCUUUAGAAGUGAAAAUAUAGUUUAUUAGUUUGAUUUUGACCUUUUACUAUUGACUAUUACUUUUAUUGAAAAAACUAAUAGUGAAAUUUUAACCUAAAUCAUGAGGAAGCUAUAUAUAGGUUUUUUUCAACCAUAUGAGAGUUAUGUGGUAAAGUACCAAAUCAUAGGGGAUAAAAUAUAAUUUACUUAACUUAAUAGGGAAAAUGUACUUUUCAUCCCCAUAUGAGAGUUAUGUGGUAAAGUACCAAACCAUAUGAGAGUUAUGUGGUAAAGUACCAAAUCAUAGGGGAUAAAAUGUAAUUUACUUAACUUAAUAGGGAAAAAUGCACUUUACAUCUCCAUUAUUUAGGAUGUUAGACAAUUUCAUUCCUAAAGUUUGAAUCAAAACACAUUUCAUCCUCAUAAUUUUAUAAUUUUGACCAAUUUCAUCCCUAAAAUUUCAUGCAAACACAUUUCAUCCUAAUAGUUUCAUAAAUUUGACUAAUUAAGGACAAUUGAUAGAUUGUCAAGUAAUUUGAAUGAAAUAUCAUCACAUGACCAUAGAGUACCGAAUAGUAAAGUACAAAAAAAAACACUGGAUCAACAAAAAAACUCAAAAAUUAUUUUAUAAUUCACUUUAUUAUUUAAAAAAUAAUAAAUUUUUAACCACUGUUACUCUCUUCUUAAUCACAAAUUGUACAAAAAGUUUGAGAGGAAAUGACGUCAUGGACAAGAAACAACCCUAUUAUAGCCAAUUGAAGAAAUUUUUCAAACAAUCCCAUUGCAACCAAUUGGAGAAAAAUAUUAACGUGAAAGAAAGAAUUUUUAGAUUGUCAUUUAUUAUGCAAAAUUUUGUUUUGUUGCAUCAUAUAUUUUGUUGGAGAAAAAUAUUAACGUGAAAGAAAGAAUUUUUAGAUUGUCAUUUAUUUUGCAAAUUUUUGUUUUGUUGCAUCAUAUACAUGUUUUUCAAAUUGUUUACCUAUCAUCUAAUCUAUUUUUUUUAUCUCACAUAUAUCAUAUCAUAAUUUUUUUUUAAAAAAAUCUCUUAUUUGAACACACUCAUUAUUAUUUAUGUAAUUUAAUAAAGGGUAAAUGUAACGACCCCACCUCCCCCUAAGGCGUACCAAAGGGUUCGGCGGACCGCCUGCCCAGCUCUCGCCAGGACUCACUCACUUACUACAUUCCACAAGUAAAUUACAAGGUACAACUCAAAUAAUACAUCCAAUUCUCCAAAAUUACAUAUCAUAAGCGAAGCGGAAACUAGUUCUAAGCAUAAAAUAUAGAUUUACAUCCGAUUCAAUUCCAAAUAUUUAUACAGCCCAAAAGUACAUAAACCAAAACCAAAACUAAACUAUACAAGAUGUACGCCAUCCAGCCACCCAAAGAUCCAAAUACAAGUUCUUCCUUUACCUCGAUCCCUGUGGGGAGAAGAAGAUAAUAGGGGGUGAGCUAGAAGCUCAGCGAGUGACCAGUAAAAUCAACAGCCAAGUAUAUUUCACAAUCAAGCAUUGAUAUGAUGUCAUGAUGCAGUAAUCAAAUGUUCAUUUAUUGCUCAUGUGAGCCAGUGAAAUUCUUGUGCUUAAAUAUCCAAUGCUCGUUUAGAUCAAGUAACCGUGAAACAGAAGUAAGGAGCCAUCGGGCUCCAAAGAAUGUGUAAACAAUAGUGGAGACAUUGGUUCUAAGCACAAGACUUUCCAGGAACUCAUUGGAGCCAAUUAUGUCAUGGCACACACCCGAACCCCAAAUGAUAUGCAAUGGAGUAAUAAAUGCAAGAAUUAGUUCAAAAGUAACUUUGGGGACAGUCGAGGGAUCACUCACUCAAACUAUAGUGCUUCACGUAGUCACGUUCAAUUAUACUCCAGGUUUGGAGUCCAGAUCUGCGAUAGAAAUCCAAUUUGAGAACUUUGAAACACGAGUAAGAUUUGAAACUUAAACGUUCCGUUCAUAAGAAUCAACCAAUUGAAAUUCAUUUGAAAGGCAUUCGUGAAACACUUGCUCGCUUUUCAAAUCAUAAGGUUUUUUUGUAGCAUAUAUACUUGGAAACAAUACUUGAGUUAAAAGUACAAGGAAAUACAAGUUUACAUUGGCCAUUAUAUCUUUUCCUCAAGAGUACAAGUUCGUUUAGGUUUUUAACGUAUAACCAUUGAUAACAAAGUAGCAAAAGUUCUCGCUAGUUCAAGUGGUAAUCACUUAACCUUCACUCAAGUUGCAAAUAUAGUUUUCUAGUUCUCGAGUAAAAAUUCGGCAGCAUGCCCUUUGUGUUUACCUAAUUUUCCAGCCAUUUAGGCUUCAUUAUUUUUCUCAACCAAAACCCAACAUCACAUAUAUCAGCAAUUCAUGACAAGAGCCGUUCCAUAGGCUCACAAUAUCAUAAUAAUAAGAUUCACAACGAUAGCAAGUGCAGAAAUUCAAUCUAGCACAAAACAGAUUUGACGUAUGAAAGCGGAAAUAACAUAUCCGAGGCUACGCUUAUCGGAUUGAGGUGCAACCUAUGCCGUUUCGAAGCUAAGACACAGGGCUACAAUGUUCAUGAAGGUCACUUAGUCCAGUUUCUAAUGUAACUUGGUCAAAUUCUCAAAAUACUAAACCAGAAACCAAUUCAUCGGCUGUUUAAACGCAGAACACUGUAAUGGUCAUAACUCAGUGUACACAAGUCCAAAUCAUGUGUUCUUAGAGGCAUUUUAAAGCUACUUCAGAACACUACAACUUUCAUGUUUUGGCCCAGAGCUAAAUCAGAAUGGAUCCUGGUCAAAAAUCGUGAUAAACUGGACCUAACUGCUGAAACGGACUGCUGGGAAAUACUUAAAACAGUAGGGGUAUUUUGGACUUUUCACGUCCUGCGUUGCUCCGAUUGAGCUGAAAUUUUGUAGGCACCUAUAAAAUGCCAUUCUCUACAACCUUUCUUCUUUGACCUAAGGCCAAAUCAGCCUCUAACACACAGAUAAAAAUUCGGACAGAAUGUGGAGAGAAUUUUCCAGAUUUUGGAAUUUUUGAGUUUCUAGUGAAUCUUUCCUUAAUUUCUUGGUCCAAUCACUACCAAAACACCAUAUAACACCUCAAUUGCAACAUAUAAACAUCAUACAAUCAUUUGGGCAGAAUUUCCACAAGCCCUAGUUCAUCAAAUAAAUUGGGGAAAACUACUAAAACAUGCUCAUCAUCCAUGAUCUCACCAUAAAAUCAAGUUACUAAGCUUAAUUAAACAAGAUUAGAAGUGAAACUUGGAGAGAUAAACUCUCUUACCUUGAAUAAAAGUCACCAAGAGUAGCACAAGCUCUCCCCUUCAAGAAUCACACCACAACUCACUAGCUAGUCACUAGAAAACAAGUUUAAUCGGUUUACUUCGCUCGAUUCCUCACUUAUUUGUUGGAUUUGGAGAUGAAAUGAAAGAUUUUCCCUUGGAGUUUCUCUUCUUGUUGUUCUCGGCCAGCAGCACCCAAAAUGAAGAAGAAAAAUGCUAAGUGUUGGAGUUAAAUGGUUGGGGUUAGUCUUGGGUAAGAAGCCAUGAGGUGGUGACAAGUGUCACCACCACCACCUUUCUUUUUUCUCUUUCCUUCUUGUUAUUUCUAGCCUCAUAAUUUCGGUCAAGGCUGCUACAAUAUAAGAAGAUAUUAUGUGCAAAAGUCAACAAACUUGUUGGGUAAGAAAAAUUGUGGUCAAGCAGUACGUUCAAUCGGUAAUGCGCGGGACCCGCCGGAUCGCGCCGUUUUUCUUAAAAACUCACGUACUAGGUUUUUCACUUCCCAUUCACAAACCUUAUAUCAUUGCCACUAGUCACAUCUUAUUUCUCACUUAAAAGUCACUUUUAAUCCCCAAAUUAAUUCUUACUUUGUACCGAAAAUUCAUUCGGCUAAAAAUCGCGAAAACCCUAAUUCCGCUCCAAACUUGAAACCGAAGCGUAAAACCCUAUUUUCUAGGUCUAUUUACACUUAGAGUGAAAUAUUUGGGUAGUGGCCUUUGAUAAAUAAUAAUUUUCAAAUAAAAGGGUAUUUUAGUACUUAUUGGGCCUUAUCGGAAAGCCUUAAAGAGUUGGCUCUUUAAGCUCUUUAUGCGGACCGAAUUUCUUCCAGAUUUAUUUGGGCCGGAUUCCUCACAAAACUCUAUUCACCAGAAAUUUUUCCUUUUCUUCUGCCUCGGGGCGUUACAGUAAAAUACAUAAAACCCCCAUGUGGUUAAGGAAAUUGAUACGAAACUUCCUCAUUAUUCAAAAACUCCCACAUAACCUCCUUGUGCUUUGGACUAAUUUGGAAAAUGGACGGAAAUCAUCCAAAUUGAUGGAAAGAUAUAAAUUUCCUAUAUUAACCCUAUUUACAAACUGAAUCAAAGUUUAACUCAAGUCUCAAUUAAAGUUUUAAAAACUUUCUUCCUUCAUUUGAAACAAAGGUAGAACUAAGGGGCUCAUUUGAAAUUUUAUAAGAUGUAUCAUCUUCUUCAAGGAAAUGUCAGAACGUUCUGGGCUUUGCGGUCAUUCCGGCUUCAUCCUACAUACCAUCUUCGAGCUUCCUAGCUUCGGAGCUAAGACGCCGCCAAAGAAACAGAGAUGGAUAUCUCGCGGCAUGCUCCUAGUUGCUCUUAGUAGAUAGCCAGGCUUUAUACUUCCCAACGACUUAUAUUGAUUCGUUCCCGGCCUUGAGAAAUGCCCCACCGUGCCUUAAGAAGGUCUGAUUCUUUGGCAGUUGAACAGGCAGGCGCCAGAUCCCGCCCAAGUGACAUAGAUUUAGCUAUUUUAGUGGGGUUCAUCCUUCUGUUUCCUCAAAUCAAGUUUACUCCGUCAAAUGGUUUGAUGCCCAAUUCUACUUUUUUUCUUGAAUUUGAAUCACUUCCUCUUUAUCGUCAUUCUUCUGUUUAACUGCGUUCUGGGCUUUGCGGUCAUUCCGGCUUCAUCCCACAUGCCAUCUUCGAGCUUCCUAGCUUCGGAGCUAAGACGGAGCCAGGGAACUCAACCCGUCCAUUGCCUUAUUUGAAGUGGAAUCAGCAGCAUAUUGGCAUCAAAGGCCUUCAUACCAUUCUCUUUGAAUGCUCUAGGCACUCAGCCUUUUAUACGGUGGAUCGGCUGAGGUCUAUCGGCCUCGCCUUGUUCACCAUCUUUGGAUUCCGGCACAGCAGCAUACUCGCUACUGUCUCUGCCGCCGAAUCAGAAUCGAUCUCUGAAGGAAUGGUACUUGUUGUUGUUGGCGUUGUUUUUCCCAAUCCCCUCUCCCUGGAGGGCCGCUAUUCUGCUUCUUUGCAUUCACGAUCAAUUGGUGUUACGUUGGGAUCAAUUGAUCGAGAACUUUUUGUCAAUUUUUGAGACUAUUAGAUUGAGAAUUUUUAUUGUUAUUUUGUGCUCUAUCUAAUUGGAAAAUUUUUGGUGUUAUUUUGGGAUCAUUGAGUGUUGAAAGAUUGGUGGUAGAGUUGCUGGUGAUUGGUGGUGAUGGUGGAGCUACUGGUGAUCAGUGGCGGUACUGAUGAUGAUUGGUGUUCACUGGAGUCGUUGACCAUUUUGGUGUUAUUGACCAGUUUGGUUGCGAGCAGGAAAGAAACGGAGAAGGAAAAUAAACAAAAAAAAAAUUGACAAAACACUGCAAAAUACUAAAUUGUCCUUGACAAUAUCACUUGAAACUCCCUUAAUAGACGAGCUUAUCUCAAACGCCGUUAAUUUGGAUGAUUUCCGUCCAUUUUCCAAAUUAGUCCAAAGCACAAGGAGGUUAUGUGGGAGUUUUUGAAUAAUGAGGAAGUUUCGUGUCAAUUUCCUUAACUACAGGGGGGUUUUAUGUAUUUUACCCUUUAAUAAAUAACCGAAUUAGGUAUUAACAAUACAAUUAUUAACGGGACAUGUUAGUCAUGUGAUGAUAUUCUGCUUAAAUUGGUUAAAAAUCAUUCAAUUGUCCUAAAUUGAUCAAAUUUAUGAAAAUAUGAGGAUGAAAUGUAUUUGCAUGAAAUUGAUUAAAAUUAUAAAAUUACAAGGAUAAAAUGUGUUUGGACUGAAAUUGUUCAACACCCCAAACAUUGGGGAUGGAAAGCGCAUUUUACCCUAACUGAAUAUUAGCUAGCCCUUACAUUGGUAGAGCAAAUGGGUCAGUGGUUGCUCUUGACCGCCAACAUACUUUUUUUUUUCAUUAAGUGUAAGCGGGAGAAUUCGAAUCCGAAACUUCUCGUUUACACUCCCUCCCCCCGUACCACCCAAUCCAACCCACCCCCACGUAGAUCAUCUACACUUUUGCUCCUAAUUGCCAGCAUAAACCAUAUCUUUUGAUUUUCCAAUAAAUACUGCAAAAGAAAAAAAGAAAAAAUGACGUGUCCUUGUAUACUACUAGAAGAUUAUUGAUUGUGCGCCCAGAUUUGUCUAGUUUAGGAAAAAAAAAUUAGAGUGAAUUGAAUCGAAUUCAAAUUUUGUGCUUAGUGAUAAUUCCUAAAAGAGAACGAAAUAUAGAUUUUGAGUGUAAAAAUAUUUUAAGAAAUAGUGAUACAUAUUGUAAGUUUAUUAGCACAAAGUAAUUAUAAUACUCAAUGAUGAAUGAUCAGCAGAUUUGGGAAGGAAAGAGCAGAUUGGGGGAUAUUUGAUCAACAUAUCCAACAUUCGCUACAUUUACCAAACAAACCAUAUUAAUAUAGGUUUACAUAUUAUCUCUUAUCAAAAUUUAAAAUUGAUCGUUUGCUAAAUAAAGAUUAAGACACAAAAAGAUAAAGAGUAAUACUAUACAGUACAUUAACAAAAUCAAGCAUUAUACACAAUACAUACAAUAAAUAAGGAGGUAAGACACAGAAGAUGAUUAACUUCUCUCACCGUCACGGAUGUCGAAGGGGAAAAAAUUUACUAAUAAAAAAUAAAAAACAAAAGCAGUUUUGUCCACAACAGAGAGGGUGCAAACCAGAGAAAGGGGAAUGAUUUAUGUUUUCUUCUUCUUCUUCCCCCAUAGCUGGCGCUCUCUCCAUUCCCCAUCAUCUGUAUAGCAACCAAUGACAAUUUCAGGAAUGUGUGCGAUUCUUCUGUAAUCUUCACUUUCUUCCUUCUGAUUCUCUACCUUUUCUAUCAUUUCAGAACUCAUCUCAUACAAAUACAGCCCUUGAAGAUGGCUCAAGUGCUGAAUACCCAAAGGUAACUCAUCUAGUAAUGGAAGUUGUUCCAGAAUGAGUUCAUGGAGACGAGGCAAUGCACCCUCCUCCACUCUCAUCCAUCUCAACCCUUCCAUUCUCUUUAGGUGCAACUUCUUCAGAUUGAGGAACCCUCCAGCUUGGAAACACAACCCUUCUCCCUGGUAAGAUCCACAGAAAUUAAUUUUACCCAAAUUCGGCAAAUGUCGGAGGGAUUCAAGCGUAUCCUCAUCACCCCUUAACCUGCUCCAAUUCAAAUCUAUUCUUACCAAGCCGUGAAGAUGAGCUACCCAUUGUGGCAUCUUUUCUAAGCGGCUACACAAAAUCAGCAGAUGAAGAGAUUGAAGAAAAGAAGAAGAAGAAAAGGAAGAAGGAUGAUGAUGAUUUAGAUCGAUUAUCUCAUGAUCAUGAUCACCUUCUCCAAUUGAUUCAAUGCUUAAUCUAUGGAGACUGGUGAGGUUGGCAAGGGAGGAGCAGAGCUCCUUUCCAUCUUCUCUUCUUAACUUUGUAAUACCUAAUUCUCUUAAUUGGGUCAGCUUUCCUAUCUCCUUGACUACUGCAGAUCCACUACCAGCAUCUAUGUUAUCCAAUAUUUCUAGGGCAAGAAGCGCUCCCAUAUUCGAGGGAGCUUUAAAUCCAUGAAAUCCAUAAUCAUCAUCGGAAGAAUCAACUUGUUGAUAUACUUUGAGAACCCGAAAUUUUUGCAGCUUUAGGAUUUCCAUGGGUAAUUCCCUAACUCUUGUGUCAGCCAAAUUCAGAUACUCCAAAUGUUGAAGCUUGCCAAUGGCUUUCGGGACUCUCUCCACUCUCGUACCCCCUAGGUGUAGAUACUUGAGAUGAAACAUCUUGAAAAUCUCAUUUGGUAUUUCCUCCUGGGUCUCUUGACCACCCAAAUCCAAAACCUUUAACAGCUUACUACUCCUUAAAACAUCAGAUAACAACAGUUUGAAUAGUAGCGGGCUCAUGGAUCCAAAUGUAACGAACGACUGAAGGUGGUCAAAGCAGUAGCUUCUUCUUUGUUGGUGGUCCUCCUGGGUGUUGUUACUACUACUAGUAUGGAGUACUAGACGGCGUACCUUGUCGGACGGCCGCAUCAUUGGUUGUCCAGUAGUAAUUGUGACCAUGUUUUGUUCCCUUGACUUGAGAACAAUAACUUCUCUCAACAGGUCAUGGAUUCGACAAUUGUCGGGUAAUCCUUCAUAAUACACCUUAGUCACUUGAAUUAGGCUUCGAUUGACGAGUUCACUAAGACAACCCCAGGCUACAUCUUCAAUACUCAUUCCUUCUCUCCAUUCUACGAACCUUUCAGCAAUCCACAAAUUAAUGAGUCUAUAGCAUUGUAUUUCGUAAUCCUUUGGGAAGAUACUUGUGUACAACAGACACGUCUUUAAAUGCCCAGGCAAAUCAUUAUAACUGAGAGAAAGUAUCCUUUUAACUCUGUCCAGCUUACCAGUGCCUUCUAAUUCACCCCCAAGACUGCGUUGAACCAUCUCCCAUUCCUCUAUUCUGUUUACAUCUUUCAAAGCCAAAAACCCACUGAUUGCAAGAAUUGCAAGGGGCAAGCCCUCACAUUUUUCCAGUAUACCUUUGGCAACAUCCGUCAAAUGGCCAGGGCAACUAUUUCCCUUAAAGAUCUUGUUACAAAACAGGGUCCACGAAUCUUCAAAGGACAGUGGCUCCAUUCUGUGGAUGUAGCCUAGAGAUUCUGUACAAGAGGCAAAGGCUACAUCAACUUUUCGAGUUGUUAGCAUGACACGGUUGCCGUGGCUGCUCUUGGGCAGCGCAAAUUUGAUGGUAUUCCAAAAUUCCACGUCCCAUACAUCAUCAAAAACAAUUGCAUACCUUCCAGCUUGUUGAAGAAAAUCUUUGACAAAUUCUUUCAGCUCGGUGAUAUUCAAAGACUCGAUCGAUUGUGGGACUGGUUUCCUCCCUUCCUUGUGCAAGUGCCGAAUCAAGUCUUUCAGGAGGUACUGAAAGUCACAUGUUUGAGAGACAGUUACCCAAGCACGAGCUGGGAAAUGCCUUCUGACUUCAAGAUCCUCAUGGACUUUUUUCACUAGGGUAGUUUUUCCAAGUCCUCCCAUACCAACCACUGAAACAACUUUUAGUUGGUAAUCAUCCCCUUGGAGGAGCUGAGAAAUUAGAUGUUUCUUGGGCUGGUCAAUGCCAACUAAUUUAGCUUCUUCCACAAGCAGUGCGUCAUCUCUGCUAUAGCGCCAGGUUGUGUUGUUCACAGCAGAAAGUGAGUUGGUCACUUGGGCACAGAUACCAUAUUCGGAUUGGUAUCUUUGAUGACCUUCAGAAAUACUUUCGAUUCUGGACUUGAUGCUUUGUAUUUCGCUGGCAACUCGAUGACGAGCUCUCAAAUUCUUGAUGGAGCUGAAAAUUCUCCGAACAGAGCCGUAGAAUCCUGUUGUGCGAUGCCGGGCAAAGCGAGCUACAAAUUCAUCAAGAAUGUCUUCAGUGUCAUAAGCUGCUUCUAGCACUUGCUUGAUCCAUUCUUGGAGCUGUUGAAUUCAAAGUCUUGAAUUCUUCAAGCCUUAAUUGUUGACUUUUCUAAGGCCAACAAUUGUUGAAUUUGGUGGCCUAAUAUCUGUCCUACAUCGGUGGGAUUAUUGGAAGAACCUUAGCUUGAGAGCUAUAAAUAGCUCUCAAGUCCUUCCAAUUAAAUUGUACCAAGAACAACAAAGAAUUACCCAUAAGGAUUUUGUAAUUCUUUGUAUUCUUUCUUCUCUCCUAAAUUAUAAAAGCAGGUCACUUGAGUGGUGCUCGGAGAGUAGGCAAAAUUGGCCGAACUCCAUUAUCAAUUUUUCGGGUGCGUUCUUUCCUUAUCUCUUUUAUUUGUUCCGCAUUAUUUAUUAGUCUCUUUUCUAUUGUAGUAUAGUAUUCAAUAUAUUUGUCGGGUAUAUUUGUAGUGUUUUAUACGGUUCAUUUGGGUGUAUUUUUCUUAUUCGUGUGUACGUAUUAUUUAUGUAUACACGGGUAUAGUUGUGAUAAUACACCGUGCACGUAAGUUCUGUCUAGGAGACUGGGUUUUAAGUGGGACCGCUUGUGACCCCUCCAGCCUUUCCUGGAAAUUUACUUGGAAUGGUAAUUCUGUCUUAGGAGAUUGUUUCGACGAUCUUUCCUGAGAAUUACUGAAUCGGUUUAAUCACUAGUUGUAUUUUUGAGUGGGAAAUUACCCGAUUUCCCCAACAAGCCUGGGUUGAGCAUCUUCUUCUUUUGCUUCUGCCUCUCUCAGGAAAGCUCUCAUGUGCCCCAACUCAUCCAUGAUGAAUUGCACCUCUUGCCGAAGCCCUCCCAAUAGUCGUCCCUCCUCGCGCAGAAAAGUUGAGAGUUGACGCAGCACAAAAGAGAGAACUGUUUCUGCCAUUUUCAGUCUUUCUUUCUAACUUAAGAAUGUUGGGGAAGGCGGCUUCUGGUUUAUAGGACAGUCCACUUCUUGUAUCUUGAAAGGAAGAAGGAAGAGUAGGUUAUAGAUUCAUAAGCUGAUGAACUUUGAUACUAUAUGGUGCAGUAUACAUCACAAACAAAAACCGCGUCAAACAGAAAAAGAAAGAAUUAACCAAUUAGAAGAAACUAAAGCAAGAAACAGGAUGGAAAUUGAAGACAAGAAGAUAGGCAGCAAGGUGAGUUUGAAAGACGAAGCUGCCUUACCUGCUUACAAUACAAAAUCGUUGAAGCUAUUAAGAAGAUCAGCCUUCAGCUUCAGGACCUUCUUUCAACUGUGGGUCCUUCGGUAGGAUAAAGAUGAAGAGUGACUACCGCAGCAUCGUGCAAAGGCAAUGAUGUCGAAUUAUUUAACAAGGGAAGGAAUAAAGCAAUGGUGUCUGACCAAGUUUUCGGUAUGGACAUGAACGCGUUUUUUAUGUAGUUAAUAAAGAGGAGAGAGCACAAGAGAAUGAGAUCUACUUUAAAUAAAGAAAACCCCAAAAUGAAAAUGACAGUUCUGACUGAAAUGGAAGCCAGCUAUGAGUUUUCCCGGAACAUGUGAUGCAGAGGAAGGAGUUGAACAGAAAAGGCAACUCAAGACCUAAGUUCAAUUGACUAGCAAUAGCAAUAACUUACAGUUAAAGUGCAAUUGUUCAAUCAUAUCUUCAUUUUUGGUGAAGAAUGGGAAGGUGGAUACAUAGGUGAGAGCCAAAAACCCCAUUUUGGAAACCGGAAAUAAAUUACUUUAGUCAUUCAAUAAGAAGUAGGUCUAGAAUUACAAGAGAACUAUCUAAAUACUGCAUAUCAUUUCUUUUUUUUUUUUCCCCCUUUGAUUAUACUCAGUUUUUCUUUUGGCAAAACCCCAAGUUGGGGGAGGGAACUCAGUUAUAUAAACAUAGUUAUACAUAUUUUAAAAUUCAUAGUAAAAGUUCACAUGAAGUGUACAAAUUCACUCAAAACUAUGGGUUAUAAAAACAAACAUUAAAUGUGCAUUUUCAUAUUCUUUCAUGAGUAUACGUGAUUUUUUUAAUUUGAAUCACUGAUUUUGCGCACAUAAUCUUAAUUUUAUUAGUCUGUGAACAUUAGGUGGUUGGCCUGUCCUUCCGCUCUCACGAUGUGCUGAUAAAAAGAUGAAUAUGCUGUGACUGAUGAUGUUUCAACUACACCUCUCUCAGUUUGUGUUUUCUAAUUUUAAAAAUUUUUAAUUGAUAUAUCAAGUAAAGAUUUUCUUUUUCCUUUUUUUCCCCUGGCUUUCUAGACAAGGUUGAAUGUGAAGAAAGAAGUGAGAAUGAAAAUAUUGGAGAUGGAUAAAAUUAAAUGCUCAGCAUAAGACAAUUGAGGUAACGUUUAAGUGUUUAACUACUGAGCCAAAUCUCAUCACCACCAUCUUAUCAUGUCUAAUUAGUCUUUUAGUUCCUUGUAAUGUUAAAAAAAAAAAAAUGGAACCAAAUGGGAGCAUGGAAUCUGUCCUUUUGCAGGAAUAAUUAAUUUGUGGGAAAAUCUUGCUGCAUAUCUGCAUGUACUAAAUAAAUAUUGACUAUAGUAAGCGAGAGUGUAUCCUUGUAAAGAAGAUUUUUAUGUAGGGAUACGAAAAAAGAGAAAUUUGAAACAUGUGGUUGGAUUGGUUUUUCCUGAGUUUAAAGAGUCAUAGGCUAAAAAAGUAGUAGUAAUUCAAUUCUUUUUUCAAAUCCUAGUUCAAAGCCAUAAUUAACUAUUGUACAGUCAUAAUUUGGAAUCAAAUGUGAUCAGGUGCAUUAUUCGAGCUACUGUACGUAUGUGAAACAAAAGAAGAAAUAAAGUCACAAAGUUUUCCUAGUGAUCAAUAGUACGUACUACUGCUUCCUAGAAACAACAUAAGAAAGGAGAUAGAGAGAGACACUAUCGAUAUAUAAAGUUCUGUCAAUAUUUGUCAUUUAUAUAUAUAUAUUUUUACUAUAGAUGAAUUGUUAAAGCCAUGUGGGAAAAUUAAGAAUGGAAUUACACUAAUGUGUUUCAUUCCAAAGCUAAUUGUAUUGUCAGAAAUUAAAUAAUUCUAUUUCAUAAUUUAAAAUAAAAUUUGAUGCAAUAAAAAUUCUUUUUUUGAAUAUGAGACCUUGAUUAUGACAAUACAUGAAUACCCUCAAUGAUAUUAGAAAGUGCAUUCAAAUUUAGGGACUGACAUAGUCCUAAUUAUUUUGUAAGAAGAGUAAUCUUGAAAAGAAAUAACUUAACACUCAACCAUCAAUACAAGCUCACUCUUUUAGCAAAGACUAGUUGGGACGGCCUGCGCGUUGCGCAGGAGGGCGAAUAUUUCCCGUGUUAAGUUGCACAAGUUUUAGUUAUUGUAUAUUUGUUGUAGUAUAGAGAAUUAUAUAGGUGGUAUAAGUUUGGCUUGAAUUAUAAAAUAAUAGUGCGGUAAAUUGGUUGGGUGAAUAUAGUGUUAAUAGUUUGUGAAGUAUGAAGGAUAUUUUGUAAUAUAAUGGUUAAUAAAGUACUAUAAUUGAGACAAUGCAGUGUCAACAUUUUGUGUGGUAUGAUUUGUAUAAAUUAUGUGGUUUGGGUGAGAUAAUUAUAAAGAUACCCAUUUAUAUUUAUGUAUAUCUCUAUUACUCACUAAGUUCCAUAAAUAUGGGCCUAUUUCUUUUUUUUUUUGCACAAAUUAAAACAUUUAAUCAAUAUAAUCACAAGAAUUGCUUUUCUUUCAUUUUUUUGUAUAAUGUCACUCACUAAUAUUAGAUCAUUAAUCCACAUUAAGAGCCAUGUAUUAUUACAUUGUUUUUGAAAUUUACAAUACUUUAAUUUUUUUAAUGUAAGAAACAAUGUAAUUAAUGUUGCAUGUUUGACUAAAAGAAUAAUAAAAAAAUAGCAUACAACAUUGCUUUUCAAUUUAGAGUAAUUUAGAGCCAUUAGGAAAAAUGAAUAUAUACACAUUAAAUUUAGAGCCAUUAGGAAACAUUUUACAAUAAUUAUAUAUAUACAUUAAAUAUGGAUAUUUAUCUAACAAUAUAAAAGCGAGAGUUGCCCCAUGAACAAUAUUUUUUUGUCAAGCGGUUAUCCUGCAAUUGUUAUUGGAUGCCCGGACUAUUAGUAAAUAACAUAUUAAUUAUUCUUUUCUAUAGAACGAAAAAUAAGAAUAAAAACAAGGGCAUUAAAAAUUUGUAAUAAUUAUAUAGAGUAAUACGGAUAUAUAGACUAAUAUAUCUUUAUAAUUGUAUGUUUUAAAAAAUAGUAGGAUUAGAAACCAUUUUUAGUCCAUGACACCUUAACCGAUUUUGGUUAAUUGUGAUAACAAUGUUGGACGUCAUUUUUUUUUUUUUACUGCUGUUCAACUUUUGGGAAUCAUUCAGUCAAAAGCUACUACUGAACAUGCUAAACAAUCACUGUAUUCAACAAUUUUACAGAGCACUAUUUUAUUUCUUUUUUUGCAAUAUAUGCAUUCAUUUUUUUCCAAACAAUUUUUAUUUCAUGUCGUACUAAUAAAAUCUAUUUUUUAAAGUCAUUAAAGCCAAUAAUAAUUUAUUAAUUAUUUCCUCAAUAAUUGUGUAAUUACAGAACACUCAACAUUAAUUAGAUUGUUUCUUACAUUAAAAAAAUAAAGUACUGUAAAUUUCAAAAAUAAUGUAAUAAUACAUGGCUCUUAAUGUUGAUUAAUGAUCUAAUAUUAUUGAGCGGCAUUUUACAAAAAUAUGAAAGAAAAAUAAUUGUUGUGAUUCUAUUGAUUAAAUGUUUUAAUCUGUGCAAAAAAAAAAGAAGGAAAAAACCAACAAAUACAGUGAUUAUCAAGAAUAAGAAACAGAUAGAAAUGCGUGAAACCUCAGAAUAAAAUUAGAAAAAAUAUAUUAAUCCAACUUGAUUAUCAAUUUUUAUUUUUAGCCCAGAUUAUUUGUAUGAUUCUUGAGCUUUAUCUGACUGAAUUAGAGAAAAUCUAUACAAGUUCAGAAGCUUAACUGCUGCGACCCUUUAUUGCUCUUCGUAUAGAUACAUAGAAAGUUAUGCCUUUGCCUUUCUUUUUUUUCGUUAUUAUGCUUUGGUUUUCAGCUGAGAUUUCAUCACCGUAGCAUUUGACCAGAAGGAUGACUGGAGGCUUCUCAAUGACCAAAAGACCAAAACGCCCCUCAAAGUCACAAAAAUAGCAACAUAACCGCUUGACCAAAAUUCACUAUUCAUUUGGCAACUCUCUCUUUUAUUAUAUAACUAGUUGGGAUGGCCUGCGCGUUGCGCAGGAGGGCGAAUAUUUCCCGUGUUAAGUUGCACAAUUUUUAGUUAUUGUAUAUUUGUUGUAGUGUAGAGAAUUAUAUAGGUGGUAUAAGUUUGGCUUGAAUUAGUUCAGAUAAUAUAGUGUUGAUAUUUUGUAUGAUAUGAUUAGUAUAGAUUAUGUGGUGUGGGUUAAGUAGUUGAACUCACUAAGUUCCAUAAAUAUGGGCCUAUUUCCUUUUUUUUUUGCAAAAAUUAAAACAUUUCAUUAAUAUAAUCACAAGAAUUAUUUUUCUUUCAUAUUUUUGUAUAAUGUCGCUCACUAAUAUUAGAUCAUUAAUCCACAUUAAGAGCCAUGUAUUAUACAUUGUUUUUGAAAUUUACAAACUUUAAUUUUUUUAAUGUAAGAAACAAUGUAAUUAAUGUUGCAUGUUUGACUAAAAGAAUAAUGAAAAAAUAGCAUACAACAUUGCUUUUCAAUUUAGAGUAAUUUAGAGCCAUUAGGAAAAAUGAAUAUGUACACAUUAAAUUUAGAGCCAUUAGGAAACAUUUUAUAAUAAUUAUAUAUAUACAUUAAAUAUGGAUAUUUAUCUAACAAUAUAAAAGUGAGAGUUGCCCCAUGAACAAUAUUUUUUUGUCAAGCAGUUAUCCUACAAUUGUUAUUGGAUGCCCGAGCUAUUAGUAAAUAACAUACUAAUUAUUCUUUUUUAUAGAACAAAAAAUAAGAAUAAAAACAAGGGCAUUAAAAAUUUGUAAUAAUUAUAUAGAGUAAUAUGGAUAUAUAGACUAAUACAUUUUUAUAAUUGUAUGUUUUAAAAAGUAGUAGGAUUAGAAAUCAUUUUUAGUCCAUGACACCUUAACCGAUUUUGGUUAAUUGUGAUAACAAUGUUGGACAUCUUUUCUUUUUUUUUUUUUUUUACUGCUGUUCAACUUUUGGGAAUCAUUCAGUCAAAAGCUACAACUGAACAUGCUAAACAAUUACUGCAUUCAACAAUUUUACAGAGCACUAUUUUAUUUCAUUUUUUUUUUUGCAAUAUAUGCAUUCAUUUUUUUCCAAAUAAUUUUAUUUCAUGUCGUAGUAAUAAAAUCCAUUUUUUAAAGUCACUAAAGCCAAUAAUAAUUUAUUAAUUAUUUCCUCAAUAAUUGUGUAUUUACAAAACACUCAAUAUUAUUUAGAUUGUUUCUUACAUUAAAAAAAUUAAAGUAGUGUAAAUUUCAAAAACAAUGUAAUAAUACAUGGCUCUUAAUGUAGAUUAAUGAUCUAAUAUUAGUAAGCAGCAUUUACAAAAAUAUGAAAGAAAAAUAAUUAUUGUGAUUAUAUUGAUUAAAUAUUUUAAUUUGUGCAAAAAAAAAAAGGAAAAAACCAACAAAUACAAAAGCCAACAAAUUUGCCCUCAAAGUUGCCCAAAAUUAUCUUAUAAGCGCUUGACAAAAAAUUCACUAUUCAUAAGCCAACUCCCUCCGAAAAAUAAUUGUUGUGAUUAUAUUGAUUAAAUGUUUAAAUUUGUGCAAAAAAAAAAGGGAAAAAGCCAACAAAAGCAAACAAAUACAAGAGCCAACAAAUUUGCCCUCAAAAUUGCCCAAAAUUACGCUAUAACCGCUUGACCAAAAAGCACUAUUCAUCCUCCAACUCCCGCUUUUAUUAUAUAGAUAUUGAUUAAAUGUUUAAAUUUGUGCAAAAAAAAAAAAGGAAAAAGCCAACAAAAGCAAACAAAUACAAGAGCCAACAAAUUUGCCCUCAAAGUUGCCCAAAAUUACGUUAUAACCGCUUGACCAAAAUUGCACUGUUCAUCCUCCAACUCCCGCUUUUAUUAUAUAGACUAGUGAGACGGCCUGCGCGUUGCGCAGGAGGACUAAUAUUUCCCGUGUUAAUUGUUUUUUGUUGUAUGAGUUUAUUAGUAUAUAUCUCUGUUAUUAUUUAAUUCAUGCGGAUCAUUAGGGAAUUAUAAUUUUUGUUAAAAGUUAACUAUUAUGAAAUAUAUAGAAUGCAUGAGACCAAUAAUAUAUAGAAUGCAUAAGGAUAAAUUAGAAAAUUGUAUAAGGUUAUUUUACAUUUGGAUCAGGAUAAUUAGAAAAUUGUAAAGUGAAUCAUUUCCAAAGAGUAUUAAUCAUUAUUGACACAAAAAAUAGGGGAUCUUGAAAAUCAAUUAAACACUUGAACCAUAGAACUUGACACUGCUAAAAAUUAAUCACCACAUGUCACAAUAAUAAAACCCAUUUUUUAAAGUUACUAAAGCCAACAAUAGUUUAUUAAUUGUUUCCUCAAUAAUUGUGCAUUUAUAGAACACUUAACAAAUUUAUUCUAUGUUAACCCAACAAUAAUUUAUUAAUUGUUUCCUCAAUAAUUGUGCAUUUACAGAACAUGUAUCAAUUUUAUUUCAUGUCACAGUAAUAAAAGCCAUUUUUAAAGUCACUAAAGCCAACAACAAUUUAUCAAUUAUUCCCUUGGUAAUUUUGCAUUUCCAGAACACUUCAAAAGCAAAUAAUUAACCACAAAAAAUCAACUUUCAUAGGUUUCACUUUUUAUACCACCAAUUAUGAAUUCAGUCAACAUGUCCAAUAAAUACAUCAAAACUAUAGCAGCUGUUAAAAAACAAACAAAUAAUUGAUGAAAAUAGCCCUAACAUCCAAUAACAAUUGCAGGAUAACCGCUUGACAAAAAAAACCACUGUGCAUAGGGCAACUUUUCCUUUAUAUUGUUAGAUAUGUAUAUCUCUAUUACUCACUAAUUUCAAUAAAUAUAGGCCUAUUUCUUUUUCCAUUAAUAUUAGAUCAUUAAUCCACAGUAAAAGACGUGUAUUAUUACAUUAUUUUUCAAAUUUCGAGUACUUUAAUUUUCAAAUGUAAGAAAUAGUCUAAUUAAUGUUACAUGUUUAAAUAAAUAAUAUAAAAAGAUCAGCACACAAUAUCGCUUUUCAAUUUACAGCAAUUUAGAGCCAUUAGAGAAAACAAAUAUGUUAAAAAAUUUUAUAAUAAUUAUAUAUACACUAAACAUGGAUAUAUUAGUAAAAUAACAAACUAAUUAUUCUUUUAAAAAGGAAAUAGACUCAUAAUGUAGCACACAUAGAAGACAAAAGUAAGCUCAUGUUUAUAGAAUAUAUAUAUAUAUAUAGAAUGAAAAGUAUAAUAAUAAAAAUAAGGGAAUUAAAAUUUUUCCAAUAAUUAUAUAAACUAAAUAUGUAUAUAUAGACUAAUAUAUAUCCUUCUAAUUGUAUGUUUGAAAAAGCUAUAGAAUUAGAAACCAUUUUUAGUUGAAACGUAUAUGGCAUCUUAACCAAUUUUGCUUACUUAUAUGACGAUAAUGUUGGACUUGUUUUUUUUUCCCUCUAGCUCAAGAAUUACAGCAUAAUCGCUUGACCAAAAUGGAGCUAUUCAUUAUCCAAUUCUCCCUUUUAUAUAUUUAGAUUAGAUAUAUAUAUAUUGGAGAGCCUGAUAGAGAUUUUCUUCUUUUUUUUUUCUUUUUUUUAUGGUUUUCUUGGUGAGGCGGCCCGGGGUGGGUUGUAUUGGAGAAGAUAAAAGGGCAUAUGGCAGAGCUCUAAAACAAGGCCUGCAGCAUUACUUACAAUAGAGAGCGUACAGGUACAGCUCUCUUUUGUGAGUCCUAGCCCGUGUAGCCCACAUAGCACAAUAAUACAGCUAACAAGCCUCAGUCACAGCCAGACCUUUUUAUUGCCACUGGCCAUUUGGUCUAGUGGUCAUCACCAUUAAAGGUGAUGCUGGAGGUCAGGGGUUCAAUCCCUGCCUCCCACAAAUUUGUCACAAUUUGUGGCGGUCUUAAUUGACCUUCAUCGAUGGAGUCUGUACUCACAUCGAACCCCCUCCCUUUCCCCUUAGACUAGGCUAGAUUAGGUUAUAGGACAUCUAUCGUUUCGAUAAAAAAAAAAACAGCCAGACCUUUUUAUUGAAAUAUAAUGCCAAGAGCCAUCUUAAUAAUUGUUAAUGUCUUUUUCCAGCAAAAGAGAAUCAAUGAAAUAGCCAGCUUAACCGAUUCUUCCUAAAGCCAGAGCCAGCCACAUGACAAAAGACCAAAAUGCCGCUUGACAAUUGCCCUCAAAGUUGCCCAAAAUUACGUGAUAACCGCUUGACCAAAAUUGCACUGUUCAUUAUCCAACUCCCGUUUUUAUAUAGUUAGAUAUAGAUAUAUAUUAGAUACAGAUAUUAAUAAAAGUCAAGAUAUAUUGAUGAAUCUUUGUAAUUAAUAAUGAACACGAUGUUGACAAAAAAAAGUCAAUGGCAGUAGGCAGAAAAGCAGGCAUCAAUGUGCACCAUGUUGAAGGUAACCAUGGUAUAGAUAUAGAUAUUUGUAAUUAACAAGGUAUACCGUGUUGAUCAAUAAAAGUCAACGGCGGGUAAUCACAGAGGAGCUAGAAACCAAAAUGAAAUGAAGGAGAUCAGUAAAUUAAUCACAAGAUGCCCUGAACUUAUAAGGAAGACAAUUAGUGCAAUAAUACACCAUAUUUUAUAGAUGGGAAUCUGCAAGUGGUGGAGUCGGGUAAGAAAAAUUAAGACUCUGCUGAUGCAAUUGUUGGGCUCCAAGCUUCAAAAUAAUGCACUGAUGAGAAUAAUGAGUUGGAGCCAGCAAAAUGAAUUCGAUCAUUUGCAGUAUGAUUAUUGUGGUUAUUUAUUAGUGUGAACACGCGUGAUUGGAAUGAGCAUUUGUUUAUUUAUGCAGAAAAAGUGAUAUUGUUAACGUUAUUUUUUCUAAAUAGCAGCUCGCACAACUAAUUCUAAUGCUUCGCCCAAAUUAAAAAAUAGCUUUUCACUAUUUUAGCAUAGAUAUAGAUAUAGAUACUUGCAAUGCUUUUUCGGCUAAAAUGAGGUUGUACUUUAUUACUCUUAUUAUUAUGUUUUUCUUUUGGUCAAAUGAUGUCGUACUCAAAUAGAGAGGAAUUUGCCAAGGAAUAUAAGGGUUUGAAGAAGCACGGGACUUCCCCUGACCGAGCUGACCUGGUGAGCUCGGUGUGCCGAUGGAAGAGCUGGUCCCAAUCCUGCAAAACAAACAAGGGUAAACUAGCAGUGGGGGCCCGAGGGUUGUCCCCGAGGGCGCUCCGACGGUCAAAUUAGUUCCUGGCCGGCGGACGGAGCGGUUUUUGAUAAUGUAUUGUACGAGCAAUCUGCUAAUAGCGAGCGUCCCUUGCACAGUUGGUAUGUGCUACCAUUUAUACCCGCUUAGGAGUCCGACCUCCGUACGUUUCGGGACUUGCCCUGAAUAGCUCCCAAUCCCGUUCCUGGGGGGAUCCUCCCGCCCUCUGCGGGGCAGCUCUUGGGAGCAUCCCGGAGCCCUAAUGGCCGAGCCCUCUUGGACUGGUUCCCAGUGGGCCCAAGGCGCGAGCCCAGCUCGGAUUGCCCCUGGGCUGACACGUGUACGGGCCCAGGAUGGGGCCUCUGCACUAGCCCCCUAGAUUAGGUCAGGCUCCCGGGCAGACCUGGUCUAUCCCCUAGCCACGUGGAAGCCCAUCAUUACACUGCUCUGCCGCGGUCACCUCCAGCACAGGGCUGUUAUUGGGAAGCGUCGCCCGCGUACUUUCAAUGGUCGCGUCCCUUCGGUUUCCGUACCUCCCUUAAGUGCGUUCACAUGGGGCGGUUCAAAUUCAAGCAAACCGUUUCCCCCCAUUUCGUCCCCUAUAAAUAGUGGCUGCCAAAAUCCGGUAAACUCUAUUUGCCAUUUUCUCUUUCCCCAUGCGUUUACAACUUCAGUAGUGCAUUUCCGGCCAACCAGGACCCAGAUUCCGGCGACCCUUCCCCCCCUUUUCUACUCCAGUCAUCAGUAAGUGUUUCCCCCUCCUUUCUCGCAUUUUCUUUCUUCCUCUUGCCGUCCUCUGCGUUUGUAUGUCGGGCCUCUCCGACGUGACUUCCUCCAACUCCCAGACUCCCCCCCGCCGUAAAGCCACCAGGAUCUUCAUUUCCUCCUCAUCUCCAUCUUCAUCAUCUCCCUUUCCUCCUCCUUCUUCAUCUUCUGCUUCCAACCCUAACUUUCCCCUUCCCGACUUGCUCGAGCUCAUCGACAUCAUGAGUUCCCCAUCUGCCCACUCCCCUUCUGCCCGGCUCCUGGAGGAGGUGGCCGAGCUUGACGCCCUCAUCAGGCGGCAAGCCGUCUCCACCCCUCCUCCCCAGUCCCCUAACGAUUCCCCCGGCGGAGCCCGGGGUGGAGCUGGGGAGGACCGGGGCUCCUCUGGGGGGAUCCCCGCUUCCGAGCAGGGGGAGGACCCCGAGUUCUCCUACGGGCAUCCUGACCUGCAGGAGGCCACCCUAUCGCCCCAGGCUGUGGCCGAGCUGGCCAAGUCUUAUUCCAUCCCUCCGGCCUACGAGCCGAGGGCGGCCGGGCCCGGCGAUUGGGCCUGCAGACCUCCCUCCGGCUUCGUUGCCAUCUACAGGGAGCAGCUCAUCGCAGGGUUUCGUCUCCCCAUUCCUUCAGCUCUAACCGAGAUUCUGAGCUACUGGGGGCUCAGAAUCACUCAAGUCCACCCCACCUCCAUCAGGAUCAUUACCGGAUUCCUGAUCUACUGCCUGCUCCGCGAUAUCCCCUACUCCCUUUCCCUCUUCCGGGCUGCCUUCAUACUUAAGGCCGCCCUACCCGGGUGGUACUACUUCUCCCGCCGCGGUCCCCAAACCCGGGGAGGGAAAGGCGCCCAAAAGCUAUUCCACGGGGUCCCUUCUUCCGUAAAAAGUUGGAAGGAAGACUUCUUCUUUGUUAAGUCCACCCAUUUUCCCCCCAACGUGUGGAAGGUUGGAAAAGUCCAAGCCGAUUCCUUCCCGGAGGACCUGGACUAUGAAACCCUCAGCCAGCUGUCGGAAUCCCUGGUGAAGCUUGACGCCACCAAGUUCUCUACAGCACAGAUCUCCGCGGCCGGGCUGAUGGGGACGUUGUCUGAAUCCUCCGGGGAGGUGGUGACCCCCGAGCCCAACCUCGACACCUGUAACGCCAACUUUGCCCUUUUUGCCUGUUGUAUCCACAGCAUGUCGUAAUGCUAUAGGCUGUCCGGCCUUUUACUGACUUAGCCGUGUUUUCUGCAGUGAGGAAGCUCUCCCUGCUGCUGGGCCUGCCUGCCGAGGAGGACACCCCCGCUUCCCAUCCAGACGAGGAAGCCCCCGGGGCGCCUCCGACCUCGGGGGGAGGCCAAGCCCCCCAGACACAAACGCAAGACACCUCCUCCCCCUCCAAGAAGGCCGCCAACAACAAGAAAAAGGCGACCGGGCAGAAGAGGGGUCGAGCCGACGAGCCCUCCCAGCCCGGGAAGAAGCUCGCGCUGGUUCCGGUCCAGCCUCCUCCCCUCCGGAUGUCUUCGGGGGGUCCAGUCCAUUUGGGCGUCGGCUCCGCCGAGGAGCACGCCCUGCAGGCCCCCCCGAGCUCGUGGCACUUCCGCCACGUGGCCCCCCUGAAGCCGGGCCAGGCCCCCACUAUGCACGACCCCCGCCGUUUCUGCCCGUCCUGGGAGCUCUCCAUCAACGACCGAGCCCAAUUCCCCGAGGUGGCUCGCCAGUGGGUGACGGGCUCGGUCCUCCCCCGGGACAGGAGGUGGAUGGAGCUAGCCUCCCCCUCCGAGCUCCAGGAGGUGUACUGCACCUCCCAGGCCCAAGUAAGUUUUCCGACCUCAGAGCCGUCCUUGCUUUUGACCCCUCACUCGGCCGCACCUCAGACUAACUCCUUCCUUUCUCCAGGCCCACGCUGCUGGAGCCGCCUUGCUGUCUCGCUUCUCCGAGCUAUCUCCCGAUUUGGAGAAACUGCAGAAACAGAAAAGGGAGGCGGAGCAAAGGCUCACUCAGGCCCUCAAGGAGGCGGACUCCCUUGCGGCCAAGCUGGGCAAAGCCGAGAAGGAACUGGAAACGGCCCAAGUCCAGCUCGCCUCCACAAGGUCAGAACUCGACCAGGAGAAGGCCGGCGUGGCCAAGCUGAGAGAAGACCACGCCAUCGAGCUCUCGGGCACCGUCGGCAGGGAGCGCAAGAAGGCCGUCCGGGAGUUCAUCUCCUCUGACCAGUUCAUCCAGGACGUAGCGCUCCUCAACGGGCCCAUCGCCCAAGUUGGCUUCGCGCGCGCCCUGAGCAGGGUCAAGGAGCUCGGCCUGCCUGGCUUCGACCUGGCCGCCUUCAAGGAGUACGACCCCAAGGCCGAGGAGAAGGUGGACUGGCUCUUCGACGGGUAUUGCAAGGGACACGCCCUGAAAGAGCUGGUGCGCCGGAAGGACGUUGGGGCCGACCUUGAGGAGCUGCCCCUAGAGAAGGACGGGGACCCGGGCCGAGCUCCGGGGAAGGAGCCGGUAGCCUAGGCAGCCAAGUUUCCUUUUUCUUCAGUAGGCAGUGUAAUAGAUAGGCCGAUAUCACACCUUUUGUAAUAGAUAGGCCUUAAGUAUAUAUACAAAAUUCGAAGCAAGUCUUCUUGCGACUCUUUUCGCACCUGACUUAUGACCCCACCCCUCAAGCCGAACACGUUAAAACUGUGCCGGCCUUCUGGGUCGAGCACCAUACCUUCCAAGUAUCCCCAUCGCGCCGACCUACUGGGUUGAUCACGUCUGAGAUUGUGCCGACCUCCUGGAUCGAGCAUCAAACCCUCCAAAAUCCUCAUCGCGCCGACCUCCUGGGUCGAACAUGUUUAAGACUGUGCCGACCUCCUGGGUCGAACACGUUUAAGAUUGUGCCGACCUCUUGGGUCGAGCACCAAACCUUCCAAGUAUCCCCAUCGCGCCGACCUACUGGGUCGAUCACGUCUGAGAUUGUGCCGACCUCCUGGGUCGAGCGUCAAACCUUCCAGGACACAAAACACCCACUACUAUUCCCCUAGCCCCCCACUAGGACAUUUAGAUAGGGACGCUAAGUGUUCUAGUGCGAAAUCAAAGCUCAGAAGGCAAAGAAGUACAAAUGAAACAAGAAACUUGAAAGUCGAGCCUUUAUUGAAUCACAAAACUGAAAUUCGAAUUCCGCAGAACAAACGACCGUCCACCCUGGUCUAACCUAUGCUACAAACAGUCGCAGGUUGGAAAAGUGCCAAGUGCGGGGUACCUCAGAUCCGUUCAUGUUGGCGAGUUUACAGUAACCUGCUCGGCCCACCCCAAGGACCUUGUAGGGGCCCUCCCAGUUUGGGUCGAGCUUGUUGGAGCUGUGAGCUCGGCUGACCGAAUUCUUCCUUAGGACAAGGUCCCCGGGCUGGUAUUGGGUAGCCCUUACUUUGGCAUUGUGAUAACGAGCGAGCUGGCCUUUAUACUUAGCCAUGCGAACCGCCGCUUCCUCACGCUUAACCUCGAGCAUGUCCAAGUUGUACCGGAGCUCUUCCUCAUUGGACGUCGCCACGAAGUUCUGUGUUCUGGGCGAAGGGAGACCGACCUCCGCGGGCACCACUGCCUCUACUCCGUAAGUUAAAGAAAACGGGGUCUCAUGGGUGGCCGUCCGGGGCGUAGUGCGGUAAGCCCAGAGGACACUGGGGAGCUCGUCCAGCCAGCUCGACUGGGCGGACGCCAACCUGGUCUUCAAUCCCUGCAGAACGGUUCGGUUAGCGUUCUCCACCUGACCAUUGGCCUGGGGGUGACCAACUGACGUGAAGUGUUGGUUGAUCCCGAGCUCGACGCACCAGCUCCGGAAGGGGUUCUCAGCGAACUGGCGGCCGUUGUCGGAUAUCAAGACGUGCGGGAUGCCGAAACGGCAGACAACGUUCCUCCAAAAGAAUUUCUGGAUCGCCUUUCCCGAGAUGGAGACUAGGGGCUCUGCCUCUAUCCACUUGGUGAAGUAGUCAAUAGCCACCACGAGGUGCUCGUACCUUCCUGGAGCUCGGGGGAAUGGUCCCAGGAGGUCUAUUCCCCAUUGAGCGAAAGGCCAGGGACUGUGAAUGGGGAUCAUUUCCCGAGCUGGCUGGUGACGUAAUGAAGCGUGCACCUGGCAGGCUCGGCAUCUCUGUACCAGCUCUGCGGCGUCACGGAAGACGGAGGGCCAAUAAUAGCCCAGGAGGAGGCACUUUUUGGCCAGCACCCGGGACCCCACAUGUGCCGCACAUAUACCUUCAUGGGCUUCACGCAGGACGUAGUCUCCUUCCUCGGGAGUCAAAAACUUUAGCCAGGGGGACAAGUACGACCUCCAGUAGAGGGUUCCCCCGGCGUAGGCGUAUUUGGCAGCUCGGACUUGGAUUUGUCGAGCCUCAAUUUUGUUCUCAGGGAGGGUACCCGAGCUGAGGAAGUCAACGAGGGGAGCCAUCCAGGUGGCCGAGCUAUCCACCGCCAGGACCUGGACCUGGCCGAUACUCUUCUGCUUCACCACCUCCACCAAGACCUCCUUGCUUAGGUGGGCGAACGAGGAGGACGCCAGCUUGGACAAGGCGUCCGCGCGCUUAUUUUGGGACCUUGGCACCCGCUCGAUCUCAAAAUUAUCGAACAGGGCCACCGCCUCUCGUACCUUGGCUAGGUAUUUCUUCAUUACCUCGUCCUUGGCCUCAUACUCCCCACGGAUUUGGAGGACGACGAGCUGAGAGUCGCUUCGAACCCGGAUCGCGGUAAUGCCCAUCUGGUGGGCUACCCGCAAUCCCGUCAACAGGGACUCGUACUCCGCCUCAUUGUUGGACGCGGGGAAAUCAAACCUGAGCGCAUAAGUCAGUUCUUCCCCUGUGGGCGAGGUGAGCAACAGGCCAGCCCCGCUGCCCUCCUUGCUCGAGGCGCCGUCCACGAACAACACCCACGGCUCCAUUGUCGGGGUGUCCGGGGGUGUUGGGACUAGUUCCGCCGGGGUCAGGCUAGCUCCUUCGGCCAGGAAGUCCGCCAAGGCCUGAGCCUUAAUCGCGGUACGGGGCCGAUAACUGAGGUCGUGUUCGGCCAGCUCGACGGCCCAUUUGGUCAUCCUGCCCGAGACCUCGGGCUUAGUGAGUAUCUGGCGCAAGGGCUGGUUGGUCAAGACUGCGAUGCUGUGAGCUUGGAAGUAAGGCCGGAGCUUGCGAGCAGCGUGCACUAAGGCCAGAACCAGCUUCUCGGCCGGGCUGUAUCGCGUCUCUGGCCCUUGUAAUGCUCGGCUGACGUAGUACACCGGUCUCUGAGUCCCCGCGUCCUCCCGUACCAAGACCGCACUGACGGCCUCGUUGCAAGUGGACAGGUAUAGGAAUAGUGUCUCCCCCAGCUCAGGGGCGGUCAGGGCGGACAGCUCGGCCAGAUAGGCCUUGAGGUCGGCGAAAGCUUUCUGGCACUCCUCGGUCCAGUGAAAGUCCUUUGGCCCUUUCAAGAUCCGGAAAAAGGGGAGCCCCCGAACCGCGGAGCGCGAGAGGAACCUGUUUAGGGCAGCCAUCCUCCCUGUGAGUCGUUGGACUUCCUUCACGUUCCUCGAAGGGGCCAUGUCCAUAAUGGCCUGUAGUUUGUCCGGGUUGGCCCGGAUUCCAUCUCGGGAUACCAGAAAACCGAGGAACCUCCCCGACCUGACCCCAAAGGUGCACUUCUUCGGAUUUAUGCGCAUCCGGCUCUCCAGCAGGAUUUCCAGAAUCUCCUUUAGGUCGGGUAUAAGGCGCUGAUCAACCCGGCUUUUAACUAUCAUGUCGUCCACAUAGACCUCCAUGCUUUUACCGAUCUGGCCUUGGAACAGCUUGUUGACCAGGCGCUGGUAGGUAGCCCCCGCGUUCUUCAAGCCGAAUGGCAUGGUUCGGUAACAGUAGGUCCCCUCCUCGGUGAUGAAGGAGGUCUUAUCUCGAUCUUCCUCAGCCAUUUCUAUCUGGUGAUAUCCCUUAAAGGCAUCCAGAAAGCACAAAACGUCAAAACCCACGGUAGAAUCUACUAACCUGUCGAUCCUUGGCAGGGGAAAGCAGUCCUUUGGGCAGGCAUUGUUAAGGUCCGUGAAGUCCACGCACAUCCUCCAGGUCUGAUCCUCCUUUUUGACCAGGACAGGAUUGGCCAACCAGGUCGGGUAGUGGACCUCCAUGAUGAUCCUCGACUCCAGUAACUUGCCGACCUCCGCCUUGAUCACCUCAUUUCUCUCGGUAGCGAAGCUCCUUUUCUUCUGCUUUACCGGCUUGAAGUGAGGAUCCACGCCAAGGUGGUGGACUGCCAGGUCCGUUGGAAUCCCAGGCAUGUCGUCCACUGACCAGGCGAAGACCUGGGAGUAUUCCCUCAAUAGAGCUUUCAAACCCUCCUUCUCCUUGGCGGGCAACAGGGCUCCAAUGCGGAGAACCUGAUCGGGCCGAUCCUCCCUUAAGGGGAACUCCUCCACCUCAUCUUGGGUACCCAGUUGCUGGGCCUCAUCCCCUGGGAUGUAGGGUUCCAAACAGGUUGUCUGGGCGACCACCUUCUCCUGCCCCCGAAGCGUGGCCAGGUAACAUGCCCUGGCUACCGCUGGGUCGCCCCGCACCUCGGCUAUUCCCCCAGGGGUGGGGAACUUGAUGCUGAGGUGGAAAGUAGAGGAGAUAGCCCGGAGGGCGUUCAAAGCGGGUCUCCCCAAGAACAAAUUGUACGGGGACGACUGCUUGACCACCACGAAAUCAACGAGGAUGGUCCGGCACCUGGGGGCCUGUCCUACUGUGACCAUCAGGGUGAUCAUCCCCUCCAAGCUGAUGGGUGGUCCGGUGAAGCCCACCAGAGGCGUCCGGACCGGGGUCAGCUGGUCGUCCCUUAGUCCGAGCUCCUUGAACACCCUAUAGAACAUAAUGUCAACCGCGCUACCCUGGUCGACAUACACCUUCCUCACCCGAUAGUUGUUGGUGACGAUGUCUAUCACGAUGGCUUCGUGGUUCCCUGCGGCCAGGGGGACUGCAUCCCUGGGUCCAAAGGUAAUUUCCUCGUCCAUGCGCAAGCGCUUCAAGGAGUCGUCCCCCUCGGUGGGAGGUCGCUUGUUCUUCCGAGCCGCAUGACUGUCCCCCCCCGUGGGGCCUCCGGCGAUGGUGUUUAUCACCCCCGCCAGGUUCUGGGUGUCCCGGUCGGGAGAGCAGUCCCGAGGGGCGUCACGCCGCUCCGGGCGGUCGCGCCGCCGUCCCUCGUGCCUAUCUCCGUAGUGGUUGCGUCCAAGCCCCUGACCUGGUCGGCGCACGAACCCCCCUAGAAAACCGCGCUGGAUCAGGUCCUCGAUCUCCUUGCGCAGGGCCCAGCACCCCUCCGUGUCGGGCCCGACGUCGCGGUGGAAGGCGCAGUACCGGUCCUGGUUCCUUUUGUUCCGGGGCGUCCCCAUCUUGGGCGGCCGAUCUCCCAGCCCUUCCGCCUCCAUAACGGCUAAGAUCUGGGCUCUGGGCCGUGUUAGAGGGGUGUAGGUCUUCUCUGGGAGGGGCGGCGGAGCUGGUGCCCUAUCCUUGGAGAGACGGUCGAAGACGUUCUUCCUGACUUGGCCGUCCUUAGAUUCAGGAGGGUUUGCCCGUCCUUUCCUGUCCCCGAACUCCCGAUCUGAUUCCCGUUUCAGGCGGCCGGCCUCCUCUGCAUUGGCGGCGGCGUGAGCCCGGGUCAAGAGCUCUCCCAGGUUCUUGGGAGGUUGUUCGACAAGCUUGUAGUAGAGAUCCUCUACCCUCAACCCGUUCAUGAAGGCGGCCAUGACUACCUUUUCGUCCUUAUCCCUGAUCUGCAGGCUCUCUGUGUUGAAGCGCGUCAUGAAGUUCUUCAGGGACUCAUCCGGGUUCUGCUUAACGGCCAUCAGGUGGGCCGCAUUCUUCGAGUAGGUCUUCGAGGAAACGAACUGGGCGGCGAACUGUCUGGCCAGCUCGGUGAAACUCUGAAUAGAUCCCGGUGCCAGACCCUGAAACCAGAGCCGCGCCUUACCCUUGAGAAACAUGGGGAAGGUCUUGCAGCGGAGGGCAUCCGCGGCGUUUUGCAGACGCAUGUGCGUCAGGAAGACCGAGAGGUGGUCCUCCGGGUCGGUCGAACCAUCGUACAGCUCGAUGUUCGGGAUUUUAAACCUCCGGGGUAACGGGUAGUUCUCGACCUCCCGGGUGAAGGGCGAGGCUGCGUAGUUGUCCCCGUACGGUUGUGGUCGCAGGAUCUGCUCGAGCUCAUCCCGGACGGGCUGCCACUGGGGUGGGUCGCGCGGGCGACUCCUGACAGAUCGGGCGGGGGAGCGUGCGAGCCCAUUUCGCGUAGGUUUCCGUGGGGAGGGGUCCCUUGGUCGGCUCCCCACGGACCGGUCGUGGGAGUACCUCUCGCUAUCCCCGACCACCGAAGCUCGGUGACGAGGGGGAGUCCGCGGCCGUUUCCUCCUAGGGGGCUGGUCCUGUGACCCAUCCUCCGAAGGGUCAGGGAUCGACUCCUUCUCCUUCCCCUUCCCCUGGACUUUGGAAGUUGGUGCGCCCCCCGCCUCCUUUCCUCCUUUUGCCUGCCGGAUUAUAUCCUCCAGCAUGGGGAGAUUCUCUGUCACGAACUGGAGCAUCUGCCGUCUCCGGUCCCCUGAGAGGGCCGAGCCCCCAGCGCCCCCGGCCGCUUCGUUCUCCUCUCGACGGGACCCCUCCCCGGCCCCGGCUCCGGUGCUUUCAACGGUUUGCUUGGACCGUGUCCUCGCCAUCAACACUAACAAUUACCUUUCGGUUCCCACAGACGGCGCCAACUGAAGAAGCACGGGACUUCCCCUGACCGAGCUGACCUGGUGAGCUCGGUGUGCCGAUGGAAGAGCUGGUCCCAAUCCUGCAAAACAAACAAGGGUAAACUAGCAGUGGGGGCCCGAGGGUUGUCCCCGAGGGCGCUCCGACGGUCAAAUUAGUUCCUGGCCGGCGGACGGAGCGGUUUUUGAUAAUGUAUUGUACGAGCAAUCUGCUAAUAGCGAGCGUCCCUUGCACAGUUGGUAUGUGCUACCAUUUAUACCCGCUUAGGAGUCCGACCUCCGUACGUUUCGGGACUUGCCCUGAAUAGCUCCCAAUCCCGUUCCUGGGGGGAUCCUCCCGCCCUCUGCGGGGCAGCUCUUGGGAGCAUCCCGGAGCCCUAAUGGCCGAGCCCUCUUGGACUGGUUCCCAGUGGGCCCAAGGCGCGAGCCCAGCUCGGAUUGCCCCUGGGCUGACACGUGUACGGGCCCAGGAUGGGGCCUCUGCAGGGUUCAAAUUUUAUCUAUUAGAAACCAGCUUCCUUAAUUUCAAAGACAGAAGAUGAUUAGAGAUCCCCUACAUUAAUAAAGAAAAAAAAAACGCCAACCAAUCGUUCUUGAUUGCCCACUUGUUGCUAAAUCUUAUCGUCAGCAUUGGUUCUUAGUUGCCUGCAUACUUCUCAUCUUUUAAUUUUUCAAUUAAUUAGACUGGAAAUGAAUACGAGUUCCACUUCUUUGCUAAAAAAGUUAUUAGCAGAAGUAAAAUUUAUUAGCAGAAGUUAUUUUAUAGCCCAUGAUCCCGUGUGCAAUAUUGCAAUGCAACAUGGGCAAAUAGCUAAGCGAGAAGACAAAAGAGAUAGAGAUGCCGAGCCUUAGCACCUAGAAUGAGAAAUAGAUGUUUUAGUCAUUCAGUUAUAUCAGAUUGAUUAAUUAGAGUUAUCACGGGAAAAUUUGGCAUCUAAAAUACAAGUUUUUUGAACUUAUUUCACAUAUAAGUAGUAAUAUACUAGUAAUGAAGAAUGUAAACCUGUAAAGGGUUUGUCUAGUUGGUAGUGCACCAAAUAAGAGGUGGAUCCAAAGUAAUUUUUUCCUAUCAAAGUGUUGCAACUUAAGUGGUGAAUGAUAAUUUUAAAACUUUAAUAGUUCACCUACCUUCUUGUUUUAAUUAUAUUUAAAUCAUAUAUAUCUACCUUGUAUAUAAAAAGAAAGCCAAGUUACUGUAGCUAACCAUCUUUUUGACACAUGUAUUGUAUAUAUUUUUGACAAGUGGACCUUUGAUUAUUUUACCAAAAUUUUUUCCUUCCCCUUUCUUGAUUCAAUUGGACUAAAGGAUUAAAAUAUUUUUUCUCCUUGAGAAAAUCAACUCCAUCUCUUCUUUUUCUUCUUGCAGUAACUACUGUCAUCCCUCACCUUUUUUAUUUUUUAUUUUUUAAAACUAAUCUAACUAAGAUUGUUGCCAUGUUCUUUUUUUUUUUUUUUGUCAAGAUGAUAACUACUUAGCAAAAAGAAUUCUUUAUUAUUUUUUAUCCCAUUUUACAUUUUCUUUUCUUCCUUUUUUUCUUCAUCUCUAAUCUCUCAUGUUUGCUCUAUUUUUUUUUAUCAUAAUGUUAUAGCCAACUGGCAUUUGUUUGUUAAAUUUAUAGGAUGAUGUUUUACUUGGUAGUUCUUCAUGGAUAAAAGGUGAAAUAUUAAAAUAUGUAUAAAAAAAAUUUAGAAUUCAUUUUAUACCAAUGAUCAUUUUCUAUGAAUAAUAGAACAAAAAUUCAUUCUUUUAUUUUCUUCUCCUAUGAUUUGAUUUCUUACUUCACAUUUUGUUUCCUUUUCUUUGUUUUUUGGUUACAUUUUGUAAUUAUCUACAAUUUUCUGUAUUUGUUUAGGAGAAAGAUAUAUCAUAUGAUGUUUCCACCAAGAUAAAUCUAGCUAGGCAUUUUUGUUUGUUUUUUAAUUACUCAAGUGUUGUAGUAUGAAUUGGGUUGGUAUACAAGGAUUGCAGUCGGUGGUGGAAGUCACAAUUGAGGCUUUCGGCCUAGAGUGUGACUUGACAAAAAAUUGUUAGAAAUUUCAAUUUUGAUUAGGAAGAUGUUUUUGCAAUAAAAAAAUAGUUCAAUUCUAAUUUGUAUAUGUAGACCAGGAAACAUGGCAAUUCAUAUUUUUAUCUAACCUUGCUAUUUAUAUUCAGGAGCUGCAGGAUAAUGUUAUCACCUUUAGGCAGAAUUUAAAUAGAUGAACUGGAUUCUUCUAUCAAAAGAAAGAAAAAUAUGCAAGUUUAUAGUAAGCUAUAUUGAUGUUGAAGAUUGUGCCAUGUUUUAGUAGCUUCCUAAAUUUUUUCUCAUUAUUAAAGUACUAAAAGUAUUACGACUGCUUUUGAUUUAGUUUUAACUAAAACUAUACUACUAUUAAUACACCAAUGCACUUAUAGUCUAUUAAGUUUCUCUCCUUUUUGGGUAUCAUCAUAAUAGUGGUUCAAAAAUCUUUAUUCAAAUCACAAUAAAUAGAGAGGUUGACUUCAUAGAUGGAAUUUCUCUUCACAACAAAUUUUGAGAGAAAUUUUAUUUAUACUCCAUAUUGUGUUAAUUGUGUUCCUACAAAAAACAAAAACUAUACGAUAAAAAUAAUAGCGAAAGUAUGAUUAACAAAAAUGAGAGUUCAAAUAAUAUUUGUCAAAUUUAAUUGCUUUGAUGCUCAAUUUUUCUCAUAUAUUUCUAUUCAUUCAUCAUGUGUCAAAAUAAUUUGAUGCUAUGCAUUCGACGGGCAACGGGCAUUUUGGUCAUUUUACACAGCGCGUAACUUUGAUUGCACACGACGUAACUUUGUUUGCACAACGUGUAACUUUAGUACAAAAAAUUACGGGCCCCACACACGUGAAAAUCGAUGUACAACUUGUAAUCUGGACCGCACAUUUUUUUUGACCAAAAUCUAGCCGUUGACUGUUCAGGCAUUCAGGGACGGUCCCUGCCCCUUGUCCGCAUUCGACUAAAUUUCUAGGGGGCCCAAACUGUGCUUUGCACAGUUCAAGUACCUCUAGUAUAUAUAUAUAUAUUAAAUAUCCAAUAAUUCUGGCAUGUCCACGUGGAACAAGCUAAGAAUCUUCUGUUAGAAAUAUCUUCAUUGAACCACUUUUUACUCUUUUCUUGUUAUAUUCCUACAAUCAACAUCAAUUGCCAAAUAUGAGUUUAAUCAAUCCAAUAAUGCAAUAUUUAGCCAAAAUCACAAGAAAAUAUUAACAAUUUCAAUAACCACUAUGCACCCUAUAACAGUCUAACAGUUAUGUGAUUAAUGACCGGAAGAAUGAUUGGUGUAUGUUAAUUUGUCACAAAUAUUUGUAAAAUGAGCAAAACUUAGGAUCCAAUAGCUUGUAUACUUGCAAGAAACUACUACACAAACAAACGAUAAUUCUUUUGGCCGGAUUGUGAUCAAAGCAUCUUAGUAUAAGCUAGAAUCUUGUACUAAUUGAUGACAAACAUCUAUGAAAUAGUUAGAGACUUACUCUCAUCCUAGCAAAUCAAUUUCUUAACUUGAGGUGUAUAUGAUAAAAAAUUUGAGUUUCUGUUUAAAAAGUAUAAUUUGUGAAUUGCUAGGUUUUAUUUUUUAUUGGUUAAUAACUUUCAAAUAUUAGAUUCAUGGUUUCUUUUUAGAAAUUCCUAUAUUUUAUUUGAUAUAUUUACUUUAAUUUGACUAGAGCUGGCAAUUUGUCCCAAGUCCCAAUGGGCUACCCAUGCCCAAAGGAACUUUGGGCGGGAUGGGUAUUAUAAUUUGGUAUUGGGUUUAAGUUGGGAUACAUCCCAACUAUACCCAUUAAUGAAUGGGAAAGGGUGGGAAAUACUUGGGUAUCCAUUGGGCUCAAACAGCAAGGGCUCCGUUUGGAUUAGCUGUUUUUAGGGGGUGUUUUUGAAAUAUUUUAUUGUAGUAGUGUAUAUAAAAAAAUUUUACUAUAAAAUUUUUUUGAAAUAUUUGAUAUACUAAUAUGGAUGGGAUGUUUCUUGAGUUAUUGUAUAUUACUAUUUGAAAAACUUAUUUUUUGAAAAAAUACCCAAUCCAAACGGAGUCUUAGAUUCAAAAAUUAUCUUUAACAAUUUUUAUAGUCAUACCAGCGAAUAUAAUCUAGUAGUCUUUCUAAUCAUUAUCCACAAGAAUUUCCAGCAUUUUAAUCAAUUUAGACCUGUCAUCCUUGGACAAUGAUGAGGAUAAAUAUUCAACAUCUUAAGGAAUUUGGCCAUCUUGAUAUAUGUUGGAAUAUGGCUGUAUAUCUAUCUUUUUCUUUAUUUGUUAAUCCAAUUUUUGGUGGGAAUCUUGAGUAUAAAGCAUUUGCAUGUUUAUUUAAUAAAACUAAAAGAAAUUUAAUAAAUCAAAAAUAUUAAAAUUAUAUAAAAAUAAAAAAUGAAUUAAAGGAAAAAAAAUAUGUAGAAAAUGGAUUUGGGUAUUGGGCGGGAUCAAUCUAAACCCAUCCUAAAGUGAUCCCGCCCAAAUUAGUCCCAAAACAUAUAUGGGUAAGGUUGGGUCCAAACCCAUAUGACUCGGUUUCAUCUCAAACCCAAGCAAAUCCCGCAUAUCCCGCCCAUUUUGCCACCUCUAAAUUUGACAUAUAAGCAUUAUUCAAUGUAAUAUGCAGUAAGUUUUUUCCAGCUUCCGAUAUUGUCAAAAUUUUAUUUUCUUUUGCAAGUCAAAAUCAAAUUAGGAUUUGUUAUGCCUUAUGUUAUGUCCAGAACCUAGUAGAAUUAGAUUGAGUAGCAUUACCUUAUUUGGUAGAAACUAUGUUUCAUUAAGUAAUUUCCAUUCCAAAUCUAACUAUAUUUCAUAAGAAAAAUGUAAUAUACUUCUCUUCCUAAAAUAAAUACUUAACAAUGAUAUUACACAGUUACCCUCAACAAUAUCUAUAAGUCAUUCAAAUUUAGAGCUAGCCAUAAUUUGUUAUGGGAGGGUUAAUGUUGGAAAGAAAAAACUAAUUUUUACAAUAAUUAAUAAAGUAGAAAUAGUUCUUAAAUUUCCUUUUACAAUAUGGUUCCCUUUUUUUGGGUUUAACUUUGUUUUACAAUAUGGUAUAUGGUUUCGUUUUUUUUUUUUUUUGGUUUAACUUUGUUUGGAAUUCCUUUCUUUUUAGAAUACUAAAUUUUAGAAGACAAUAAUUACAUCAACACUAAUAUCCAUAAAUAUCCCCCCCCCACCAAUUCGUAUUUGAAAUUUAAGAUGUGCUUCAUUAUUUCAUUAUACAAGGGCAUUACUAGAAAGUGAAAACUAAAUUACUAAAACACCAAAUCACUUUGGUGCUUUUAAUAUAUAUGCAUAUAUGUAUGUAUGUAAGUAUAUAUGUAUGUGAUAGACAUUUGCACAGUGAGACUUAUUUGGCAUCUAGUCCAACAAAGCUAACAAGGCAAGCACAAAAUUAAAAACAUAAAAAUAAAACGCCUUGAAAAAUAUUAGAUAGAGAUUCAAGGGAUUGUCAACCAUGGCAUUCCAAAAGAAAAGGAAAACAACAAAUUAAAGAGGAGAAUCAUCGAGGACAUUGAAAAUUAAAACCCAAUAAAUUAACUUUCUGAUUUUGAAAUAAUGAUCAAGUGAAAGGCAUGAGCUACUAAUAACUUGGCACAUGUUUCAUUCUAUAAUUAUCAUGUCUGGAGGUUCAAUUUUUUCUUCUGAGGUUUGCCCUUUUUGGCUAGAUUAUUCUCACCUUUCACCGUCAAAUUGAAUUUUCAACGUACCAAGGUUUUCUCAAAUCGCUUCAUACAAGAUGCAUGGUAUUUGUUCUGAUUUACCAUAUCAUCUCAGCAUUUGGCAUGGGAUGAUUAGAAACCAGCUUCCUUAAUUUCAAAGACAAAAGAUGAUUAGAGAUCCCCUACAUUAAUAAAGAAAAAAAAAACGCCAACCAAUCGUUCUUGAUUGCCCACACGUUGCUAAAUCUAAUCAUCAGCAUUGGUUCUUGGUUGCCUGCAUAAUUCUCAUCUUUUGAUUUUUCAAUUAAUUACACUGCAAAAGAAUGUUAACGCAAAACUAUUAGUAUAAGUUAUUUGUUUUUUUCCCACCAAAAAAAAAAAGCAGAAUUAUAUAUAGCCCACAUCUCAUAUGGAACAACACGCAAUGCUGUAACGCCGCGAAUGCUGAGCCUUAGCACUCAGCUAUCGAGGGCUGUUAUGAGGUGAGAGGACAGGGAGCAGCAGGCCUUGAAAAAAUGAGCUAAGUUGUGCAAAGAGUGGGCUGGGAACAUUAACAUUACUUUUUGUACGUUUUCUCUUUGAGGUAAUUUUUGGUAAUAACUUUGUCCAGUGCUGAGGGAAACCCCGGUCGAUUUUGCAUUUCUAGUUUGAUAUACUAGGUGGUAGCCACUGCCCAGUUAAUGUUUAGCUAGUAAUGUUGGUAAGAAUGAAAGUACAAUCAAAUGGAACUAUAAAAUGGAACUAUAUUAUACAGGCAUAUUAAUGAAAAUUAUACGAGCCUCCCAAGUAAGAUAACCAUGAUGGCUCAGGGCUCCAUGAAGCCAUUGUUCUAGUCUUUGAAAUACAAAAGUGAAAUACAGACAGAUUCAGCAACAACUCAAGGCAUCAAUCAAGCAGUGAAUCCAGUCCUGUUCAUACAGGAGAAAAUAGAGCAGAGCAAGUAAUGCCUCCAAAGCAAAGAAAAAACUGCAACAAAAGCAAAGCAAGCAAACGCAAAAAUUAUGACAAAACGAAAGCAGACAGCUGUAUUAAUGCACAUAUAGCCUCACGAAAUGUGAAGCUAGGAUUGAGGUUUACAAAAUCGCGGAAAUGUGAAGCUACUUUUUCUAGUUGGAGAACAAGAAUCAUCUACAUCCAAUCUUGAUUGAACUACUGAUGUAUAACUACUUCUUCCCUGUUUACAUAAUGACAUCACAUCACGCAGCAAGAAAAGUAAAUAUUAGAGCACCCUGUGAGACAUUUUCAAAUCUGAAUUACCUUCAAAGGGAACGUCUGUGUAUACAAGUCAACUUUCUGGUCAUCGCCAGAUACUCUAGUAAUCUGCCUCACAAACUUUGUUUCCACAUUAUAUACAAGCUGCAAUUUUGAAUCAAUAAAUGUCAUACAUCUUGACGUGAUGUAGCACAAACUCCCAAAAAAUAAAACAUAAUCAAGUUUUGCUUUAAAGCAUAAUAUGAAACAUAAAUCAAAGUACCUGAACAACAUAUUCAAAUAAAUACAGGGUACACUGGGUAAGCAUGUACCUACCUUCCUUAUAUCAGGAUCAUUCCAAGGACUCAUAUUAGAUGAGAGGCAUCCUCCUUCAACUGGAUAUAAGCAAGCUAACAAAUCAAUUUCAAAUCAAGUAUUAAAUAAUCUGCAAUAAAUGAAAAUUUUCUUACUAAAAAAUUUAGAGACUACAAAAUUACAAGGAUCUCAUGGUAAAAGAAACAUUAAGUAAACAACAGUACAUCAAAAGACUAAACAUACCUAAUUAAGGAGAAAAAGGCUAAACAUAGAACAAACUUAAGUAGCGUUAAAGCUGGUGAGAAUAAUCCAAGCAGCUUCCCUCCUAUCACUACCAGCGAUCAGCUUAACACAAAAUACCUAUUAGAAACACCAUAUCAGUUUUGGAUACUCAAAAUACCCAUAACAAAAAACAAAAAAACAUUGCAAUCAUAGGUUCUGAACCAAGUACAAUCCCUGCAUGCAUAAAAAUCUUUCCUUCUUAUACAGGAUGAUGGCACAUAAACAUUAAGAAAUAAUAUCAUUUUCCAUUGAAUGCCUUCUGCACAGAAUAUUUGAGACAAAUAAAUGGAGCAAGAAGUAAAAAUCUGGAACCCAUACAACAAAUUGAACAAAAGGUGAGAUGGCAAAAAAAAAAAUCAGAGUUAAGAGAUUGGCUAAAUAAACACAGUUUUGGCAGGAACAAAAAGUAAAAACCACAGGUAAGAAGAGGGAGCAGGGAGCGUGGAAAAUAUGGAAAUGAGGGCCACAUAACGCUAACUGUACCUCGAGGAAGUACUGGUGGGGAGCAGGCUGGUGCAGGAGAAGGGACCGAAGCAACAUAUGUGGACUGGUUGAGAACCAAAUCAUUUGUGGCAAGAUUUAACAAGGUUGAAUCCAGGAGGGAACUAUCCACAGGAUCAGCCAAGAGAACGCCAGUCUGGGUAUAACCUAAGGCAGUUCUAGAGAAAUAGUCGUGCUAUUUUGGCUAGGCCUUUGAAACCGAGUUGCCUCAGCAGAACAAGGCACAGUUGUGCCUGUUUUUUUUGAGGCAUUGCGUUCACGGCGGCGACGAAGAAGUUCAACUUUCUGCUCAUGUGGCAUUUCUGCAUACCUUUUAUGCCUUCUAGCAUUUCUAUCCAGCCUUGGAUAACGUGCAUUCAAGAAAUAUUAAAACGGACAGCACGAAGAUAUACGUUUGGUAGGGAAUGCAAAAAAACAUCGGAGGAAACGCAAGAGUUAAAAGUGCAAGCUAAGUGCAGGAAAAGAAAGGAAGCAUACCAUAUGAUCGAACGAGGCAACUGAAAGAGCAAAAGAGGGAGGGAGGGGGGAGAGGCAGGAGAAGCAAAGCUAGCAAUAGCAACAACAGCAGGGCAAAACACACCAGUAUGAUACGAAAGUAAGCAGAAGACAAAUACUUCAAUCAGGAAACGGAACAGGGGGAGAAAAGCAUCUGAGGAGUGCAGAAAAGGAAACACAGUAGUAAGAAGCGCAAGGUUAUGCAGUAAAAGAAAGCAAGCAGAGCAUGUAAUCGAGCGAGGCAACUGAAAGAGUAAAUAUGAAAGCACACCAGCAUGAUAUGAAAGCAAGCAGAAGGCAAAAUACCUUAAGCAGUAAACGGAGGCUAAGAGAGGACACGGUAGAGGAGCGAGCCGAAGUUGGCCUGCAUAAGCAAAAGCGACAUAAAGGUUAAGAAAAUAGCGGAAAGCAGGGAACAUAACAAAAGGGAAGCAAUUAUAAGAAUCACAAACAGCUGCGAAUAAACUGAAAGGAAAGUGACCAAAAAGGAACACACGAGCAGCGCACUAAACGCAGUCCAGGGGGAAAAGAGAACAAAAGCUGGGAACAACACAGUGGCGGCAACAAAAUGCUAGGCAAGAAGGGGGUUUUGUUCAGCGGCAAUCCGAGGACAACCGUAGGCCUGGGAGGGGGUAUUAACGGUAGGGGGGAAAGAUCGAGCCCAAAUAUUGGCAAGCAAAGGGGUGUAAGCAGCAGAGGCAGCCGGGAAUUAUAAUGGACAACAAGGGGAGACAGAGGAAGAGGGAGAGGGAGGGGAAGGGCAGCGGGGCGAGGGUGGGGGGGGAGUGCAAGUAGAGCAACGAAAGAGCAGCGGAGAUAACCUAGUGCAGCAAAGAGGGCAAUGGCAAGGAGCAGCAACAACACCAAAACAGGAACAAAAGGGCAAAUAGCGGUCUUCGAUGAGCAGGCAAGAGGAGAAGCACCAUGGUUCAUGAUGGCAGUCAACUAAUAGGGCAGGUUGGAAGAGGUCAGAGCAGGUGGGAGAAGGCGUGCAAGAUAGCUAAAGGAACAGUUUUGUGUGAGGGGAAAGCAGAAGUGGGUGAAGAAGUAAGUGGGGGAAGAUGGAUGCAGGAUGGAGGCAGGAUGGAGUAGAUGGAGACAGGACUGAGGAGCAGAAAAAUAGUACAAAAUGAAAGACGGGGCAGCGGAGGGGGAAGGCGUACAAGAGUAGAAGGCAAACAGCAAGUUGGUAGUGGGAGCAGCUGGAGCACGUGGCAAGCUCAAGACAGCAACUCCAGAAGGCCACAACAGAGCUAAACAGUGGCAACGAAAAAGGAAGAAGAGAGAUGCAACGACCAUACACGGAAGGAAAGCUAAAGGCCAGAAAUUCAUUCAGACCAAUGACGUCGGGCCACGCGGAGGACGACCACGUCCAACGUGGAUACCGGGCGUUCGCCCUUAGUACUAUAUGGUUAACAAGGAGAUUGAUGUGAGCAUUUGUCUAUUUGAGAUUGUUAUGUAUUAGGUCCUGAAUCUUCUAUGGUUUUGUGCUUUAUCACAUAAUCCUCCAUAGUUUAGAAACCUAUAUAGAACCUCACCAUAAUUUGGGUUAGCGUGUCACUGUUAGUUUUUCGUUAAAAUUAACGGUCAACGGUAAAAAGUUAAAAUCAAACUAAUAAAUUGAUAAAUUCAUGCUUUCACUAAUUUUUUGCUUUUUUUUUCAUUCUCUCUCUCUCUCUCUGUGAGAACCCUCAUUUUUAAAAUACAAUUUUCCCAAACUACAUGCCUUGCACCAAGAUUUAAACCAUCUCUUAUAUGCCCUAGCAUUAUAUUUCACAAUGUGUUACAACAAAUCCCUUGUAUUGACCCUCACUUUAAAACACAAUUUUCUUAUUUACAUGCCUUAUUAUAAGAUCUAGACCAUUUAAUAUAUGUCCUUACAAAUUAUUUUCUAUGUGUUAUAAUAAUUUCCAUGCAUUUCAUUUCAAUUCAUUUUACUUGAAGUAAAAUAUUUCCUUGAGCUAGGUUGUAAAUAAUUCAUCACUUGUAAUUGUCCAAGUGUUCUUUUAUUAGUGGUAGAGACUUUAUGUGAGAGAUUAGAGGUGUUGAAUAAUUAUUGGUGCAUUUGGAAAGGUAAGAAUGGCAUUAAUCAAAGAUUAAGAAAGGUUAGGACAAUAAUGGAGCCAUGUGGCAAAACCCUAGCCAUGUAUCUUGUUUGACCAAAGGAUUAGAGAAAUUUUAAACCAACUUUGCUUCAUUUUCCUCCAAAAUUUCGUCCACCUUAAGGGCUUCCAAGGGAAGGAAGAAAACUCCAUCUUCUUGCUAUGACAACCUUAGUUUGAUCUUGAACAAAAACCAAAAGAGAAAGAUCUAGAGUUUGUGAGAAAAUUUCCUUCAAUCUUUGAGGUUGUUUCAAGUCUAAAGCUUCUAUUGUGGUGGUUUGUUUGGUGACCAAAACAACUUGUAAGUAAGGUAUGUAAUCUUUAAAAUUUGGGUUUAUGAUGUUAUAUCAUCUACUUGAGGUUGAAAUGGUGAAAACAACUUGUUAUGGUUGAAUUUGGGGUUAGUUUCUUGAGUUAAUCAAGUAAUGGUUAGGUUUACUAAUAUGCAUACCAAGUGUUUGAUGAAAUGUCUAACCCUUAUUCAUAUGUGUUUAUGAAGUAUUGAUAUGUUUUAAACCCCUAUUUAGUUGGAUCUAAUACUUGUUAUGUGCAAGGAAUGAAAAUAACAAGAAGAAUAGAAGUUAGAAAUUUUUAAAGUGUGCUGACCGAAACUUUUUAAGCUUGCUGCCUGGUUUUUCCUUGAUAUUUUGAUGCACAUUUUGGCUACAAAUGUGAGUGUUAUAUGUUGGGUUAUGUGUGUGGAGGUUGUCUACAAAAAAUUAGCCAAUUUGGUUGAAUAAAUUUUGAGUUAUAAACAAAGGAGGAAAACUGGACUAGGUCCAGAAAUUUUCUGUCCAGCAAUCUUGUUAAGGUCAUAACGUGUUACUCACUGAUCGGAAUUGAGUGAUGUUUGUGGCAAUUGAAAGUAGACUCUUUGAGCUUUAAAACGGUACAAAGCUCAUUUUCUGGUUCAUCCCGAGUGAUCCGUGGCGAGUCUGGAAAGUUGGCUGUCCGGGCAGUACUGUUCAUCCGAGACAGUCCAGAAAGUUCAUUUUGGUUUCUUAAUUUUGAGCUACUUAUGUUGAGAUUUUGGAAAUGGUUUAUUCUAGACAAAUUUAGCCUUAUGAACCUAGUUUCCAAUGCAAUUGACGGAACCUAAUUCUGACUUUUCCACAAUGAGCAAUGACCGUUUUCCCGAGGCUGGCCGGGCGAGACAGUUUAACCCGUAAUGAAGCCUUUGAGUUUUAGUGAAACUUUUCUUUUGCCAAACUUUCAUGUACAUACUAGACUUUUUUUCCAUGAACUUUCACCGUGGUUUAGACCCUAUUUGCAUGCCGGAUUAAGUAGUUUAAGCUACUCACUUGGCCUCUUAAUGAACCUAUACUUUAGUAGGGAACGAAUCCAAUUAUUAAUAUUUUCACUCGUUGACCUAGGUUUGGGCAACGACGGUGAUCAUAACUGAGACAUUUGACGUCGAUUAUUACUUUUGCUUGACAGGUGAGUGUUCCACUACCUGCUACUUGUUAUGUGAAAUAUUUGUGUACUUGAAAGUAUUGAAUUGUUAUUGUUUGAGCCAAACACUGUUUUAAUUAAAAUUGAGGCGAGUGUGUACUUUAUCGCACUCGACCUUCCUUGUUUUUUUUUUCUUUUCACUGAGGCUCUACUUACUGAAUGAAUUAACAUGAAAUGAGAUAUUGUUAUACAUGACUGUGCUUAAGUUGCGUGGAUGACAUUCCACCAACUACUGUUACUGUUUGGGUACCUAACCUCAUAGGUGAGUCGGUUGUAUCGAGCCAGCAAGGGUUUGGUCGAGAAGGCCGAUAAACCUUGAGGACUGUUUACUGUUCACUGGAAAUCGAAUCUUGCUUAGAGGUCCUUGGUGAAGCAUAGCCGUUGUGCUUGCUUGUUGUGUUGUCCAGCACCACCAGUGAUAAAAUCCUCGGCUUGAUACUGUUUCAUUGCAAUCCUUGAGCAUUGGAAACUCGGAUUCCUGGUAUACUCGAGUAUUACCAAACUACUGUUUAUGGAGUGCAGGCCCGGUGGGGGGUUGUUUAGUGGACGGAGACUGGUGAAAGUGGUGUUCUACGGACCUAUAUACUGUUACAAGUGUUGACGGAGUGUCAACAGGAGGCAAUUAUGAUCAAGCUCAAGUGGACCUUUGGCUUUUGAAAGCCACCCGUAUCCUUGAAUUGAACUGUGAUUAAACUGUUAUUUUAUUGUACGGUGUUUAGUUGGCUAUUUUGUGAUUUUAUGUGGCUAUGUAUUUACUUGUUUACCUGGAAUCUCACUGGGAUUUAACUCACCCCAUUCCCUUUGUUUUCCUUAACAGAUCGGGAAAGGAUUUGAUCGAGGGCUUUCUUAGCUUUAUUUUACCGUUCUUGCGUUUUGAGGUUGUAACUUUCGUUUAAGCAGACUUGUAAGCUUAAAUUCUUAAGGGUGAUUUAUAUUAUGUAAUUUUGAGUGAAACAUGGUAAGUUGGCAUGCGAUGAUAUAUGUACUAAGUUGAAUUGUUGAAUUAGUGAUUAUGUUUGAGUUAGUGUUUCAAUCCCCUGCAUUGUCAAAUGUUACAUUCGUUUCAUUGAUGAUAUUAGUACUUUGAACGACUGAGUCCUGUCGAGAGUUGGGCAGGCAGUCCGCUGAUACCCUAGGGUUUGCCCUAGGGAAAGGUGGGGCUGUCACUCUCUCUCUCUCUCUGGGAAGAGAAGAUGUGAUUUUGAAAACCUAUGCUUUGGCGUACAAAAUCUUAAUUUUCUCCAAAUAUAAAAGAGAUGGAAGAAAAUAAAAAAUAAAUAAAUAAGAAACAAAAAGAAUGGAAGGGAAAUAUAAAAAGGGUAAAUGAGAAACAAAAAUUAUCAAAUCUUUUUUUACUACAAAUAUCAUUAUAGGUUUCUAAACCAAAUCUUUAAUGGCAUUUUCUAUUUCUUAUUUAUCUAUUUUUUUAUUUAAAUUUCUUCAAGUAAUGAAAAGAUAAAUUUGUCAAUUUAUUAGUUUGAUUUUGACCUUUUGCUAUUGAUCGUUAGUUUUAAUGAAAAAAAUUAAAGGUGACACUUUAACUCAAACCAUGAGGGGAUUAUAUAUAUGUUUUUAAACUAUAGAGAGAUUAUGUGAUAAAUUACCUAAUCAUAGGGGAUAAAAUGUAAUUUAUCAAACAUAAUAUUAGCUAGCCCUUACAUUGCUAAAGCAAAUGGGUCAAUGGUUGCUCUUGAUUGCCAACAUACAUAUGCGUAGAUCAUCUGCAGUUUGGUUCCUAAUUGCCAGCGUAAACCACAUAUUUUGAUUUUCCAAUAAAUACUGCAAAAAAAAAAAGAGUAACGAGUCCAUCUAUACUACUUGAAGAUAAUUGAUUGUUCACCCAGAUUCGUCAAGUUUUGAAAAAAAAAUCUUUAGAGUGAAUUGAAUCAAAUUCAAAUUUUGUGUUUUGUGAUAAUUCCUAAAAGAGAACGAAAUGCAGAUUUUGAGUGUAAAAAUAUUUUAAGAGGUGAUACAAUCAAGACACAAAAAGAUAAAAACAUCGAAGAUGAUGAAAAAAAUUACUAAUAAAAAAUAAAAACAAAAGAAGAGAAAGCCGUGUUGUCCACAAACUAGACAAAGGGAAGCCACAGCGGCUGCUGCUAGGAAAGAUUAUAUGUUUUCUUCUUCUCUGCCCACAGGUUGCGGUGUCUCCAUUUCCUAUCAUCUGUAUAGUAACCAAUGAGAAUUUCAGGAAUGUGUGCGAUUCUUCUGUAAUCUUCACUUUCUUCCUUCUGAUUCUCUAACAGCUUCUCUCUCAAUUGAGAACUCAUCUCAUACAGAGACAGCCGUUGAAGAUGGAUCAAGUGCUGGAUACCCAAUGGUAACUCCUCUAGUAAUGGAAGUUGCUGCAGAAAUAGUUCCCGGAGACGAGGCAAUGCACCCUCCUCCACUCUCAUCCAUCUCAACCCUUCCAUUCUUUUUAAGUACAUCCACUUCAGCUUUAGGAACCCUCCAGCCUUGAAACACAACCCUUCUCCCUGGUAAGAUCCACGGAAAUUAAUUUUACUCAAAUUGGGCAAAUGUUGGAGGGAUUCAAGCGGAUCCUCCUCUCCCCUUAACCUGCUCCAGUCCAAAUCUAUUCUUACCAAGCCGUGAAGAUGAGCUACCCAUUGUGGCAUUUUUUCUAAGCGGCCACGCAAAACCAGCAUACGAAGAAAUUGAAGAAACAAAGAAGAAGAAGAAGAAGAAGGAUGAUGAUGAUUUAAAUCGAUUAUCUCAUGAUCAUCACCUUUUCCAAUUGAUUGAACACUUAAUUCCCGAAGACUGGUGAGGUUGGCAAGGGAGGAGCAGAGCACCUUUCCAUCUUCUCUUCUUAACUUUGUAAUACGUAGUUCUCUUAAUUGGGUCAGCUUUCCUAUCUCCUUAAGUAUUGCAGAUCCGCUACUUGCAUCUAUGCAGCUUAAUUUAUGUAGGGCAAGAAGCCGUCCCAUAUUUGAUGGAGCUUUAAAUCCAUGAGCUCCAUAAUCAUCAUCUGAAGAAUCAACUAGUUGAUAUACUUCGAGAAACCGAAGUUUUUGCAAGUUUAGAAUUUCCAUGGGCAAUUCCCUAACUCCAGUGUUACCCAAAUUCAGAUACUCCAAAUGUUGAAGCUUUCCAAUGGCUUUCGGGACUAUCUCCAUUCUUGUACCCCAUAGGUCCAGAUGCUUGAGAUGAAACAAAUUGAAAAUCUCAUUUGGUAUUUCCUCCACUCUGUUUUGACCACCGAAAUCCAAAACCUUUAACAGCUUACUACUCCUUGAAAUUUCAGAUAACAACAUUUUGGAUAGUAGCGGGUUCCGGGAUCCAACUGUAACGAACGACCGAAGGUGGUCAAAGCAAUAAUUUCGUCUUUGUUGGUGGUGCUGGGUGUUGUUACUGCUACCACUAUGGACUACUAGACGGCGUACCUUAUCAGACGGCCACGUCAUCAGCUGUCCAGUAGUAACUGUCACCAUGUUUUGUUCCCUUGACUUGAGAAGAAUAACUGCUCUCAAUAGGUCAUGGAUUCGACAAUAUUGAGGUAUUCCUUCAUAAAACACACGAGUCACUUGAAUUAGGCUUCUAUUGACGAGUUCACUAAAAUAACCCCAGGCUACAUCUUCAAUACUUAUUCCUUCUCUCCAUUCUACAUACCUUUCAGCAAUCCACAAAUUAAUUAGUCUAAUGCAUGCUAUUUCAUAAUCCUCUGGGAAGAUGCUUGUGUACAACAGACAUGUCUUUAAAUGCCCAGGCAAAUCAUUAUAACUGAGAGAAAGUAUCCUUUUAACUCUGUCCAGCUUACCAGUGCCUUCUAAUUCACCCCCAAGACUGCGUCGAACCAUCUCCCAUUCCUCUGUUCUGUUUACAUCUUUCAAAGCCAAAAGCCCGCUGAUUGCAAGAAUCGCAAGGGGCAAGCCCUCACAUUUGUCCAAUAUACCUUUGGCAACAUCCAUCAAGUGGCCAGGGCAACUAUUUCCCUUGAAGAUCUUGUUACAAAACAGGAUCCACGAAUUUUCAAAGGACAGUGGCUUCAUUCUGUAGACAAGACCCCGAGAUUCAAUGCAAGAGGCAGAGGCUACAUCAACUUUUCGAGUUGUUAGCAUGACGCGGCUGCCGCGACUGCUCUCUGGCAUUACAAAUUUGAUGGUAUUCCAAAAUUCCACGUCCCAUACAUCAUCGAAAACAAUUGCAUACCUUCCAGCUUGUUGAAGAAAAUCUUUGAUAAUUUCUUUCAGCUGAGUGGUAGUCAUGGACUCGAUCCAUCGCGGAACUGGUUUCUUCCCUGCCUCGUGUAACUGCCGAAUCAAGUCUUUCAGGAGGAACUGAAAGUCACAUGUUUCAGAGACAGUUACCCAAGCCCGGACUGGGAAAUGCCUUCUGACUUCAGGAUCCUCAUGGACUUUUUUCACUAGGGUAGUUUUGCCAAGUCCUCCCAUACCAACC